rnacentral:lncRNA from 1 species
UCGACAUAUAUUUCGAAAACGUUGGGGGAAAGAUGCUGGACGCAGUGCUACUCAACAUGAGGCUCCGGGGCCGCAUUGCGGUAUGCGGUAUGAUCUCGCAGUACAACCUGGAAAAACCUGAAGGCGUACACAACUUAGAGCAACUAAUCGGGAAACGGAUUCGCCUGGAAGGAUUUCUAGCUGGUGAUUACUAUCACCUCUAUCCAAAAUUCUUGGAACUGGUCAUUCCUGCAAUCAGAGAAGGAAAGAUGGUGUAUGUGGAAGACAUAGCCGAAGGACUCGAGAAUGCUCCCGCAGCCCUUGUCGGGCUCUUCACUGGCCGGAACGUCGGCAAGCAGCUAGUUGCAGUUGCUUAAUACAAAAGCCAAUAUGGAUGAGCUGAGAAUAUGUGACUGAAUCCAUUGUCCGGUUAAAAAUGUUUGCAUGUGUUAAUAUGAACUAUCCUCGUUUAGUAAUGGGAUUGGAUUGUCCUGUCAUUACUUAAUUUUGUUGAGCUAGGGCAUCUGUGUGUAAAGUGUCAAAUAAUUUGGAUUCAGACAAGAACUUAGUGGAUGCAUUGAAGGAUUUUUUUUUUCUUUUUUUUUCUUUUCCAAGAUAUUGAGAUAAUGAUUGGAACAUUUGAGGGAUAAGAUCAAAGUAUCUUUUAGGAUACCUCAUUGGUAAGUAUUAAAAUAUCAAUUGCGUCUUUAUAAGGACAGGUGGUCCAGGAUCAAGAUUAAUGAAGAACAAAUUACAGCCAUUAGAUUAAAGUGAAAUUAAAGCUGUGAAUAGUACACACUUGUUGUGUGAAAAACUUAAAGGAGACAUUCCUCUGUACAAAAUUAACUUAAUAAUAUGUCCUUAUUCAUUCAUUUGAUUCUUCCUUCUCAAUCGUCAUUAAUAAAUUAAUAAUACAAAUAAGUCCCCGUUAAAGGUUAAGUCCCCGAUUGGCUUUACCGUCACGCUCAUGCAUGAUCAAAUUUCAGUUAAUGCUGACGUGAUCGAUGAUGAUUUCAUUGGGAGCUUCCUUUGUCGUGGCACUCUCAUGUUCACAUUUAUUUUUAGGGUUAAUAAUAAUAAUAGCUUCUAGAAACGCUUUGUUUUAAUGAGAUUUUAUUUUUCAAUUAGUGUAAAAAAAAAAUAACAAAAAUUAAUAAAAACUGAUUAUUUAAUGAUGUUCGGCCCUCGAGACAGUUUAUACUCGUAAUUUAUUGUUUGAAAAUUAUUUCAACAUAUGAAAAACAAAAUUUCCCAAAUUUACAACGAAUUUUAAAACAAAAUUUCGAAAUUUCAAAGAAAAUUACAAAUUUGACUAGAUUGACUGGAAAAAAUAAAAUAAAUAAAAUCGUCAAAAAUCCUGGGACCGACCAUUUCAAAAGUCUGGCUCUUUUCCAGGCUUUCCUUCCAAAUUUUCACACACAAAAUUUCUCGUAACUGCUACACAUUAAACGCGUUUCACAUUUUCACUCUCUCUCUAUAAAUAAAUACGCACAUAAAAUUUCUCACCAUCCAAAAACAAAAUCUACAUAAAAAAUGGCGGGUGAAGAAGCAGUGAGCAACAAGCAGGUGAUUCUGAGCAACUACGUGACAGGGUUUCCCAAGGAAUCAGACAUGAAGAUAAUAACAGGCUCAAUAAACCUGAAGGUGCCAGAGGGCUCAAAAGACACAGUGCUUUUGAAGAAUCUUUAUCUUUCCUGUGAUCCUUACAUGAGAGGACGUAUGAGUAAGCUUGAUAAGCCUUCGUUUGUUGCCUCCUUCAACCCUGGCGAGGUCAGUUUCUUCAAUUCCCACCUCUUGGUUUCAUAAUCUUUUAUGGUCUUAGAGGUGUUUUAGGGAAACAUUAUGGUUUUGGUUUGUGGGCAUGAAUCCUUGAAGAGAGUAUGAUGUGUCGGACUAUGUAUGCAAUAAUAAGUAUAGGGGAUCUUGUUAAGAGAAGAUUCUCUUAAUGAGAUUAAAACUUUUGUCUUAUCAAAACAUAUGUUUAGUUAUGAUAUCAUGUUAGCAUUGUUUCUGAGGAUUUGAUUGCUUGCUUUGGGAAAGGGAUGUUGAGGUUACAUUAUUCAGUAAUGAUUUUUUUUUUUUUUCAAAUGUUCAAAUUAUGCAGCCUUUGAGCGGAUAUGGAGUGUCCAAAGUGUUGGAUUCCACACAUCCAAAUUAUAAGAAAGAUGACUUGGUCUGGGGCUUAACCAGUUGGGAGGAGUACAGUCUCAUCCAAUCACCACAACAUCUGAUUAAAAUUCUGGAUACAAAUGUGCCUCUGUCAUACUAUACUGGGAUUCUUGGUAAGUUGUUACUAAAUUUAUCGAUGUCCAGUUUGCAUGAGCCGAAAAUCGUGUUUUAUUCAAUGCAAUGAGAUAGGGAUAUAUAAUAUGCCUGCUUGAACGUCUAGCAUUUUGAAUUUUCAACAAUUGGUCCGUCUGUAUGGGCAUGUAACUGAAGGAUUUCAUUUGAGGAAUUUACUAUUGUUGCUGAUUAUUGGGUAUUUUUCUGUUGAUUCUAGGUAUGCCUGGUUUGACUGCAUAUGGUGGUUUAUAUGAGCUUUGCUCUCCUAAGAAAGGAGAGUAUGUCUAUGUAUCUGCAGCAUCUGGAGCUGUUGGUCAGCUAGUUGGGCAAUUUGCAAAGUUGGUUGGUUGCUAUGUUGUUGGAAGUGCAGGAAGCAAAGAAAAGGUGAGUUUGCACUCUUGACCCUUAAGCUCCAAAUAAAAACAUAAUAACUUCCAAAAGAAUUGUGCAUGUCACAGUAUUUGUGUUCUAACUGAUCAUGGAUAUUUGAUCAGUAGUCUAGUAGAAACAGACCUAUUAAUACAUAGUUGAUUCGUCCUCAAGAAAAUUUAGUUGAUAUAUGCUUGAAAUUAUAUUCUGUUUUUUAUGCCAGAUUAUAUUAUUAGAUGACUAUAUUAACCAGAUUCUUUUUCUUUGUGCUGUUUCUCAUUUGAUUACGUUUUCAACAUUAGGUCAAUCUGUUGAAGAACAAGUUUGGGUUUGAUGAUGCUUUUAACUAUAAGGAAGAGCCAGACUUGGAUGCAGCUCUUAAGAGGUUAGCACGAAUGAAUGCUUUAACCACUUUUCUCACUUCAUUAUUACAAUGCGCUGAUUGAUGUUAUCUGCGUUGGUCCUGUAAAUGUAAAACAGGACAAACAGAGAUCACUGAUCUCAUUUGUUACAUUGAUAUUUUCUACCAUUGCCAUACAUAGUAUAAACUUGGAAUGAAGAUAGAUAUUCAAUUCAGAGGGAAAUUUUCACUUGCAGCUAACAGAAUCAUGUUUGUGAUGUAUGUUUAUUUAGGAAAUGAAAAGAUUCGUUGCAUUAUUUUAUUCCAAGUUUGCUGAAAUCAUAUUUGUUUUCCCAGGUGCUUUCCUGAAGGCAUCGACAUCUAUUUCGAAAAUGUUGGGGGUAAGAUGCUUGAUGCAGUCCUACUCAACAUGAGAAUUCAUGGCCGCAUCGCCGUAUGCGGAAUGAUCUCACAGUACAACCUUGAGAAGCCUGAAGGCGUACACAACUUGAUGCAAGUAGUUGGAAAACGAAUUCGCAUGGAAGGGUUUCUUGCCGGUGAUUUCUACCACCAAUAUCCGAAAUUCUUGGAACUGGUUAUGCCGGCAAUCAAAGAAGGAAAGUUAGUAUAUGUCGAGGACAUAGCUGAAGGCCUGGAGAAAGCUCCAUCAGCCCUAGUUGGGAUAUUCACUGGGCAGAAUGUUGGAAAACAACUGGUUGUAGUUGCUCCUGAAUGAUAUGAUUACAAUAUGCUUUAAAAGUGGACUGUGCCAUGCACUUUAAAAGCUUAGUGAAGAUGCCUCUGUCUUAUUUUUGAUACAUGUUAUGUUUGUUUGAUCAAGUUGUACUCAGCUAUAAAUGAAAGAUUCAGAACAUGUGUAUGGUACUGGUUUCUAAAUCAAUGAACGCUUUGAAAUGUUAGUGUUUUCACUGGAGAAUGCAGUUUAAUUCAUCAACAAUGUCCCAACAAGACCCUCAAGAGUGGUAGCUUGCAAAGUUAAUUACUAUAUUUUUUUCUUUCCGAUAUAUUGUUCAUUUCAUAGAAAGUUUACAUUAAUUAAAGUCUCAUGUUUCUUUGAAAGGUAAGCAAGUGUGAAUGUUUCUAUCUAGAGCUGGAAAAUGCAUUUCCGUGCAACUUACUUGAUGAAUGAAGUUUUCAUCUCUGACCUUGAUGUUUCCCAGAGCUGCAUUCAUUUCAGCUGAUCUAUUUCAUUUCGUUUGCAAAGGAGUGACACAAAACCUCCUUUGUUAAGGGGAGAAUUUAGAGUGGCUUCAACGGUUAACAAAUAGCCUAAUGUAAGACUUAAUCAAUUUCCUGCCCGGUUGCUUACCACUACUUAUCACUUUAACGUAUGAAACCUAAUCAAGAUUCCUUUGAUGAUUUUUCUAUUUGCUAAUUGAUUGAUAAGCUCUUCAGUGAAGAUAUAGUGUCCGCAAGCCAUAUGUUGAUAGAGUUAGAGUUUGCAGAAGCUACUGUACCAUAUGUUGUUAGAGGCGGUAAAAACGGAGGCAGAUCAACACACAUUUAAAUUUCAAUGACAAUUUACUGGAAAUAAAUUUCCUAUGACCCUACAUGUGACUAAUUGAUGAGAACUUGACAAUGACAAAAGAAAGUGUAUGAGCUUUGCAGGCUGGCUUGCCAAUAUUGACUGUAUGGCACCAUCCGCAAGUAAGUAUCAUUACUGUUUAAUCAACUUGGUGGAGUCCACUGGGACCACCCCACAUGGUCAGUCUUAUCUCUACUCCUAAAUUUUCAAUAUUCCAUACAUCAAACCAAUUGCAGUUUUGAUAUCAAAUUCAAUUUUAUUGUUGGUGACGAUUCUGAUUCCUUUCAUUCUCACAAAACGGAACCAUGGUUGCUGUUGGAGAGAUCUUACUCAACGCCUUCCUUGAGGUGUUGUUUGACAGGUUGGCUUCUCGUAAUUUGCUCCGCUUUGUGCGUCAACUCCAAGGCGGGGUUGAUUCGGAGCUCAAGAAGUGGGAGAAAAAGCUGAAGAUGAUUCAGGCUGUGCUCUGCGAUGCAGAGGAGAAACAACUGACCGAUGAGGCUGUGAAGAUGUGGCUGGACGAACUCCAAGACUUAGCUUAUGACGCUGAGGACAUUCUUGAUGAGUUUGCUACUCAAGCUUUGGAAAGCAAGUUGAUGGCGCAAAACCAGGAUAGCUCUGGCCAGGUUCUCAGUCUCAUCCCGGCUAGUUUGAAUCCGAAUGCUAUUAUGUUCAAUUAUAGCAUGGGGUCCAAGAUUAAAGAUAUGACUAGCCGGCUGGAGCAACUCUGCCAAGAAAGAAUUGAACUUGGACUGCAACGGCUUACUGGAGGGGCGUCAUCAACCGCUGCUGCUGCACACCGGAGGCCACCCAGUUCGAGUGUCCGAACAGAACGUGAAGUAUUUGGAAGAGAAGAAGAUAAGGCCAAAAUUCUUGAUAUGGUCAAUACCCCAAGUGAUCACGCCAACUUUGUUGUAAUACCUAUUGUUGGAAUGGGCGGGAUAGGAAAAACAACUCUUGCUCGGGAGGUCUACAAUGACAAGGCAGUUGAGGAUUCCAAGUUUGACGUAAAAGCAUGGGUUUGUGUCUCCGACAACUUUGAUGUUUUCAACAUUUCAAAGGCACUUCUCGAGUCAAUCACCUCCGCAGCUAGUGAUCUCAAGACUUUAAAUGAAGUGCAGGUUCAACUGAAAAAAGCAGUGGACGGAAAAAGAUUCUUGCUGGUCUUAGAUGAUGUUUGGAACGAGGACUACAGCUUGUGGGUAGACUUAAAAGCUCCGUUCCUGGGUGCUGCACCAAACAGUAAGAUGAUCGUCACCACACGCAAUUUAAACGUUGCAUCAACAAUGGGACCAAUUGAACAUUAUAAUCUCAAGAGUCUGUUAGAUGAUGAUUGCUGGUCCAUUUUCAUACAGCAUGCAUUUGAAGGUAGAGAUCUUAACGCAUAUCAAAUUUCAGAAUCAUUCAGCAAGAAAGUUGUUGGCAAGUGUGGGGGCUUGCCUCUGGCAGCAAAAACGCUCGGGGGCCUUCUGCGCACAACAAGGCAUGAUGCGUGGGACGAUAUAUUGGAUAGCAAAAUAUGGGAUUUACAUCAACAAAGCAGCAUUCUCCCUGUGUUAAGAUUGAGUUACCAUCAUCUUCCGUCUCAUUUGAAAAGAUGUUUUGCUUUUUGUGCCAUCUUUCCAAAAGAUUAUGAAUUCACUGAGAAGGGGCUAACUUUCUUGUGGAUGGCUGGAGGUAUUAUUCGACAGUCAAGAAACAGUGAGCAGCUGGAAGAUUUGGGCAGCAAGUGCUUUCAUGAUCUAGUGUCAAGGUCUAUUUUUCAACAAACCAGCUCUGGUAGUUCUAAAUUUGUAAUGCACGACCUUAUCCAUGAUUUUGCUGAAUUGGUUUCUGGAGAGACCAUUUUAAGGUUAGAGGAAUCCACCAACUUGUCGUCAAGGAGAUUUGAAAGAGUUCGCCAUUCUUCCUAUGCCCGUGGUUGGCUUGAUGGUAAAAAUAAGUUUGAGGUUUUCUAUGAAAUUGAACAUCUGCGAACAUUCUUGCCAUUCUGCAUAAGAGGUGGCCCUAAUACUAGUUACGUAACUAGUUUACUUCUAUAUGAUUUGUUGCCGAAGUUUAAAAAGUUGAGGAUGCUAUCUUUAGAAGGAUACCAGAUUGGUGAGUUACCAAUUCCAUUUGAAGAUUUGAGACCUUUAAGGUUCCUCAACCUUGCCGACACUGACAUAAGAAGUUUACCCGAGUCAACAUGCAAAUUGCUGAACUUGGAAAUUUUGAUAUUACGAAAUUGUUCCCGUUUGAUAAAGCUUCCGCCCAAAAUGAGGAAUUUGAUCAAUUUACGCCAUCUCGAUAUAAAAGGUGCAAAGCUGCUGAAGGAGAUGCCAUUGGGAAUGAAAGCGUUGAGGAGUCUUCAAACAUUGUCCAAUUUUAUUGUAGGCAAGGGUGAAUCUGCAUCUGGUUUGGAAGAUUUAAAAAGUUUAAACUUUCUUUGUGAUGAACUCUGCAUUGCUGGAUUAGAGAGUGUGAAUAGUCCACAGAAUGCAAGAGAAACCGCAUUAUGCGAGAAGCACAAUCUUGAAGCAUUGACUCUAGAAUGGGGGUCUCAAUCUAACAGUCCUCGGGAUGCAGUACUAGAGGAGAAUGUACUUGACACUCUACAGCCUCAUAAACGUAUAAAAGAGCUGGCAAUCAGGCACUAUGGUGGUGCAAGAUUUCCACUUUGGAUCGGACAUCCUUCGUUCUCCGAGAUGAAGGUCCUUAAAUUGGAGAACUGUGACAAGUGUGUAUCUCUGCCAUCGCUUGGCCUGAUGAAUUCACUUAAGCACCUUGCUGUUAAAGGGCUGAAGAAACUAAAAAGCAUAGAGUCUGCGGUCUUUCCAUCAUUGGAGAUUCUAAGUUUUGAGAAUUUGCCAGAAUGGGAGCAUUGGGACACCAAUAUCAAUGGAAAUGUGCACGUUGAAAUAUUUCCUCAUCUCCAAGAACUUUCCAUUGCAGAAUGUCCCAAACUCUCUGGAGAACUGCCUGAGCUCCUGCCCUCCUUGGAGACACUUGUCGUUAGUAAAUGUGAACAGUUGGCAGUUCCAUUGUCUUGCUAUCCGAUGCUCUGCAGAUUAGAAGUUGAUGAGUGCAAAGAACUCGUGUGCGGGACUCCAAUUAAUUUUAAGUUGGUAAAGUCUUUGACCAUUUCAAAUAGUUCAUUAGACAUGAAUGGAUGCAAUGGGAUGCUAUACCAUGGUCCAGCUGGCUCUUCACUGUCUAAACGCAUGACUAUUACAAAUGUUUUGGAGUUUGGAAAAUUAUUGAAGCCUGGAUUUCAGAUAUUAGAAUAUUUGGUAAUUGGCAAUUCUGAACAGCUCAAGUCAUGGAGGCGGGCCAGGAGACCUAGACGUUUUAAUGAACCAGAACACGGGCUAAAAAUUCUCGCUUCCCCUGAAGAGGUAACAAUUGAAGAAAGUUGCGUAAAUCUUGUUUUGUUUGCAGAGAUCAAUUUCUUUCCCAGAAAUCUGCGCUCUCUUCUAAUUUUCAAUAACAUACCUUUAAAAUCCUUACCCGAGGAAAUGAUGGACAACAAUUCACAACUGGAAAGCUUGUGCAUCAGAAAUUGCGAUUCUCUAACAUUCAUCACAAGACACAAGCUACCUUCAUCUCUAAAAAGUAUAGCAAUUAAGAAUUGUGAGAAAUUGCAACGUCCGUUCGAUGAUGAAGAGGAUGCUUCUUCUUCUUCUUCUCCUUCAUCCUCGUCUUCCCCAGUGAUGCUGCAAUGCCUGACUAUAGAGAACUGCCCAGAGCUCACCAGUUUAUCAUCGGGAAUCCAAUUCCUUGAGGCGCUUGAAGUACUCGAGCUAAGGGAUUGUCGAAAGCUGGAGUCAUUACCGGAUGGCCUGCAAAAUCUUAACUGUUUACAGAGCAUUCAUAUAGAUGGAUGUCCAAGUCUUGUUUCCUUCCCAGAAAGAGGGCUUCCCAACACCAUUUCGAGAGUUUACAUUCGUGGUUGUGAGAAGCUUGAAGCCCUGCCCAACGACAUGCACAAACUCAACUCUCUCGAAACUUUAAACAUACGGAAAUGUCCAAAUCUUGUAUCGUUUCCAGAGGAAGGUUUUCCUACCAGUCUAGUAUCACUUACAAUUGGAUAUGUCAAAAUGUAUAAGACACUCGUCCAGUGGGGGUUGCAUAGGCUUACCUCUCUUACACACCUCGAGAUUAUUGGAUGUGAUGAUGAAGCAGAGUGUUUUCCAGACGAGGAGAUAGGAAUGAUGCUGCCCACCUCUCUCACUCAUCUGCAACUUUCGGAAUUCAAAAAAUUGAUAUCUCUCUCUUCGACGGGUUUUCAGAGCCUCAACUCUCUUCAAUCUUUGUGGAUAUUGGGUUGCCCAAAUCUCACAUCAUUCCCAGAGGUGGGCCUUCCAUCCUCACUUUUGGAAUUACACAUUGUCAAGUGUCCAAAGCUUAAAGAAGUUUGCAAAAGAGACCAAGGAGAAGAGUGGCCCAAAAUUGCUCACAUCCCUUGUUUUGAGAUAGACUGGAAAUUCAUAUACGAUCCAGAAUCAGAGGAGUAGAUUCUCCUAUUAAGGUCAGUUGAUUUUUUAUUAUCCGUUAUAACAAGCUCCUCCUUUUUUAUUUUUUUAAUAAUAAUUUAGCAGUUCUAUAUAAUUAUAAAUCCUCCGCCCUUAAUUGAAAAUGUCACUCAUUUGAUUCCAUUUUCACAAGUCAGAUCGUAUGUUGAGGUUAUUUGCAUUUUAUCGGUGUUUAUUAAGGUAAUUAGUGCGUUAUAGGUUGAUUACUCACAGAUUAAGUUAUAACAUUUAUCUUAAAAUUUAAUGUCAUAGACAGAGAUGAUUUUUUAAUCCAAAGUUUUCUUGAUUCACUUCAAUUAGCAUUUUCUUUUCCCCAGAUCAGGCACGCGGAGAGUUCCAAUCAAGAAUUGGAGCAUGUGAAUGGGAUUUUUGUGAAAACAUAAUGAUGCAGGAACUGGGAUCUCAAAGUCAACAGAAUUUUAUUUACUCAUUGACUUUUCAACUCCUGUGGUUAUUUAUGGGUGAAAGAAAGAUAAGGGCAAUUUCAAGAAAUUUGCAAACUCUGUCAAUUUCUUUUAAUUGUACCAAUUUGUCGUUUAUGCUUUGGUUUUAUUUUUUCAGUUUUGUUUAUUGCUUAGAUGGUAGCAUACUUGAAAUGAUACAUAGCCUUCACCGGCAGAAUUCUAGUCUUGGCUUUCACCUCUCUAACUCAUCUCAUCUGUUCCUAUUGGGAUUCCAGAAAUUGAAAUUUCUGUCAUCAAUGGGUUUCAAAGCCUCACCGCUCUCCGAUUUUUGUGGAUCGGGAAUUGCACAAAUCUCACAUCAUUUCCAGAGGUGGGCCUUCCAUCCUUGCUUUUUGGAAUUACAAAUUGGAAAAUGCUACUUUCCCCGGGUCAAAUCCCAGGUCAAACCCCGAAUUAAACCAAAACGACACCGUUUUGGUUUCUUUUUUUUGUCCUUUUUGCUUCCAUGAAACGUGGUCGUUUCAGCCAAACAAAAGCAAAUGUCUUCGUUUUUUACUUCCUCUCCUCUUCGAUUCUCCUCUUCGUUUUACCAACAGACCAACAGAGCACAAAUUGCAGAAGUCACUUGCACAUCAAUUCAUCACAAAAUGCAGAGUUUUACUAAAGAAAAAAACGAUGCCGUUUUUCUUGCCAAAUAUUUUCCAUUUCCUUCGUUCAUGGAGCUCCUGCCACCGCCAAAGCCAAAUAUUUCCCCUUUCAUUUCCUUCGUCAAUCAAGCUCCAGCCACUUGCUUCGUCGAUCGAGCUCUAGCCACAGCCAUUCGCAAAUCGCAGUCCACAAUCCGCGCCUGAAAUUGUCAUUCACAAUCCACAACUCACAACCAUGACUUCACACAGAGAACGACUCCCACAGCCUUCACGCGACAGCGAGAUCGAGCUCUUUAACAUUCGAAGAACAUAUCUGGUUGCGAAAGUUGAUUUUUAAUUUGCUUGCGAGCUGAGAUGCUUCGAAUUCUCUGUUUUUUUUUUUUUUUUGUAAAUUACUAAGCCAAAAGCUUUGCAUAAGCUUCUGCUUCGGUUUUGAAGAUUGUGAAGCUGGAAAUGUUUUUUCCCUUUUUAUAAAUGGAUAAUUGAAAGUUUGAACUUUACCUUCGUACUUUCUUUUUCAUAAAUUGCUCAUGGUGCAGUCUCAUUUUGCUAGUUGAAGAAACAGUUAAGGGGGUCUGUAGUUGGGAAGAAAGAGGAAACGAAAAUGAAAAGAAAAAGCUUAAGUCUCGGUGCGUUCAAGUAGCAUUUUUUCAAUUAAAAAAUUUAAUUCUCAAAACGGCGUCGUUUUCUAAAGUUUCGGGGUUUGACCCGGGAUUUGACCCGGGGUAAAUAGCAGAACUCUUACAAAUUUACAGUUGUCAGAAGCUUGAAAAAGUGUGUAAAAGAGAUCAAAAUUCUUGUCUUGGCUUUCACGUAGGGAUGGCAAAAAUCCCCACGGGGACGGGUACCCUCGGGGAUUUUCCCCAUUCGGGGAGGGUAUGGGGAUAAUUUCAUACCCAAUUUCUUAUUCGGGGAGGGGACGGGGAAAUUUUGUUACCCAAUUUCUUAUUCGGGGAGGGGACGGGGAUGAGGUGGAAUCCCCAUCCCCUACCCAUUUCCCCAUUUUAAUUUUUAAUUUUAUUUUAAUUUUUUAAAAUUACUAGUAAAUAAAUAAUAAAAUUUAAAUUAUAAAAUUAUAAAUAUUGGUAAAAAUAAAAAAUAUCAAAAUAUUUAUAUUAUUAAACUUUUAGGCUUAAUUAACUAAUUAAAGUCCUAAAUUUUUAUUUAGGACAUUAAAAAGACCGAGUAGAUUCUAUUAGCCCAAAAGUUUUUUAUUUUUAAUAUUCUUUAAAUAUUUUAAACUUAAAUCUAUUUUUUAUUUAUUUUUAGAUGUUAUAAUUGCCCACAUCGAAUCACAAUUUUAAUAUCUAAUCUAAUCUAAUCUAAUCUAAUAUUUACUCUUGAUUUGCUCCGAUUUAACUAUUGUGUUGUAAAGGGAAUAGUCCACAUUUAUAAAGUGCCCACGCCACCAUUAAAAAAGUUAAUUUUGAAUCUAAAUUCGAUUUUAUUUGUAACAAUUUUGUAUUAAACUAUUAAUUUGUUCAUGAUAGUUUGUAAAAGAAGUUUGUAUCCCUUGCAUGCUGUGUUACUUACUAAUUUAAUGUAUGUGACUUUUGUAAUGGAUAUUAAUGUAAGAUAUAUUUCAAAUUUUACUUUUAUUUGAAUUUUUUAUUUUAAUAUGAUUAACUCAAAAUCGAAAAAAAAAUAUUAGUUAUUCGGGGAUCGGGGACCCUCGGGGAUCCCCUGUUAUUAUUCGGGGAGGGGAUGGAGAUUCGCUCAAGUAAUUCUGACGGGAACGGGGAGGGGACGGGGACAUACGCAAAAUAUCGGGGAUGGGUACGGAGAGAUUGGUCCCCUCCCCUCCCCUCCCCAUUGCCAUCCCUACUUUCACGGAUAGUUUUUAUCACGUAACCACGUGAGGAAGCAUGUGCUGGAGCCUGAAUUCAGUUAGUUAAAGUUUGUUAACCACGUGUCAACAAACUGUAUAAUCUGGAAAAUAAGCUAGCUAUUGAAACAGGGUAUAAAGGCUGGUUUUUCAGGGACUAUCGAGAGCUGAUUCUAGAGUCUUGUAGAAAGAGGUUUGUGAGAGAGAAAGUGUCAUCUUGUUCUCUGUAAAAUCCGAUAUAGGGCUCUGUAACGAUCUCCAUUGUUGAAUCAAUAAAACUCAUCUAGAAGCUUCUCUCGUGGACGUAUUCUGAGCAAUCAAUGCACAGCUGAACCACGUAAUAUCUUGGUUUCUGUGGGUUCUUGUUUUGGUUCUUGAUAAAUUCUUGUUGUUGUAUUGAGGUGUGAUUUGAUCUGUCUAAACUUGUAUCUGUGCAACUUGAAUUGAUUUGAUGAUAAGAAUCUUGGGCAGUGAUCAGAUUCGUUUAGUUUAAAGAACAAGCUGAUUACUACCGUACCUAUGCAUGGACCUGCAACCUGUGCUGACAAAACUGAAACUGUGAGUUUGAGGUAAAAAGGUCCUGGACCCUCACAGUUUAACUUUGACUUGUUGCUUUCUGGAUAAACAUAUUUUAGAAAUUUGCAAUUUGUUGUUAAUUAUGGUAUGUGAUUUUCUUCUUUGUUUUCGCUUUUGUAGAAUCUACCGUAUUACAUAUUGGCAGUUGUAUCUGAGGUACCUUUUUUGCAUUUAACUUGCCUUUAUCUGUUUUGCCUGUUACUUAACAACACAAACACAUCAUUUCCCAAACAUUUGGAGAAGCAUCUCAAGAUGCUUAACAAACUUGACAAACUUCAAGAUGCUCCCAAGCCUUGAUUCUUCACAAUGGAAGACCUGUGAGUACACUUAUGCCCGCAAUUAUUGUGAAGUGAUUGCAACUUUGAUGCAGCGAAAUGGUUUGCUGAUGCAAAGCUUUAAAACUGUUAAGAAUUACCCUGCAGGCUUGUUGGAUGUUGUAUACUCCAAAAGCCACCAACACCAAGAACUAUAACAGCAAGACUAGGUUUGCAUUAAUUCAAUUAGCUGAAAUAAUGAUGCAAAUGGCACUAUCCAGCUCGACUUAGAGACUAGUCAGGUCAAUCAUCCAUUUCAUCAACAGUUAAUGUCAGGAUGGUGGCUAGCAGAGGAAACAAAGGAUAUGUUGGAAUCAAUAAGAACAGUGAGAAGCAUGAGAGGAGCUUUGAUUAUAAGUAGGCUCAAUGAACUAGUGUUGGUAAGUGGUAAUUAGAGCAAUUUGUGAGCUUAGUAGAGUUUCAAUAUUUUCUGUUUGGGAUAUAGUUGAUAAGUUGAUACUCUGAUUAAGAAGGCUGAUUAUAGUAGCUGACUAUAUUAACCGGGUUCUCUUUUUUGGUUUGCUGUUGUUUUUUCUUUCAAUAUCUUUUUCAACAUUAGGUUUAGCUGUUGAAGAACAAGCUUGGGUUUGAUUAUCAGGUAAGAACAAAUGAAUGCUUUAACCAUGUUUCUCACUUAUCACAAUGCACGGAUUGAAGGCGUCUGAGUUGAUCCUGAAAAUUUGAUGGAAACACUUCUCUGUUUUCAUAAAACAGGACAACCAGAAAUAUCUGAUCAUGCCUGAGAAUUCGUCGCAUUGAAAUUUUCUACCAUUGCCAAACAUAGAAUAAACCAGGGAUACAUUAGCUUAAGACUCAAUUUUGAGAAGGAAGUUUGUACUUGCAGACUAUAAAAUCAUGUCUACCUUGUAUGUUUCUGUGGGGAAUGAAAGAUUCUGUGUGUUCUUUUACUUCGGGUUUGCUGAAAUCACAUUUGUUUUCUCAGAUGCUUUCCGGAAGGUAACAACGUCAAUUUCAAAAAUGUUGGGGUAAGAUGCAUCAUGCAGUGCUGCUCAACAUGAGAAUUCCUGGCCGCAUUACCCGUAUGUGGAAUGAUCUCACACUACAACCUUGAGAAGGUUGUAAGGAGUACACAACUAGAUGCGAGUAGUUUCAAAAUGAAUUCACAUGGAAUUAUAUGUUGCCGCUUAUUACUAUCACGUCUAUCCGAAAAUUCUUGGAAUUUGUCACCGGCAUUGAAGGAUUGUAUACGUGAAGACAUAGCUGAUGGCCUUGCGAAAGCUCCAUCAGCACUUAUAUCGGAAACAGCUGGUUGUAGUUGCUCCUGAGUGAUAUGAUUAAUAGAUACUGUAAAAAUGAACUGUGCCACUCAUAUCGAAAACCAGCUGUUAUGAUGUGUUGGUAAUGUGUUUGAUGCUUGUUUGAUUUAUGUUGUAUUCGGCUAUAAAUCAAAGAUCAGAACAUGGGUGUGUUACUGGUUUCCAAAUCAAAAAAUGCCUUGUGAUGUUAGUGUUCACUGUUUUCACAGGAGACCAGGUUCCUUGUUAAUGAGUCAAGAAGAAGACAAGUGAAUCCAUGUCUGAGUUCAAAUGUGUCUUUUCUAUUUCUUUUACCGACACAUUUAUUUUGAUUUCUUUGACUAGAUGACUAAAGAGUAAAGAUAGAAGAAAUCAAAACAAAUGAGUCAGGUCCCACCUGGCCCAUUGGCCCAUCUCUCUUCCAGCCCAAAUCACUCUCAUUCGCUAUUUUGCCACCUUCAUUUCACUGCCCUCAUAGCUCCCCGUUCUCACGGUGGCUGCCAUCUUUCUGCUCACGCAUCUUUCAAAUUUCAAACCUAACAGCAUUCUGUUGCUCUGUCGUGGGUACUUCAACUUCUGUCACCUUCGGUAAGCUUAUCUCUGCCCCUCUGUGGCUGUCUCUCUCUUUACAAUGUUGUUUCUUAUUCAAUUUACAGAAUUGAAUUCACUGUUCAGUUUAUGGGUUAGAUUUUUAUUCAAAAUAAUAUUAAACCCACCUCAGAUUUUAUCCCGUAGUAUGUAAAGUUCAUGUAAAGUUUCCACCUUUACGACCGUCCGAUGUUUAAAGUUCUAAUUUUGUUCCGGGGUUUUAUCAGUGUAUUUAGAAAUUAUGUCCAUUGUUUUUAUGAAAAUGGAACUAUUUUCAUUUGUUUAUUUCUCUAUGGAUGAGAAAACCGGUCUUUAAGCUUUAUAAUCUUUAUUUGAUUAUUAGAUUUCUCUUUUGUUAUUCAGAUGAGUUCAGUUUUCCAAUUCUGUGCAAUUGUUUUGUUGCAUUUUUCAAUUUUAUCUUUUUCCAAUGCGACGUUUAUGUUUGUAUUUUCUUAAAAGUGGACAUGAAUUUUGAUUUGUUGUUGCUUUGUUGUGAUUGAGUAGCCAAUUUUAAGUCCAUAUUAAACUUUCUCAAUUAUUAGUUGAAUUAUUUGGAUUUGAAAUUUUAAGUUCUUAAAACCGCCAUUUUAACUUGUUUGUUAAUGGCUCUGUUGAGCUUCAACAUUUGUUUUCAAGAACAAAAUUGAUGGAACUAUAAACCUUCGUUUCUCACAUGCGGGCAACAUGUUAUGUUAGACAGAGUGAAAUCGACAGAAGAAACCAAAACAUUGGAAACAGAGACACAGAGAGAGAUCAGCAGAAAUGGCUUGGUGCAGAGUACGCUCAGCUUCAUCGACACUCUUCAUUAGGCUUCUCUGCCCUUUCAUUCUCAACAAUAACACUACUUAACGCUAUCAGUCCUGUGGUACUCUUGUUUCUAUACUUGUGGAAUCUCUUUUUUAAUCCUCAAAGUUUGAAUUAAAUUAUAUUGCCUCUGUAUUUCUGCAGAAACGGAAUCAGUUGGUGAUGACAUUAAUUCUCAAGUUGGAAGUUGCAUGCCACUUUCUUGUAUGCAUGUUGGGACCAUCAUCAACAACAUUGAGGUAAACUCAGCCAAGAUUUUGAAAAAGAAUCCACUUCAAGGUACUGCUUAGUUUCUGGAAAUGAGAAAUUGAUUGACACUAGACGUCAACCCACCAUUGAUACAGCGUCUAACCCCAGCCAUGAAGCUAAGAUGCUUAGGAAGGCUGGUCAGAGCCAUUGGUUGGGCCAAAGACCUGUGAUUAGAGGAGUACCCAUGAAUCCAGUUGAUCAUCCUCGUGGUCGAGGUGAGGGACAAGGCAAAAGUAGUGGUAAGCAUGGAAGGUGUUCACUUACACCUUGGGGCAAGCCUUGUAAGUGGUGUAAAACUGCAUCUCGUAAGAAGAAAAGGAAAUUUAGCCGUCUGAUAAUAUUGUCCUUCUGUGCUAUUUAGCCUUUUUAAUAUUGUUACAUUGUUUGUUAUAUCUUUGAUGUUAGUUUUGGACCAGCUUUUAACUGAUCCAUAAUGAAACUGAAGUUUAAUUUUCGAUUGAACUUUUACUGGUUUUACUCCUGUCAUUUCAAUUUAGCUUUGAUUUAAGAUGCUGAAUUCUGUGAUUGGAGUAUGUAGAUUGGAAAGAGAGAUAUUAUGGGAUAGAAUAUAGAUUUUGUGUUUUGGUUUCUCAUGUUUAGAGAUAUUCUGUUCUUUUUCAUUUAUUCAAUUUGGUUAGUGGUGAUCUCUUAAAGAGUUAAUGCAUGUGUGUUUAUGUACUUUUCUUUUGGCCUUGAUUCUAUUUCUUGGGGAGUUUAUACAGAUUCCUCUUUUAUGCUUCACAUGCCACAUGCCACAUGAAAGAUGAAAGCCUUUUGUGUGAUUAGAAUUGACUUGCAUCAUAGUAACUUUGAACCACUGUAACAUUUUUAUAAUAGCAGUCUGCGAUCUCCUUGAAGGAUUCAAAGCAUUUUUUUUGUUAGUCUUGGCUUGCAUUAAAAUCCUUUAUACCGAUUGGUUGGUCUCCUUUAAAGCAAUUCCUGUUUUAAGUAAUCAAAAUCUUGAUUCGGAAGUGUGUUUUAGCACUACUAAAGGUUCUUUUAAAUACUAAAUUGAUUGUGAGUCUUCUAUAUCAUCUGAUUGAAAUACAUGAAAGCGAUAUUGGCUACAAAAGUACACUUGGGGUUGUUUAUAAAGUCUUCAACAGGAUUUUUUUUUCCCCUUCCUCAUGGUUUAUUUUUUAGUUGUUGUUUAACAAAACACUUAAAAGGUUCUCUUUAUAGGUUUCUGAAAAUAAUUUUAACAUAACCAUUUUUCAGAAGCACUUUAGAUACCUGUGGCAUUUAGAAAAUUUUGUUCCAGCAUUCACAUAAUAUACAUAGAAAUUUGAAUUUAUUUAAUUAUGAGCAUGUGCUAGUGCCUAUUGGCAUCCACUUGUAUAUACAAAUGUAUUAUACAAUACAAUAUUAGCUUGACUGUAGCAUAGAGGAGAAUAGGGUCGGAAUUGGUCUGAAUUCUGAUCUUUGAAUAAAUAUAAUAGCUGAUUGAAGCUGCUCAUGUGACUCCAUUGUCAGCAGCUUACACAAGGUCUUUUAGCUUUUUAAAAAGUUUUGUGAUAUUUCAUAGUUCACAUGGAUUGCUACAGUAUAGAAUACCCAAUUAGGGCAUUUUUAAUUCCUAUGCAUAGGAGUCUUCCUUCAUGCGCACGCGCGUACACACAUAUAUUUCCCACUUCCGUUCACUCCAAAAGUGAAAAUUGCGGGCAAUUUUUAUCUUCAGUAAAAUUGGAGUAGAUGUUGUUCUUAUUGGCGCAAAUUUGCGUACCAUGUUUGUGGGACCCUUAACCUUGCGCCUUUGUUACAAUCAUAUGCAUUCAGGCUUUUGGUAGACCCUUGGAUAGUAUGAUCAGUGUAUUAGAAUUUAGAAUUCGUGUUUAUAAGGGUCAGUUUGGUAAUGUUAUAAUUUUUAAAAUAAUUACUGUUAGCUAUACUAUAGAAAUAAUCAGUUGUGAAUAAAAUCAGUUAAACAGUUGAUAAAUUUUGUUUUUAAGGUGUUGUGAGUUUUAAACAAUUUGUAUGUAUUUAGUAAAUCUCGCUUUUAAAGUAUUAUAAGAAUGCAAAGACUUAAAUAGAUAGAAAUCUAUAAAAUUUAUUUACAUGUGCAUUUAUACAAUAAUAUUUUAUGCAUGUAUAUAAUAAUUAAUAACAGAAAUAAAUAUUUUUAUUUUAUUAAUUAUAUAUUUUUCUUAUUAUCUCAAUAUAAUUGGUAAUAAUAAUCUUUUUAAUAGUACAUUUAUUAAUCAGUAAUCGAAAUGGGCUGGAAUCGGAAUGGGGAAUGAAAAUCAUAAUAAUUUGUUUACUUUAGCUGUAGGAAUCAAAAUCACAUGGAGCUAUAUUAUCAUUAAUAUAUUUAUUUUGUCUUGGAAUCGAAAUAGAUUGUUACAAAUUACUAAACUGAUUUUAUUAUUAUCAAUAUUAUUAUUAAACAAGGUAAAGGGAAUUUUUAAUUUUCACUAGGUGUAGAAAUGUCGAUUCACUUCUCAUUCUCAUUCUCUGUUCUCAUUCCCCCUCCUCAUAGGAUUACCAUUUCACAUUCUCAAAAAUUUAUAAUUGACUCACAUUUCAUUCUCAUUCCUCCUUAUUUUGGAAGUAAAUAAGUUAAAGAAUCAUAUUCCUUUAUUCUUGUUUUUCAUUCACAUUCCUUCUCCUUAUUUUGGAAGUAAAUAACUUAAAGAAUCAUAUUCCCUUAUUCUUGUUCUCGUUCUCGUUCUCAUUCUCAAUUAGUAAGCACACUACAAAUGCAAUGAUUUUGUUUCCUAAUUAAACAAGGAUAAUUUUUAGAUUUUUAUAAUAUAUGUUAAGAUAUAUGUAGAAUUGUAUUAAAUAUGAAACUGACUCCCAAAAUCAUAUUUUAAAAAACUAUUUUUUUCUUAUUUUUUGAAAUUUAUUGUAGGCUAGGGUGAUUUUAUCAAAGUAAUUUUUUUAAAAAUUUUCGGACCCAUUUGGGAUUGUUUUUGGAAGACUCAAAAAGGAUUUUGAAUAGCUAAAAUCUAAGUUUGGUGUUUUAUAAUUUUUUUUUAAAAAAAUUACUUCUGAUAAAAUUAUCUUAUCCACGUUAAAUUUUAAAAAGAAAGGAAAAAGUAAUUUUUUAAAAUCUGAUUUUAAGAAUCAUUUUUAUACUUAAUACAAUUUCAUAAAUAUCCUGAUAUAUAUCAUAAAAAUUCAAAAUUAUCUUUAUUAGUUAGGAAAUAAAAUCAAUAAUUUUAAAAAGAUUAUUAUUAUUUCUAAUUAUAUUGAGCUAACAAAAAGAAAUAAAAUUACUAAUAUAAAAUUUAUUUUAACUAUUAAUUAUUAUAUUUACCAAUAAAAAACAUUUUAUAUACACGUUUAUAAAUAUUUAAAUAAAAUUUAUUCAUGUCGAGUUCAACCAUUUAUAUUAUUACAGCAAUUUAACAACUGGUUGUCGUUGCUCGGGAAUUAUAGAAUUACCAUAUGUUGUAAAAAUGCACUAAGCCAUGCCAUGUGUUUGAUACAGGUUAUGCUUGUUCGAUUAAAUUGUACUCACCUAUAAAUCAAAGAUUCAGUACAUGUGCAUGUUAGUGGUCUUCAGAAUCCAGAAUAAUAAAUGCCUUGAAAUGCUUGAGUUCAAUGAUUUCGCAGAAGACCAAGUUCCUUGUUAAUGAGUCAGCAUGACUGAAUCCUUCACUAAGCCAAAUUUGUUUUCACUUUUAGUUUAGAAAUUGUCAUUAAUUAAGAAAGUGUUUGAUAAAAUGCUUUGGAAGGCACUGUUCGUUGGACGUUUGCCCAGAAUUUAUGAAAUCAUUGGUGUUUCAUCCUACUUGUAACACUCUUCUUUAUUUUCUAUUCUAACGAAGAAAUCUUUUAUUAGAAAAGUGACAAGAUUGCACCUUUCAUUUGUAUGUUAAGGAGGUGUAAAAUUUUCUCGUUAAAAUCCCAUCAUGAAAAAAACUCACGGGCAAAAACCUACUGCAAAUUAAAGAAAGAAGAGUAAAUCAUGAUAAAUACACUCUCUUUUACAAUGCAAGCGGAUGCUUCAAUGAGUGGAUCAUGCGCCAAACUUGUAUAUCGUUGUUGGUAGUGCUUUGUUGAAUCAAUAUGAUAGAUUUUCACUUUUCUUUUUUUUCUUUUCUUUUUUUUUUCCUUGUGGAUACGAAAAUGAUUUGGGUUAAACUAUACUUAAUGCCGGUUUGGUACGACUUCUCUACUAAUUAAAAGAGUUUUUUUUCUUAAAUGUUCAAAAAGAUUUUUUAUUAUAAAUUGUAAUUUGAGUGGAUUUCUUGGGAUUAAACAAGUUACAUUUUUGUCUCUAUAAAGAAGUUCAAGUUAUAGAUUUUGGCAAUAGAGAUGUAGAGGUUUUUUUUUUUUCAGAGAACUAAAUUGUGGAGACUAUCUUUAUUUGGUUAUACAACUUUUUUUUUUUUAAUUUCAUAACAUAAUUUUAAAAGACUUAUUUAAUAAAUUUGAUAUUUUUUUGUAAAAAUUAUCAUUCACGUCCAAACUACUGAAGAUUUUUUUGUUAAACGCACUACUUAAAAGUUAUAUUAAUUAUAAACUUUCUAAAAAAAAAAAACAAUUCAAAGAGUUAUAGCAAACAAAGUGCUAGUUAACUUCAGUCGAUAAUAAUCUUCUAAUCCGUCCUACAAAUGACUUUCGACAAGAGUGGUGCUACUCACAUCUCUUCAAAACCCAUUUGACACCCCGUUUUCUUUAUUUAAAAUUUUAUACAUUUGAAAAUUAUUUUUUCUUUUACUUGACACUCUUCAAAUUCUAAAACUAAGCUUCAAAGAACCUUCGUCAUUAAAUCUCAUUGCCUUCCUUUAUUCUUGUUACUUGAGAAGAAGAAUGAGAGUCUGGAAGAAUGAAAGAAAAUUCAGCGAGAUAGAAAUCUAGUAAUUUCAUACCAUGAUUCAGAAUUUUUUUUUUCUCAAAAGAAUCUACUAUUCUUCUAUAUUUUAUAUAAAAAAAAGAGGAAAAGAGGAAACUGAGAGACUCUUUGUUUAAUGCUUGAAAGUUAGAAAGAAAAGGUCAGGAAGCUGCCUGGUAAUGAGAGUGAUGCAUCAGCACUAAUUUCUAUCUCGAUAGCUACCAAUUACCACCCCUAGAAAGGCUGUUGAUCAACAAGCCAUAUCUACUGGUUUCCUUUCUUUAAAAGUUCUAAUGGUCCCCUUAAAAAUCUCUAUAUGCUCAGUCUUCUCAUGAUAUAUCUGAUUUUCGCUGAGAAUUAUAGCAAGCGCUUCAGAUAUCAUAAUACUUUGUGACUGACUACUGUGCAUGCUUAAUUAUAAGAUUAUUCCUUGUGGCCAAAUAAAAUGACCCCCUUUAGAGCCUCUGUAUUUGAAAAAGCAAGACAAUGAGCUUAAUUAUUGUCAAGGUCUCCAGUAGGAUACUCCUAAAUCCAUAUACCCACCCACCAGAACUCCAAUCUUGAAACUUAUAGAUCAAACCAUAACUUAAUGUGCCUGGCAACCAGGGAUAUGUCAGGCCUUUAAAAAACCACUACAUACAUUUGAGUCUGAAAUUGCUCCAAUUAGUAUUAUGAUUAUUAUUUUAAAAAACUCAACCUAAGCAAAGUGCCUCAGCAUACAAUAUUUAUUGACAACUAAAAAGUAAUAGUGGGUGGGGGUUGCCCUGGGUUUUGUUUAAAAAUUGAAGUAAAAAAUUUUCAAAUUUCAAAUUUCUAGUACAAAGAAAAUUGAUGACUAAAUUAAAUUCUGCAAAUUAAUUUCUAAUAUUACAUGAAAAUAUAUCAAGUUAAUUGGUAACAUUGUUAAUCACUUAAUCCUCAAUCUAAUACGUUAUGUAUUUGUUACUCUGUCUUAAAUCAAAAGUGGCGGUGAUUUAUUUUUAUUUUCACUAAUAAGAAAGGCAUGUUAGAGCUUUUAUUUUGUUGAAAAUGAACCAAAAAACUCCGAUUGGGAGAUUAUAAAUGUAUUUAACAAUAAUUUAACUUCCAUUUUGAAAGUCAUUAUAUUGUUUAUUCAGGAGAAGCGUUCUUUUAUAUUUUAUAGAUAUAAUGUUUGCUAAUCCUAAUUUAAGCUAAAGCAUAUGCAUUUCCUAAUUAAUUCUAAUUUAAGCUUAUUCAACUGCAUUCAAUUAAUGUUCGAUAAUACAAAUUCUAAAUACUAUAUACUCUAAGAAUUUUAAUCGUAAUGACAAGGUGAUCAUUUAAUUAUUACCGUUAAAUUAUAUAUGUAUGGUGGAGACGAGUCCACACGGUUUUGACGAGAAAUUAAAGACAAUAUUUAGUUAAGCUAGUAGUAUUUGUUCUGUUUAGUACGUCGUUUUACCAGCAAGCAUCCCGGCAAUGCACGCAUUAAUAAAAAAAUUUAUCUGUUUGGACUGAUUGGUAGUGAAAAAUUCCACAUACUUUAAAUUAAGAAAAUGCUAAGUAUCUUAAAGAAAACAAUUAAAAUAUUGUCACUUGAUGCUUGAAUCAUUAUUGUUAAAUAUCUCCGUUGAGUUGUAUUCCCCAGCUGUGAGUAUCAUUAUUGUCUUUGCUAUCUAAUCAAUUCAAUUUUCUUUCUGGAGACAAGAUUUUGAUUCCUUUCAUCGUUACAAAAACGGAACCAUGGUUGAUGUGGGAGAGAUCUUACUCAACGCCUUCUUUCAGGUGUUGUUCGACAGGUUGGCUUCCCGUGAUUUGCUCAGCUUUGUCCGUCAACUUGGAGGGGGGGUCGAUUCCGAGCUCAAGAAGUGGGAAAGAAAGCUGAAGAUGAUUCAGGCGGUGCUCAACGAUGCAGAGGAGAAGCAACUGACUGAUGAGGCUGUGAAGAUGUGGCUGGACGAUCUCCAAGACUUGGCUUAUGACGCUGAGGACAUUCUUGAUGAGUUUGCUACUCAAGCUUUGGAAAGCAAGUUGAUGGAGCAAAAUCAGGAUAGCUCUGGCCAGGUUCUCAGUUUCAUCCCGGCUAGUUUGAAUCCGAAUGCUAUUAUGUUCAAUUAUAGCAUGGGGUCCAAGAUUAAAGAUAUUACUAGCCGGCUGGAGCAACUCUGCCAAGAAAGAAUUGAACUUGGACUGCAGCGGAUUACUGGAGGGGCAUCAUCAACUGCUGCUGCUACACAGCAGAGGCCGCCCAGUUCGAGUGUCCCAACAGAACGUGAAGUAUUUGGAAGAGCAAAAGAUAAGGCCAAAAUUCUUGAUAUGGUAUUGGCCGAUACCCCAAGUGAUCAUGCCGACUUUGUUGUAAUACCCAUUGUUGGCAUGGGCGGGAUAGGAAAAACAACUCUCGCUCGGGAGGUUUACAAUGACAAGGCCGUUGGCGGUUCCAAGUUUGAUGUAAAAGCAUGGGUUUGCGUAUCUGACGUCUUUGAUGUUUUGGGCAUCUCAAAGGCACUUCUCGAGUCAAUCACCCGCAGGCCAUGUCUUCUAAACAGUUUAAAUGAAGUGCAGGUUGAAUUGAAAGUAGCUGUGGAUAAAAAAAGAUUCUUGCUGGUCUUAGAUGAUGUUUGGAACGAGGAGUACAGCUUGUGGGUAGACUUAAAAGCUCCGUUCCUGGUUGCUGCACCAAACAGUAAGAUGAUCGUCACCACACGCAAUUCAAAUGUUGCAUCAACAAUGGGGCCAGUUGAACAUUACAAUCUCAGGAGUCUAUCGGAUGAUGAUUGCUGGUCCAUUUUCAUAAAGCAUGCAUUUGAAUCUAGAGAUCUUAACGCACAUCAAAUUUCAGAAUCAUUCCGCAAGAAAGUUGUUGCCAAGUGUGGAGGCUUGGCCCUGGCAGCAAAAACACUCGGAGGCCUUCUGCGUACGACGAGGCAUGAUGCGUGGGAUGAUAUAUUAGAGAGCAAAAUAUGGGAUUUACCACGACAAAGUGGGGUUCUCCCAGUAUUAAGAUUGAGUUACCAUCAUCUUCCUUCUCAUUUGAAAAUGUGUUUUGCUUUCUGUGCAAUCUUUCCAAAAGAUUAUGAAUUCAAAGAGAAGGAGCUGACUUUUUUAUGGAUGGCCGGAGGAAUUAUUCGACAGUCAAGAAGCAAAGAGCGGCUAGAAGAUUUGGGCAGCAAGUGCUUCCAUGAUCUGGUGUCAAGGUCAAUUUUUCAGAAAUCAGCAAUCUCUGCUAGUUCUAAAUUUGUAAUCCAUGACCUUAUCCAUGAUCUUGCUGAAUUGGUCUCUGGAGAAACCAUAUUUAGGUUAGAGGAGGCCAAUACUCUGUCAAGAAGAUUUGAAAGGGUUCGCCAUUCCUCCUAUGCUUGUGGUGGAUAUGAUGGUAAAAAUAUGUUCGAUGUUUUCAAUGAAAUUGAACAUCUACGAACAUUCUUGCCAUUACGCUUACGCAUAAGAGGUGGCUUUAGUUCUGGUUACAUAAGUCGAACGGUCCUAUCUGACUUGCUGCCAAAGUUCAAAAGGUUGAGAAUGCUAUCUUUAGAAGGAUACUGUAUUGGCGAGUUACCAAUUCCAUUUGAAGAUUUGAGACUUUUAAGGUUUCUCAACCUUGCUGACACUGACAUAAGAAGUUUACCCGAGUCAACAUGCAAAUUGCUGAACUUGGAAAUUUUUAUAUUAAGAAAUUGUUCCCGUUUGAUAAAGCUUCCAGCCAAAAUGAGGAAUUUGAUCAAUUUACGCCAUCUGGAUAUAAGAGGUGCGAAGUUGCUGAAGGAGAUGCCAGUCGGAAUGAAAGAGCUGAAGAAGCUUCAAACAUUGUACAAUUUCAUUGUGGGCAAGGGUGAAACUGCAUCCGGUUUGGAAGAAUUAAAAAGUUUAAACUUUCUUUGUGAUGAACUUUGCAUUGCUGGAUUAGAGAAUGUGAAUAAUCCACAGAAUGCAAGAGAAGCGGCAUUAUGCGAGAAGCACAAUCUUGAAGCACUGACUCUAGAUUGGGGGUCUCAAUUUGACAAUUCUCGAGAUGGAGUAGUAGAAGAGCAUGUACUGGAAAUUCUACAGCCUCAUAAACGUAUAAAAAAGGUGGCAAUCAGGAACUAUAGAGGUGCAAGAUUUCCACAUUGGAUAGGAGAUCCUUUGUUCUCCAAAAUAGAGUUCCUUGAAUUGGAGAACUGUGACAAUUGUGUAUCUUUGCCAUCGCUUGGCCGUUUGAGUUCACUUAAACACCUUGCUGUUAAAGGGCUGAAGAAACUAAAAAGCAUAGAGUCUAAGGUUUAUGGGGAGGGUUUCUCAAUGCCUUUUCCAUCAUUGGAGAUUCUAAGUUUCGAGAAUUUGCCAGAAUGGGAGCAUUGGGACACCGAUAUCAAAGGAAAUGUACUUGUUGAAAUAUUUCCUCGUCUCCAUAAACUUUCCAUUGUGGAAUGUCCCAAACUCUCCGGAGAACUGCCUGAUCUCCUGCCCUCCUUGGAGACACUUGUUGUUAGUAAAUGUGAAAAGUUGGUAGUUCCAUUGUCUUGCUAUCCGAUGCUCUGCAGAUUAGAAGUUGAUGAGUGCAAGGAACUAGCGUGCGCGACUCCAAUUGAUUUUAAGUUGAUAAAGUCUGUGACUAUUUCAAAUUGUUCACUAGACAUGUAUGGAUGCAAGGGGAUGCUAUACAAUGGUCCAGCUGGCUCUUCACUGCCGAAAUCCAUGACUAUUACAAAUGUUUUGGCGUUUGGAAAAUUAUUGAAGCCUGAAUUUCAGAUAUUAGAAACUUUGGUAAUUGACAAUUCUGAACAGCUCAUGUCAUGGAGGCAGCGUGGGAAUUUCCGAGAAGAAUAUUUGGCCGUUCGCCGAAGGCUUAUCAAACCAUUACAAGGGCUAAAUAUGCUCGCUUCCCCAGAAGAGGUAACAAUUGAAGAAAGUUGUGUGAGUUUUGUUUUAUUUUCAGAGAUCAAUUUCUUUCCCAGAAAUCUGCGCUCUCUUCUAAUUUGCAGCAGCACAGCUUUAAAAUCCUUACCCGAUGAAAUGAUGGACAACAGUUCACAACUCAAAAGGUUGUAUAUCAGAGAUUGCGAUUCUCUAACAUUCAUCACAAGACGCAAGCUACCUUCAUCUCUAAAAAGUAUAGAGAUUCAGAAUUGUGAGAAACUGCGACAUUUGUUCGAUGAUAAAGAGGAUGCUUCUUCUUCUUCUCCUCCUUCAUCCUCGCCCUCCCCAGUGAUGCUGAAACACCUGAGUAUAAAUAAUUGCCCAGAGCUCACCAGUUUAUCAACAGGAAUCCAAUUACUUGAGGCGCUUGAACACCUCGACAUACGGGAUUGUCGAAAGCUGGAGUCAUUACCAGAUGGCCUUCACAAUCUUAACUGUUUACAGGAGAUUACUCUAAACAGUUGUCCAAGUCUUCUUAGAGGGCUUCCCAACACGAUUUCAAGGGUUGACAUUUACAGCUGUCCAAGUCUUGUUUCCUUCCCAGAAAGAGGACUUCCCAACACGAUUUCAAAGGUUGACAUUUUUAAUUGUGAGAAGCUCGAAGCCCUGCCCAAUGACAUGCACAAACUCAACUCUCUUCGAGAUUUAAGCAUAUUGGGGUGUCGAAAUCUUGUAUCCUUUCCAGAAGAAGGUUUUCCUACCAGUCUAACAUCACUUAGAAUUGGAGAUUUCAAAAUGUAUAAGACACUCAUCCAGUGGGGGUUGCACAGGCUUACCUCUCUUAGACGCCUCUAUAUCGUUGAUUGUGAUGACGAAGCAGAGUGUUUUCCAGACGAGGAGAUAGGAACGAUGCUGCCUACCUCCCUAACUCAUCUAUCCUUUCGGGGAUUCCGAAAUUUGAUAUCUCUGUCUUCGACGGGUUUUCAGAGCCUCAACUCUCUUCAAUACUUGUGGAUCAGGGAUUGCCCGAAUCUCACAUCAUUCCCAGAGGUGGGCCUUCCAUCCUCACUUUUGGCAUUAUGCAUUAUCGAUUGUCCAAAGCUUAAAAAAGCGUGCAAAAGAGAUCAAGGAAAAGAGUGGUCCAAAAUUGCUCACAUCCCUCGCAUUGACAUAGACAGGAAAUUCAUAUACGAUCCAGAAUCAGAGGAGUAGAUUCUACUAUUAAGGUCAGUUGAUUUGUAUUAUCCGCCAUAACAAGCUCCUCCUUUUUUUUUAAAUAAUAAUAAUAAUUCUUACCAAUUAAUGAUGGUAAGAUGUGUACUUAUUCUUUCUUCCGGACAACCUUGCCUUCUUUCUUCGGUAGCAUAUCUAAUGAAUAUUUCUCUGUUUAGUUAAGGAUGAAUGCUUGGAGUGGAGUAUUUGGUAACAUUUCUGCCGUAGAUGAAACCUUGAAGAAAUGCCUGCACUUCCUGAGACCAAAUACAGGUCUGAUUCACAACAACACCUGUCCCAGAAAAUAUGAUACAAGCCAAAGCCAUGUUCUGAAGCAGAAAUAACGCAUUUCAAUUUUUAUCUGGUAAAAAUACACAGCCCUCGCCUACAAAAUUCUUAUCUUGGCUUUCACGGAUAUUUUUAUCACGUAACCACGUGAGGAAGCAUGUGCUGGAGCCUGAAUUCAGUUAGUUAAAGUUUGUUAACCACGUGUCAACAAACUGUAUAAUCUGGAAAAUACGCUAGCUAUUGAAACAGGGUAUAAAGGCUGGUUUUUCAGGGACUAUCGAGAGCUGAUUCUAGAGUCUUGUAGAAAGAGGUUUGUGAGAGAGAAAGUGUCAUCUUGUUCUCUGUAAAAUCCGAUAUAGGGCUCUGUAACGAUCUCCAUUGUUGAAUCAAUAAAACUCAUCUAGAAGCUUCUCCCGUGGACGUAUUCUGAGCAUUCAAUGCACAGCUGAACCACGUAAUAUCUUGGUUUCAGUGGGUUCUUGUUUUGGUUCUUGAUAAAUUCUUGUUGUUGUAUUGAGGUGUGAUUUGAUGUGUCUAAACUUGCAUCUGUGCAACUUGAAUUGAUUUGAUGAUAAUAAUCUUGGGCAGUGAUCAGAUUCGUUUAGUUUAAAGAACAAGCUGAUUACUACCGUACCUAUGCAUGGACCUGUAACCUGUGCUGACAAAACUGAAACUAUGAGUUUGAGGUAAAAAGGUCCUGGACCCUCACAGUUUAACUUGGACUUGUAGCUUUCUGGAUAAACACAUUUUAGAAGUUUGCAAUUUGUUGUUAAUUACGGUAUGUGAUUUUCUUUUUUGUUUUCGCUUUUGUAGAAUCUACCGUAUUACAUAUUGGCAGUUGUAUCUGAGGUACCAUUUUUGCAUUUAACUUGCCUUUAUCUGUUUUGCCUGUUACUUAACAACACAUCAUUUCCCAAAGAUUUGGAGAAGCAUCUCAAGAUGCUUAACAAACUUGACAAACUUCAAGAUGCUCCCAAGCCUUGAUUCUUCACAAAGGAAGACCUGUGAGUACACUUAUGCCCGCAAUUAUUGUGAAGUGAUUGCAACUUUGAUGCAGCGAAACGGUUUGCUGGUGCAAAGCUUUAAAACUGUUAAGAAUUACCCUGCAGGCUUGUUGGAUGUUGUAUACUCCGAAAGCCACCAACACCAAGAACUAUAACAGCAAGACUAGGUUUGCAUUAAUUCAAUUAGCUGAAAUAAUGAUGCAAAUGGCACUAUCCAGCUCGACUUAGAGACUAGUCAGGUCAAUCAUCCAUUUCAUCAACAGUUAAUGUCAGGAUGGUGGCUAGCAGAGGAAACAAAGGAUAUGUUGGAAUCAAUAAGAACAGUGAGAAGCAUGAGAGGAGCUUUGAUUAUAAGUAGGCUCAAUGAACUAGUGUUGGUAAGUGGUAAUUAGAGCAAUUUGUGAGCUUAGUAGAGUUUCAAUAUUUUCUGUUUGGGAUAUAGUUGAUAAGUUGAUACUCUGAUAAAGAAGGCUGAUUAUAGUAGCUGACUAUAUUAACCGGGUUCUCUUUUUUGGUUUGCUGUUGUUUUUUCUUUCAAUAUCUUUUUCAACAUUAGGUUUAAGAACAAGCUUGGGUUUGAUUAUCAGGUAAGAACAAAUGAAUGCUUUAACCAUGUUUCUCACUUAUCACAAUGCACGGAUUGAAGGCGUCUGAGUUGAUCCUGAAACGUGCCUCAGCAAGUAUUAUGAUUAUUAUUUUAAAAAACUCAACCUAAGCAACGUGCCUCAGCAUACAAUAUUUAUUGACAACUAAAAAGUAAUAGUGGGUGGGGGUUGCCCUGGGUUUUGUUUAAAAAUUGAAGUAAAAAAUUUUCAAAUUUCAAAUUUCUAGUACAAAGAAAAUUGAUGACUAAAUUAAAUUCUGCAAAUUAAUUUCUAAUAUUACAUGAAAAUAUUAUCAAGUUAACUGGUAACAUCGUUAAUCACUUAAUUCUCAGUCUAAUACGUUAUGUAUUUGUUACUCUGUCUUAAAUCAAAAGUGGCGGUGAUUUAUUUUUAUUUUCACUAAUCAGAAAGGCAUGUUAGAGCUUUUAUUUUGUCGAAAAUGAACCAAAAAAACUCCGAUUGGGAGAUUAUAAAUGUAAUUAACAAUAAUUUAACUUCCAUUUUGAAAGUCAUUAUAUUGUUUAUUCAGGAGAAGCGUUCUUUUAUAUUUUAUAGAUAUAAUGUUUGCUAAUCCUAAUUUAAGCUAAAGCAUAUGCAUUUCCUAAUUAAUUCUAAUUUAAGCUUAUUCAACUGCAUUCAAUUAAUGUUCGAUAAUACAAAUUCUAAAUACUAUAUACUCUAAGAAUUUUAAUCGUAAUGACAAGGUGAUCAUUUAAUUAUUACCGUUAAAUUAUAUAUGUAUGGUGGAGACGAGUCCACACGGUUUUGACGAGAAAUUAAAGACAAUAUUUAGUUAAGCUAGUAGUAUUUGUUCUGUUUAGUACGUCGUUUUACCAGCAAGCAUCCCGGCAAUGCACGCAUUAAUAAAAACAUUUAUCUGUUUGGACUGACUGGUAGUGAAAAAUUCCACAUACUUUAAAUCAAGAAAAUGCUAAGCAUCUUAAAGAAAACAAUUAAAAUAUUGUCACUUGAUGCUUGAAUCAUUAUUGUUAAAUAUCUCCGUUGAGUUGUAUUCCCCAGUUGUGAGUAUCAUUAUUGUUGUUUGUGCGAUAUGUUUCGACGAAGACCAGCAGUGAUGAGCAGGCGUCUGGUAGCAGGGUUCCUCGAACAGGUAUAUCUUGCAAGAGUCUGGUAGCAGGGGGAGCAAGAGCAGGAGUAUCCUGCUCGUCCACGAGUACGUCAUCCACGAGGCCGGUCUCCUGUUGGGAGCGUAAAGCCAUUCCUGCUAUAUUCCUGCUAGCGGUUGAGUCGAGGAGACCCGGUCAACGACAGUUGACGAGACAUGCUCUCCAGUCCGAGAAUCAAGGCGCGAAGGCCACGCAACCACCCACGACUACGGAAAUGGAGCAUCCACUUUCGAGAAGUGGGAGGAUGACAAGCGCAAAGGGAGGAAAUGCAUGGGCUCAGAAGUGGCCUAUAAAAAGGUAACCAACGAAGGUAAAAGGGUUAGCAAUUUUGAGAUUAUAACAGAGACUAAGGAAAUUCUAAAGAAGAGAAAACUAUUAAAAAGCCAUAAGAUCUGUGGCAAGCGUUCCCAGAGCCUUCAUAUCUGACUUGAGCGUCGGAGGGUUUACGCCGGGAAAACAACCGGCGUGCUCUGACUUGUUUCUGUGGACGCAGGAAUACUUGGAGAAGAAAGCAUACAAGGAGAGAUCCUGGUCGAGGUGAGGUUGAUUGAGCAGAUAUCCUGGUCGUAGGAAGAGCGUAACCAGAAUCUCGCAUCAAUAUUUUGGCGCCGUCUGUGGGGAGCUGAGCAAAAAGUUUCUGUUGAUAGCAAAGAAGAGGAGUGAAGCAAGUGAAAAGCAAUGGAGACAGGAGGAAGUAGUGCACAAGGGGGUGAUAUGAGGCUUAACGAUUCCGUGACGCUGAGGGAGAUAGCCAGUGAAGCACGGGAAAAAGCCAUGUUCGACCGGAUGGAACGGAUGGAAAAGCAGAUGGAGACCUUGACAACCAUCCUACAUGAGCUGCGGAGCGAACGAAGGGUAACCCAGGAGGAAAGGGUGAGAGGUGGUGGAGUGGCACCAGGUCCCGAUAGUGCGAGGAGAAGUCAAACCACCGGGAGAUUUGGUGGUGAGAGAGGUAACAUACCUCUGCAGGGAAAUUGCAUAGAGAGGAAGAGCAGUCCCCGGCAAGACAGAUUUUUGACGAGGACGACGGGGUGGCGAAUGCAGAGGAAGCAGAGUUGAGGCAAUACUUGCAUGAUGUAGUGCAAGAGCGGGAUCAAGUCGCAGCACGUGACCCUGGUCGUGCAGAGCAGCUGGAGGAGGAAGUGUGCAGGCUAGCGCAGAUAAUUGACGACAUACAAGGAAGGAGCAGAGCUCCUGGUUGGAGGAUAAUGCUGGACGGAGAAUCACCGCUCGCAGCAGAGAUCAUGAGGGCAGUUAUUCCAAGAGAUUUCCGCCUCCCAGACCUUAGAUAUUCGGGAUGAACUGAUCCGCUGGUGCACAUAGAGCGCUUCAACGACAUAACUGGGGUACAAGGAUUAUCUCAAUCCUAAAGGUGCAGGGUGUUCCCACUAUCCCUUGAGGGACGCGCACGAGAGUGGUACAGGAAACUUCCUCGGGGGAGCAUUAAAACCUUCGAGCAGAUGUGCCAGGAAUUUGCAGAACAGUUCCGUGGGGCAAUGGCACCAGAAGAUGACAUGAUGGAGUUGAAAAACAUGAAGCAGGGGGAACAAGAAACACUUCGGGAAUUCAUCAAGAGGUUUCACCGUGCUGUCCUCGACUUGGGAGCCUUCAACCACCCUCAAACGUUAAGGGGAUUGAAAGAAGGGGUGAAGAUAGGAAGGCUGUGGUACAACUUGAGAAGCCCAGUUAUUCAGACGUAUGCGGCCGCAUACGAGCAGGCUAAGAGAGACAUUGAGAUUGAAGAGGAGAAGGCAGCACAGAUUAAGACAGACCAGUUAGAAGGGUGGGGGAGGAAAGAGAAGAAAGCAUUACCGGGGAAUGGGCCGAUCAGGAGGAGGAACCACCAGGCCUCGAGUAGUGGAGCAGAAGGUCGGGUAACUGCUUACCAGCCUCAUCAGAGGCCACUACAGUAUCAGCACAGCAGGGCGCAACCUCCUCGUUCCCCAGCUGGGGAGCCUUGGAGAAGGCAUGACUCGGCGUAUGGUGGUCUUCAUCAACACUCCCACGGUAGUAGAAGGGGCAGACCAGAAGCGCUGCCACCGCCUCCAACUCAGAACGGAGCAAAUAGAGAAAGGGCAGUGCACCUGAUCGACCAGAACCAGGACUAUGGGCGAUAUACUUCCUUGAAGAUGUCCCUGGCCGAGGUGUACGAGGCCAUAAAGGAUCGAGGGUCGUUAUACCUCCCUGCCCCAAUAACAAAGCUACCCAGCAGGAGGGAUAGGGGACGCUAUUGUAAGUUCCAUGGCACUCAUGGCCACACCACAGCAGAUUACAGGGAUCUCAAGACCCAGGUUGAAGAUUUGGUGAGAAAUCGGUAUCUGGACGAGUUUAUAGAUGGGACCUUCCCAAUGGUAGCCUCGACCAGCGAAUGGGAGCAGAGUGACAGGAACUUGAGGCGCGAGCAGCCUGCAGUAAGGGUGAUAGCUGGGGGCCCAACAUUGGCCGGAGAUUCCAACAGGUUGAGGAAGAAUUACGCUAGAUACGCCAUGACCAGCAAAGAUGUAUUCUUCACCACCCCAGCAGCCAAACGUGCAAGAGUCAGGCAAGUGCCAAUUAUGUGGACAGAUGAGGAUGAAGAAGGGAUUCUAUACCCCCACGAGGAUGCUUUGGUCAUCAAGGCCACUGUUGCCAGCAAGAAGUUUGACAGGAUACUGGUUGACACAGGGAGCUCAGUUGAUGUGUUGUUUAAGUCAACCCUGGAGGAGAUGGGAAUAGCAGACCUGAAGUUGGAUUACACCAAUACCUCCUUGAAGGGGUUUGGAGGAGGAAAGUUGGUCCCUCUGGGCGUGGUCGAGCUGCCUAUCACGAUUGGGAGCUCCCCGACAGAAGGGACAAUGAUACUGGACUUUGUGGUAGUGGAUGAGGAAGGUCCUUAUCAGAUGAUCCUAGGCCGGCCAUUUCUGACGAUGAGCAAAGCGGUGCUGUCCAGCCAUUAUCUGGCUCUCAAGUACCGGGUGAAUGGGGUAGUUGGAGUGGUACGAGGAGACCAGAGGAUCGCAAGAAGCUGCUACUCCUCGGCAGCAAAGGAAGCAAUGCAGAUAACAUCCCUUGAUACCCGAGUGGAAGCCAGGAAUGGCAGCUAGUUGGACCCGGAGUUUACAAGCUGGUUCGCACGGAUGGCCACAAGGUGAAACGCCCAUGGAGCGCGACACACCUCAGGAAAUAUUUCUAGUAAGACUUACUCAUCUUUUAAAGUUAUUUCUGUUCGUGCCCGUUGUUUUCUAUUUUUCAUUUCUUAUUUCAAAGCAAUCUCAUGUAAGCCGAAUUCAAUAAUAAAUGAAUCAAUGAGGAGUUUCAGUCAACUACACUGUUCAAGAAAUUAUCAAAGGCAUGCAAAGGCUAGUCAAGUCUCAAAGCCUGUUUAUGGCGAGACCAGAAGCCAAGCGUGCCAGGAUCUGCUCGACCACGAGAAGGCGAGCAGAGUCCCAAGCUUUCAAGAAAUUAUCAAUGGCAUGCAAAGGCUCACCAAGUCUCAAAGCCUGUUUAUGGCGAGACCAGAAGCCAAGCGUACCAGGAUCUGCUUGACCACGAGAAGGCGAGCAGAGUCCCAAGCUUUCAAGAAAUUAUCAAAGGCAUGCAAAGGCUCACCAAGUCUCAAAGCCGGUUUAUGACGAGACCAGAAGCCAAGCGUUCCAGGAUCUGCUCGACCACGAGAAGGCGAGCAGAGUCCCAAGCUUUCAAGAAAUUAUCAAAGGCAUGCAAAGGCUCACCAAGUUUCAAAGCCUGUUUAUGACGAGACCAGAAGCCAAGCGUGCCAGGAUCUGCUCGACCACGAGAAGGCGAGCAGAGUCCCAAGCUUUCAAGAAAUUAUCAAAGGCAUGCAAAGGCUCACCAAGUCUCAAAGCCUGUUUAUGGCGAGACCAGAAGCCAAACGUGCCAGGAUCUGCUUGACCACGAGAAGGCGAGCAGAGUCCCAAGCUUUCAAGAAAUUAUCUAAGGCAUGCAAAGGCUCGCCAAGUCUCAAAGCCUGUUUUAUGGCGAGAUAGAAGCCAAGCGUACCAGGAUCUGCUCGACCACGUGAAGGUGAGCAGAAUCCCCAAGCAUCGGAAUAUUUUCCAAGGCAUGCAAAGGCUCGCCAAGUCUCAAAGCCUGUUUUAUGGCGAGACAGAAGCCAAGCAUGCCAGGAUCUGCUCGACCGCGCGAAGGCGAGCAGAAUCUCAAGCAUUGAAGAAUUUUCCAAGGCAUGUGGCAAAACCAUAUGCCGAGCCAGAACCUGCUAAACUAGACGAAGACGAGCAGAUUCUCAGACGAAAAAUAACUCAUGAUUACAACACAAGAAAGUAAUCAAAAACAUUUUUAUUAAUUUGUUAAUAAUUAACAGAGGAGAUAAUCUUCACAAACAUUGUUCAUUACAAUACAAGAAAUAUAUUAAGAGGACGGUGGAUCCGUAAGCCGAGCAGCCUCAGUCGGUUGGUCCACCUCAGGUGCUGGGGGAGUAUCACCGGUCGCGUCCGGGGGGGUGCUUGCCUCACCCACAUCAACAGGAACGGCACGAGGAGGAGAGUUUUCCUCAACUACGAUUGGUUCCACCGUUUCGGCAUCUUCCUUUGCAGCCUCCUCGUCCAUAUGUUGGGCGACACCAGUUGCAAGGUCGUCCAUCUUCAGAUCAGGAUGCUGCUUCCCGAGGACGACCAUGAUGCAACGAUAGGAAUGCCGAAGCCCCUAGUCGUACUGGUUGUCGGCCUCCCUCUCCAAGUUCUCGACCUGAGCUCGGUGGGAAUCGCGGAGAGAUUCGAGCUGAGCCUCAUAUAUAGCCUUCUGCCUUUGCAGAUCCUCCUCGACCUUGGUCAGCUCCUCCUCGAGGGUAAUGGCUUUUGCUUGAGCAAGAGAUUCUUGCUCUAUCAGCUUGAGGUUCUCAACAUUCAGCUCCCCUGCUUUCUUCUCGGCAGCGUCAGCUCUGGUCGUCGCCGAUUGAAUGUCCUCCUUAAUCUUGCGGUCGUAGCGGCCAACCUUCGCCUUGUAAUAGGUGGUCAUGCAGCUGAGGUAGAAAGCGCUAUACUGCAUGGCCCCCACCAGCUCACCCAAGGUGCAGCCGUCAAAGUCCUCCAGGUCCUUCUUGCUCACGAGUUUAGAUAACUCAUUGAGGUAGGGGACCAAGUGUUCUGCUUGGCUGUCAGGUAAGCGAGAUCGAGGCCCGACAGGAGGAGAAGAGGAAGCAGGAUCCGUGGCUGCUCCACUAGUUUCCCCAACUUUGGCAGGAGCAGGAGGUAAAGUCUUCAAGGGAGAGACUUGCUGUACGAUGUUGGCCUGCUUUGCAGAAGGGGCGUCCUUGUUCUGGUCCCUCUUCGUGGCUUGAGGUUGAGAACGUUUCCUGUUCAGAGCCCCAAUCACAGCGUCCUCCAUCUUAUGGCCAGGGAGUACCAAGCGAGACUCGAGCAAGUUGUAAACAGUUAUCAAUUCUCGGCUCGGGCAAGAGUUGGCUAGUAUAGCCUCGACCCGUUUGAGCUGAUCAGGUUGGAGCGAGAAGUGAACACCCCAAGAACCUGCAACACAAACAAACAUUUGAUUAGAGACAAACCAGUAAAGUGCAAACAACAAGGGAGACAAGACAUCUAAUACGAGCAGGCAACCUGGGACCAUGAAACGGGGUGGGACGCGACAAUCCUUCCCGUCUAUUUGUGCAACUUGACCCCAAGGACCCCCAGCAAAAAAGAAUUUCCUCUUCCAAGUCCCACCACCACCAGUUGGAAGAUCAGUUAUGGGUUUCUUGCUCUUGGUACUAGAUUGGAAGUAGUACCAGCCGGCAUCUUUGGGGCUGCUCUUUAGCUGGUACAGGUGCUUCACCUCAUCAACCGUGGGCUCGCUUUGGCAACAUCUGUCCCACAAUAUGAACAGACCAGAGAGCACCCUCCACCCAUUGGGGUUCAGUUGACCAGGAGCUAGAUUGAGCCCGUGGAGUAUGCGAGCAAAAUAGGGUUGCAAGGGGCACCUUAACCCGUACUUAAAACUCUCCUGGAACAAGGUGACAUAUCCCCUAGGAGGCCUGCUAGGACUAUCUUUUUUUCCUGGGAUCCUAAGGAGUACUUCACCAGGAAUAUGAUACCUGAGCCAGAGGUCAUCCAGCUCGUUGAAUGUGGUCGUGCAGGUCAUGUAAUCAAUAGCAUAAUCCCGCAACAAGGCUCUACCUCCUACUGUACUACGCCCUUCUGGUCGCAGUGUUCCCGGUGAAGAUCCCUCACCAGAGUCACCUCCUUGAUCCUCACUUAGGGUGUCUUCCGAGCCAGAAGGUCCUUCCUCGCCACUACUUCCGCUCGUGGAGGUUGUUUGGGGGGACAUCCUCCUAGCGCUAGUCCCGACACUAGACCUAGUGGGCUCUAAGGGGAUCCCGGGGUCAAAAGCAGAAUCAGUGAGCAGACUAGGCAAGAAACCUAGUUCGUCGUCAUCAGUCUCAAUGACUUUCUCCUUACCCUUCGACAUUCCCUAAGUUCUAACCAAAACACCACCACCGACUACAACCCCAAGUAAAGCAAAGAGAAAAGAAAUUAUCUACAACUAUCCGAGACCGAGGAGAUAGAAGUAAUACCUGAAGUAAUGGUUCAGUUAGAGAAAGGCAGGGGAGGAGACUUUUAUGCCGAGACUUCUUUGCCGGAGAGACAGAGACAGAGAUGGAGUAAAUGACGAAUUUUCCCUUUGAGAGGUUUUGGGUUUUCCUAAUGGAGAAUGAACUUUUGGAUUGCCAGCAUUUAAUAGCAUCGAAUCCCAAGGGUCUCGUAACCGUCGGUUUAAAAUUCAAAUAGAUGGGUAGAUUUCUGCCACAUCACCUGGUCCACAAUUAAAUGCGACACGACUCUUGGCAGCCUUUUCCUAUCCCGCGCGAGCAAGAACUGUCGAGUUUCUACUGUUGGCUCACUACGCUACCCAACACAAGAAACUGGGGGACUGGUGUUUGUGCGAUAUGUUUCGACGAAGACUAGCAGUGAUGAGCAGGCGUCUGGUAGCAGGGUUCCUCGAACAGGUAUAUCUUGCAAGAGUCUGGUAGCCGGGGGAGCAAGAGCAGGAGUAUCCUGCUCGUCCACGAGUACGUCAUCCACGAGGCCGGUCUCCUGUUGGGAGCGUAAAGCCAUUCCUGCUAUAUUUCUGCUAGCGGUUGAGUCGAGGAGACCCGGUCAACGACAGUUGAUGAGACAUGCUCUUCAGUUCGAGAAUCAAGGCGCGAAGGCCACGCAACCACCCACGACUACGGAAAUGGAGCAUCCACUUUCGAGAAGUGGGAGGAUGACAAGCGCAAAGGGAGGAAAUGCAUGGGCUCAGAAGUGGCCUAUAAAAAGGUAACCAACGAAGGUAAAAGGGUUAGCAAUUUUGAGAUUAUAACAGAGACUAAGGAAAUUCUAAAGAAGAGAAAACUAUUAAAAAGCCAUAAGAUCUGUGGCAAGCGUUCCCAGAGCCUUCAUAUCUGACUUGAGCGUCGGAGGGUUUACGCCGGGAAAACAACCGGCGUGCUCUGACUUGUUUCUGUGGACGCAGGAAUACUUGGAGAAGAAAGCAUACGAGGAGAGAUCCUGGUCGAGGUGAGGUUGAUCGAGCAGAUAUCCUGGUCGUAGGAAGAGCGUAACCAGAAUCUCGCAUCAACAAUUGUCUUUGCUCUCUAAUCUAUUCAAUUUUCUUUCUGGAGACAAGAUUUUGAUUCCUUUCAUCGUUACAAAAACGGAACCAUGGUUGAUGUGGGAGAGAUCUUACUCAACGCCUUCUUUUAGGUGAUGUUCGACAGGUUGGCUUCCCGUGAUUUGCUCAGCUUUGUCCGUCAACUUGGAGGGGGGGUCGAUUCCGAGCUCAAGAAGUGGGAAAGAAAGCUGAAGAUGAUUCAGGCGGUGCUCAACGAUGCAGAGGAGAAGCAACUGACGGACGAGGCUGUGAAGAUGUGGCUGGACGAUCUCCAAGACUUGGCUUAUGACGCUGAGGACAUUCUUGAUGAGUUUGCUACUCAAGCUUUGGAAAGCAAGUUGAUGGCGCAAAAUCAGGAUAGCUCUGGCCAACUUCUCAGUUUCAUCCAGGCUAGUUUGAAUCCGAAUGCUAUUAUGUUCAAUUAUAGCAUGGGGUCCAAGAUUAAAGAUAUCACUAGCCGGCUGGAGCAACUCUGCCAAGAAAGAAUUGAACUUGGACUGCAACGGAUUACUGGAGGGGCAUCAUCAACUACUGCUGCUGCACACCAGAGGCUACCCGGUUCAAUUGUCCCAACAGAACGUGAAGUAUUUGGAAGAGAAGAAGAUAAGGCCAAAAUUCUUGAUAUGGUAUUGGCCGAUACCCUAAGUGAUCAUGCCAACUUUGCUGUAAUACCCGUUGUUGGCAUGGGCGGGAUAGGAAAAACAACUCUCGCUCGGGAGGUUUACAAUGACAAGGCCGUUGGCGGUUCCAAGUUUGAUGUAAAAGCAUGGGUUUGCGUAUCUGAUGUCUUUGAUGUUUUGGGCAUCUCAAAGGCACUUCUCGAGUCAAUCACCCGCAGGCCUUGUCUUCUAAACAGUUUAAAUGAAGUGCAGGUUGAAUUGAAAGUAGCUGUGGAUAAAAAAAGAUUCUUGCUGGUCUUAGAUGAUGUUUGGAACGAGGACUACAGCUUGUGGGUAGACUUAAAAGCUCCGUUCCUGGCUGCUGCACCAAACAGUAAGAUGAUCGUCACCACACGCAAUUCAAAUGUUGCAUCAACAAUGGGACCAAUUGAACAUUACAAUCUCAAGAGUUUGUCAGAUGAUGAUUGUUGGUCCAUUUUCAUAAAGCAUGCAUUUGAAUAUAGAGAUCUUAACGCACAUCAAAUUUCAGAAUCGUUCCGCGGGAAAGUUGUUGCCAAGUGUGGAGGCUUGGCCCUGGCAGCAAAAACACUCGGAGGCCUUCUGCAUACGACGAGGCAUGAUGCGUGGGAUGAUACGUUAGAGAGCAAAAUAUGGGAUUUACCUCAACAAAGUGGGGUUCUCCCCGUAUUAAGAUUGAGUUACCAUCAUCUUCCUUCUCAUUUGAAAAGAUGUUUUGCUUACUGUGCAAUCUUUCCAAAAGAUUAUGAAUUCAAUCAGAAGGAGCUGACUUUCUUAUGGAUGGCUGGAGGAAUUAUUCGACAGUCACGAAACAGUGAGCAGCUGGAAGAUUUGGGCAGCAAGUGCUUUCAAGAUCUAGUGUCAAGGUCUAUUUUUCAACAAACCAGCUCUGGUAGUUCUAAAUUUGUAAUGCCCUAUCUUAUCCAUGAUCUUGCUGAAUUGGUUUCUAGAGGGACCAUUUUCAAGUUAGAGGAGUCCACCAACUUGUCGUCGAGGAGAUUUGAAAGAGUUCGCCAUUCUUCCUAUGCCCGCGGUUGGCAUGACGGUAAAAAUAAGUUUGAGGUUUUCUAUGAAAUUGAACAUCUACUAACAUUCUUGCCAUCACGCAUAAGAGGUGGCACUAAUACGAGUUACAUAACUCGAACGGUUCUAUCUGAUUUGUUGCUGAAUUUCAAAAGUUUGAGGAUGUUAUCUUUACAAGGAUACUGUAUUGGUGAGUUACCAAUUUCAUUUGAAGAUUUGAGACUUUUAAGGUUUCUCAACCUUGCUUACACUGACAUAAGAAGUUAUCUGAGUCAACAUGCAAAUUGCUGAACUUGGAAAUUUUGAUAUUAAGAAAUUGUUCUCGUUUGAUAAAGCUUCCACCCAAAAUGAGGAAUUUGAUCAAUUUACGCCAUCUCGAUAUAAGAGGUGCGAAGUUGCUGAAGGAGAUGCCAUUCGGAAUGAAAGAGUUGAAGAAGCUUCAAACAUUGUCCAAUUUUAUUGUGGGCAAGGGUGAAACUGCAUCUUGUUUGGAAGAUUUAAAAUGUUUAAACUUUCUUUGUGAUAAACUUUGCAUUGCUGGAUUAGAGAAUGUUAAUAAUCCACAGAAUGCAAGAGAAGCCGCAUUAUGUGAGAAACACAAUCUUGAAGCAUUGACUCUGGAUUAGGGGUUUCAAUUUGACAAUUCCUGAGGAGUAGUAGAAGAGCAUGUACUGGAAAAUCUACAGCCUCAUAAAUGUAUAAAAAAGGUGGCGAUCCGGAACUAUGGUGGUGCAAGAUUUCCCCUUUGGAUAGGAGAUCCUUUGUUCUCCAGGAUAGAGCUCCUAAAAUUGGAGAACUGUGACAAUUGUGUAUCUUUGCCAUCGCUUGGCCUAUUGAGUUCACUUAGACGGCUUGCUGUUAAAGGGCUGAAUAAACUAAAAAGCAUAGGGUCUGAGGUUUAUGGGGAGGGUUUCUCAAUGCCUUUUCCAUCAUUGGAGAUUCUAAGUUUCGAGAAUUUGCCAGAAUGGGAGCAUUGGGACACCGAUGUCAAAGGAAAUGUGCUUGUUGAAAUAUUUCCUCGUCUCCAUCAACUUUCCAUUGUGGAAUGUCCCAAACUCUCGGGAGAACUGCCUGAGCUCCUGCCCUCCUUGGAGACACUUUUUGUUAGUAAAUGUGAAAAGUUGGUAGUUCCAUUGUCUUGCUAUCCGAUGCUCUGCAGAUUAGAAGUUGAUGAGUGCAAGGAACUAGCAUGCGGGACUCCAAUUGAUUUUAAGUUGAUAACGUCUGUGACUAUUUCAAAUAGUUCCUUAGACAUGAAUGGAUGCAAGGGGAUGCUAUACGAUGGUCCAGCUGGCUCUUCACUACCAAAGCCUAUGAUUACUACAAAUGUUUCGGAGUUUGGAAAAUUAUUGAAGCCUGGAUUUCAGAUAUUAGAAACUUUGGUAAUUGCCAAUUCUGAACAGCUCAAGUCAUGGAGGCAGAAUGGGGAUUUUCCGGAAAAAUACACGGCCCCUGAACAUAGGUUUAAGAAACCAGUACGAGGGCUGAAUAUGCUCGCUUCCCCUGAAGAGGUAACAAUUGAAGAAAGUUGCGUACGUCUUGUUUUGUUUCCAGAGAUCAAUUUCUUUCCCAGAAAUCUGCGCUCUCUUCUAAUUAACAACAACACUGCUUUCAAAUCCUUACCCGAGGAAAUGAUGGAAAACAAUUCACAACUCGAAAGGUUGUAUAUCAGAGAUUGCGACUCUCUAACAUUCAUCGCAAGACGGAGGCUACCAGCAUCUCUUAAAAGGCUUGAGAUAGAAAAUUGUGAGAAAUUGCAACGUCUGUUCGAUGAUGAAGAGGAUGCUUCUUCUUCUUCACCUUCACCCUCGUCUUCCCCAGUGAUGCUGCAACACCUGAGUAUAGAGAACUGCCCAGAGCUCACCAGUUUAUCAUCGGGUGUCCAAUUCCUUGAGGCGCUUGAAGACCUCGACAUACAGGGUUGUCCAAAGCUGGAGUCAUUACCGGAUGGCCUGCCCAAUCUUAAAUGUUUACAGAGCAUUUAUAUACGGGGAUGUCCAAGUCUUGUUUCCUUCCCAGAAAGAGGGCUUCCCAACACGAUUUCAAGGGUUGACAUUUGCAGUUGUGACAAGCUCAAAGCCUUGCCCAAUGAUUUGCACAAACUCAACUCUCUUCGAGAUUUAAGAAUACGGCUGUGUCGAAAUCUUGUAUCGUUUCCAGAAGAAGGUUUUCCUACCAAUCUAACAUCACUUACAAUUGGAAAUUUCAAAAUGUAUAAGACACUCGUCCAGUGGGGGUUGCACGGGCUUACCUCUCUUAAACGCCUCUCGAUCAGUGGAUGUCAUGAAGCAGAGUGUUUUCCAGACGAGGAGAUAGGAAUGACGCUGCCCACCUCUCUCACUCAACUGCUCCUUUAGGGAUUCGAAAAACUGAUAUCUCUGUCUUCGACGGGUUUUCAAAGCCUCAACUCUCUUCAAUACUUAUUGAUCUGGGGUUGCCCAAAUCUCACAUCAUUCCCAGAGGCGGGUCUUCCAUCCUCACUUUUGGAUUUAGGCAUUUACAAUUGUCCAAAGCUUAAAAGAGCGUGCAAAAGAGAUCAAGGAAAAGAGUGGCCCAAAAUUGCUCACAUCCCUCGCAUUGAGAUAGACAGAAAAUUCAUAUACGAUCCAGAAUCAGAGGAGUAGAUUCUAUUACAAAGGUCAGUUGAUUUCUAUUAUCCUCUAUAACAAGCUCCUCUUAAUUUUUUUUUUCUAAGUAAUAAUUUUGCAGUUCUGUAUAAUUAUUAAUCGUCUGCUCUUAAUUGAAAAUGUCACUCACUUGAUUCCGUUUUCACUAGUCAAAUUGUAUGUUGAGGCUAUUUGCUUUUUAAUUAUAACACUUAUCUUAAAAUUUAAUACCAAAUUUUUUUGAUUCACUUCAAUUAGCAUUUUGUUUUCCCCAAAUUAGGCAAGCCGAGAGCUUCAUUAACUAGAGUUUUUUAUUUUUCGGACCUUGCAUCUGAAAGGUUCAGUGUAUUUUUUUUUUUUUCAAAUUUAUUGUUCAGAUCUCAGACGAGUAUACGGUUUAGAUUACAAAACACCUAUGAUUAAUUUCUUUUUUUUUUUUUUAAUUUCAGGGAGAAGAAGUGGUCAGUUUCAAUCCGGAAUUGGAAUAUGGCAAUUUGGUUCAAGCACACACACCUGGUCACUUGGUCAGUGAACCUGAACUUUACGCAGUUUUUUCAACUCAGUGAUUUUUGGAACGCAUAUUGGUGUAAGGAAAUCAAUAGAAAUUUAUGCAUAGUCAAAUUCUGAUAUUUGCUAUAAUAUUAUACAUUCUAAAGUUUCUCCAGUUUGUUCUCAGAUUACCAUCAUUUUUUGCCUUCACCAAAAAAAAAUCGAGUGGCUUUCCAGUGGAUAUUUAAUCGGAGGUAUGACUGGAUUUUUUUCACUUCUGUAAAUCUUGCAUUUUAAACUGGCAAAUUUAACUUUAAUUUUAAUACGACUUGUUUGAGGGAAAUACUCCGACGAGACCAGACGUGAUGAGCAGAUGUUUGGUGGCAGAAGUCUGCGAGCAGGUGUGUCCUGUAAGAGCCAGGUAGCAGGGAAACAGGGGCAGAAAUAUCCUGCUCAUCCACGAGCAUGUCAUCCGCGAGGCCAAUUUCCUGUAAGAAACAUAAAGCCAUUCCUGCUGUAUUCUUGCUAAGGGUUGAUUCGAGGAGACCCGGUCAACGACAGUUGGCGAGGCAUGCUCUCCAGCCCGAGAAUCUAGGCACGAAGGCCACGCAACCACCCACGACUACGGAAAUGGGGAAUCCACGUUCGAGAGGUGGGAGGAUAACAGACGUAGACUGCGGAAAACUGGGAUUCAGAGGAAGCCUAUAAAAAGGUAGCCAACGAAGGUAAAAGGGUUAGCAAUUUUGAUUCUAAAAGAGAGAAAACAACCUAACAACCAUAAGAUUUUUGGCAAGCGUUCCCCGAACCUUCAUAUCUGACUUGAGCGUCGGAGGGUUUGCGCCGGGAAAACAACCGGCGUACUCUGACCUGUCUGUGUGCGCAGGAACCUCUGGAGAAGAAGCUUUACGAGGAGAGAUCCUGGUCGUGGUGAAGUUGAUCGAGCAGAGACCCUGGUCGUAGAACGAGGAGAACCAGAAUCUCGCAUCAACACGACUUUGUUGGUGCCUUGUGUUCCAGAAACUAGAAUGAUGUGUAGUUUUCAGAUUAAGGGGCUUGUAAAUUCUCUAGUAAGAAUCCAAUAAUUUGCUUUUGCACAUUCAUUUUAUUUGUGGAUCCUUGCAUCUGAAUUUGAUCAAUCCAAAAGGAAUUGCUUUUAGACAGAAGAAGAAUUGCAGUACCUAGCCUACGACAUAGUAAAUGGACCUGCAAACCUGUAACUAUUAGUUUGAGGUAAAAAAUUCAUGACCCUCACAUGUUAACUUCUUCUAGUUACUUUCAUCAAAAACACAUUUAAGAAAUUUGCAAUUUUUUGUUAGUUUUGUAUACCGAUGUUGUUUUCUGUUUUAGCAUUUGUAUAAUCUACUGUAUUAUAUUUUGGCGGUUGCAGUAUCUGAGGUAUCUUUUGCAUUUAACUUGCUUUAUUUGUUUUGCUUGUGACUUAAGAACACCAAUAUUUGCCAGAGAUUUAGAGAAGCAUAUCAAGAUGCUUGGCAAACUUGACAAACUUCAAGAUCCUUCAUUCUUCACGACCCAAAACUUGUGAGUACACUUAUGCCCGCAAUUAUUGUGAAACGCUUGCAAUUUUGAUGCAGCGAAAUGGUUUGUUGAUGCAAAGGUUUAAACUUUUAAGAUUUACACUGCAGGGUAGUUGGAUGCUGUAUAGUCGAACGGCCACCAACAUCAAGAACUAUAACUCCAAGACCGGGUUUGCAUUAAUUCAAUCAGCUGAAAUAAUGAUGCAAAUGACACUAUCAGCUGGACUUAGAGACCAGUCAGAUCAAUCAUCCUUUUAUCAACAGUUAAUGUCAUGAUGGUGUCUAUCGGAGGAAACAAAGGAUGUGUCGGAAUCAAUAUGAACAGUGAGAAGAAUGAGAGGAGCUUUGAUUAUAAGUAGGCUCAAUGAACUCAUGCUGGUAAGUGGUAAUUAAAGAAAUUUGUGCGCUUAGUAGCAUUCAAUAUUUUCUGUUUGGGAUAUAGUUGAUGAGUUGAUACUCUGAUUAAGAAGCCUGAUUAUAGUAGCUGACUUUUUUUUUGUGGUUUGCUGUUGUUUAUUCUUUCGAUUAAUUUCAACAUUAGGUUGAUCUGUUGAAGAACAAACUUGGGUUUGAUUAUGCUUUAACUACAAGGAAGAGCCAGACUUGGAUGCAGGCGUUCAGCUUUUAAUGGGUAAGAACAAAUGUAUGCUUUAACCAUGUUUCUCACUUAUUACAAUGCACACAUUGAAGGCAUCUGAGCUGAUCCUGAAAAUGUGAUGGAAAUACUUCUCUGUUUACAUAAAACAGACAAAUAGAGAUCUCUGAUCAUGCCUGAGAAUUCGUUGCAUUUAAAAUUUCUACCAUUGCCAAAAAUAGAAUAAACUACGGAUACAUUAGCUUAAGACUCAAUUUUGAGAAGGAAGUUUGCACAUGCAGCCUAAAAAAUCACGUCCGUGUUGUAUACUUGUAUGUUUCUUUGGGAAAUGAAAGAUUCUGUGUUCUUUUAUUUCAAGUUUGCUGAAAUCACAUUUGUUUUCUUAGAUGCUUUUGGGAAGGUAACAACAUCAAUUUCAUAAAUGCUGGGGUAAGAUGCAUCACGCAGUGCUACUCAACAUGAGAAUUCCCGGCCGCAUUACCUGUAUGUUGAGUGAUCGCACAGUACAACCUUUAGAAGCUUGUAAGGAGUAGACAACUAGAUGCGAAUAGUUUCAAUAUGGAUUCGCAUCAAAUGAUCUCUUGCCAGUGAUUACUAUAACCUCUAUCCCAAAAUUCUUGGAACUGGUCAUACCAAUAAUGAAGUAUUGUGUACGUUGAAGACGUAGCUCAAGGCCUUGCGAAAGCUCCGUCAGCCUUUGUAUUGGAAAACAGUUGGUUGUAGUUGCUUCUGAAUGAUAUUAUUAAUAGAUACUGUAAAAAUGAAGUGUGCCACUCAUUUUCAGAGCCCUGUUAAGAUGUGUUGGUAAUGUGUUUGAAGGUUGUUUGAUUUGUGUUGUAUUCAGCUAUAAAUCAAAGAUUCAGAACAUGGUUAUGUUACUGGUUUCCAAAUAAAAAAAUUGCCUUGUGAUGUUAGUGUUCAUUGUUUUCACAGGAGAUCAGGUUCCCUGUUGAUGAAUCAAGAAGGCAAACGCAUCCAUGCCUUAAGUUCAAAUGUGUCUCUUCUAUUUUCUAUUACUGACUCCUUUAUUUUGAUUUCUUCAUUGUAAUGGAAUUGGUUUUCAUUCCAAAUUAGUCAAAACCUCCUAGAGUCAUUAAGUUCUGUUAGCAUUUGAAGAUAGAACUAGAACUAAAUGAUUGACUGGAUUAAAUUCCGAUAAAGAAUUAAGUUAUGUAUUUAGAGAUAUUUUGUUUUUUUUUUCAUUUGUUCAAUUUGGUUAGUGGUGAUUUCUUAAAGACUCAAUCCAUGUGCGUUUAUGCAUUUUUCUUUUGCCUUAAUUUCUGUUUCUUGGGGAGUUUAUACAGAUUCUUAUUUUAUGCUUCACAUGCCACAUGAAAGAUCGAAGCAUUUUGUGUGAUUAGAACUGACUUGCAUCACAGUAACUUUAAACCACUGCCACAUUUUUAUAAUAACAGUCUGAGAUCUCCCUGAAGGAUUCAAAGCAUUUUAUUUUAUAUUAACCUCCUUUAAGUGGGUUUCGACACUACCACAAGUUCUUUAAAUACUAAAACGAUUUUGAGUCUUUUGUAUCAUCUGAUUGAAAUACCUGAAAGCACUCGUGGCUGCAAAAAUAUAUCGAUUUUGAGUAUGGCGUGCAUGUAAAUUAUAUCGAUUUUUUCUAUAUGACAAGUAAGACUCUCUUUUACAAUGGCACGGAUGCGUCAUUGAGUAAUCAUGAUUCUUGCUGGUAGUGCUUUGUUGUAUCAAUCUGCUAGCUAUUCAGCUUUCUUUCUUUCUUUCUUCUUUUUUUUUUUUUUUUUUUGUUUUCAAAUAGCUUGUGGUUGUAGAAAUAUUUCAAUUAAACUAUACUUAAGUACUUAUUUAGUAUAACUUCUUUACUAGCCAAAAUAAUUUUUUUUUGGUUUUUUAUAAUUUAAUUAUACUUUAACUAGAGUUUUUGGGAUUAAACAAGUGAUAAUUUCUCUCUAUUAAGAAAAACUCAAAAUUUUUUAAUUACUAGAAUGCGUCUAAAUUAAAUUACAAUUAUAGACACUAAAAUAUAGUAAAUUUUUUUUUUUACUCUUUAAAACUGUCUUUACAUUCGAUAUCAUAUUUUUUUCUUAAAAUCUAAAUUGAUAUUUUUAUUUUAUUUUUGAUUAAUCUUAGAACACAUAUAAAGUGAUUCAUAUUGAUUUUAUACUAACAAACUAUCAUAGCACAUUCGAAAAUAAUUAACUCGUUCUUAUUUGCAUAGUGAAAAAGGCAAAUAGCUCACCCAAAUGUUAAGGAACUGGAGAGCUGCUGCUGGAGACGAAAGGAUGUGAAAAGCAUGGUAAAGAAAAAUUGCAUAAUUCUCACUUAGAAGAGGAAGAAAAAAAAAAUACAAUUAGAAUGAGAGGUAGCCAGUAGCCAGUAGCCGCCACCACCACCAGUCAAACUAUUUCGACACACUAAUACUGUAAUACAUAUCAAAAUGCAAUAUCGGUCCUAACAAAAUGAAAAUAAAAAUUCAUUACGAAUAUGUGUUAAAGAUAUCCCAAGUAUUGAUGUGAUUGAAAUAUUUGAGAUUGAAGUAGAAAUAAGACUCAAAAUCAAUUGAGAGGAAUAAAUGAGAAACUCUAAUACUAAUAAAAUAUAUUCACAAAUCCUAAUGCUAAUUAAAAUCACGGAUUAAAAAAAAUAAUAUGAAUGAAUUACAGGCGCAACUGUUUCAUUAAAAAAUUAAUAAAAUCGUGUAUUAAUAUUUUGUACACAUACAUUUUUCCAUAUAUAACUUUUGGUAAUUUAGUUUUCCACUUAUCAUUUUUACUCCAAAAAAAUAAUUGAGAAUAUUAUUUAUGUUUUGGUGCAAAAUAUUUAAACAACAUAAAAAUUUUCAGUUUAAUAAAUCUAAACAAUUCUCAAGUUAUAAAUGAAUUUAAUGGGUUUAAUUAGUAAAAAUACUAUUAUUUUAUAAAUUGGGUUUAGUAAUGGUAUAUUGGGUAUUUAAAUGGGUUUGUUGAGUAAAUUUUAAAAUUUUAAAGUUCAAGGGUAGGUUUAUUUAGUAAAUGGGUUAAUGCAGCAAUUUUCAAACUAAAUUUUUGGAAAAAGAGGCUAUUGAGUUUUUUUUAAGAAAAAGAAUUAAAAUGUUGAGAAUACCUUUAUUUAAUUUUAUAAUCUAAUUUUAAAAAAUUUACCCAAUAAAUUUUAUAAUUUUUUAUAAAAAUUAUCAUUAACAUCCAAACAGCUGAAGAUUAAAAAAAAAAAAAGAAGGGAACUGUACUAGCAAAAGUUAGAUUAACAAUAAAUUUAGUCCAAAGAAUAAAGUUAUAGCUAAAAAGUGCUCCUAUCCUAUUUUUCUCUAUUUUAACAAUAAUCUUCCAAUCCAUUUUACAAUGGACUUAACAAAUGGGCUCAAUCUCUAAACUUCAUUUUCUUUUGCUAACCCAUGGCCAUUAGCCAGAAAGCCUAAAACAAUUUUAGGAUCACAUGUGUAAAUGGAACCCCAAGAUUGAUCAAGAAUUAACAAGACAAGAUGAAGAGAUGAUCUUGUAACUAAGAAUGAAGAAAUUGAAUCAAGACAGUACUCUAGUAAAACCCAGAAAACAGAGCUUGAAGAAUCACGCACAAAGCAGUAAAUUUGUAAAACCAGAAUUGGAGCUUCACUUCUCAAGAUAGACGAAACAGGAUACAAUCUAGCUUUGGUCAACUUCGUUUGGCCACGUCAUAAAGUCUUCCCCCACAGUCUUUCCCGCCAAAACAGAAAAGCUUUAAAAGCCAUUUACCCUCCUGAGUUACUUGCUCCUAUUACAUCAAGGCCCUGUAAGUCUAUAUUUAUUAUUACAAAAGCACCCUUAAACCGAGAUUUGAGAUAUUUUUUCAAAGAUCGAAGCGCAUGAUUUCACGGCUAUGUUGCAUAGUGAAUUUUAGUGCUUUACAGUUAAGGGAUAGUUUAAAUUCAUUACAAAGCAUUCGCAAAGAAAUUGUUUUUAAAUGAAACUCCUCGUCUUGACCAGAUUAUUUAUUAUUAUUAAAAAAAAAAUGUUCAAAACUUAGCCAAAGUGAUAAACUCGUAAUUAUUCUACAAAGGGAACAAUUUUGAACGGUGGGAAAUUCCAUAAUUAUGCUUUUCUGUGAAUUAUUUUAAAUAAAAUUAUAAAAAUUAAUAUAAAAUUAUAAUAAUGAUAGAGCCACAAACUCUUGUACAAAUUUAUUUUAUACAAACUCAUGUGGCAUGAUAAGAUUGGUUGAAUUAAAUAUUACUUGGCCCACAUGAUUUGUUUUUAUUAUUUUAUAUUUUUAUUCAACCAAUAAAUUAAUACCACGUCAGUUUGUACAAAAUAAAUUUAUACAAAAAUUUGUGACUCGAUCAUCACUCAUAAAAUUAAUACCCGGUAAAGACUGUAGAGAGACAAGUGCCCCCAACAGAAUCAAGUGAAUAUGCCCCACAAAGAUCACAUGAUCAUUUCUGUUCUUUUUCUUUUUGAUAAUUUUAUCUGUGGUUUCAACUUUUAUGCUUUAUUGUCGUAUCCCGUUGAGGGCUCCGCUGCACCCAUUACAACUUACCCCUAAAUUGCCUCUUACUAACUAAACCGUUAGAUUUUAUGGAAGCACGUUCAAUGUUGAAUUUUAAUUAUGUCAUCGAAUUUCGUUUAGCUCCUUAAACUCCAUUUUAUUUGUAAUUUCUUCAUAAAAUAUUCAAAGCUUCAUCAAGCUCCUGAUGGACCAUCAUGGCUAGGGGUGCAUUAGAGCCGAACUGAAAUAUGUUAGUUCAGUUCAGUUUGGUCAGUUUAAAUCGAAUGGUUUAGAAUAUAUAAACUGAUCAAUUUUAAUUUUGAAUUGAACCGAACCGAAAAUCAAUUGGUUCACUAUUAGUAUUUUUGUAUAAACAAGAAUGAUUAGUGAUUAUAAUUAAAUUGGACUAAAAAAAAUUCAAACUAAGGUGAAAAAUAUCAAAUCUUAGACAAUAUAAAAAAAAAUAUUAAAUUUUUUUAACCGAAACGAACCGAAUUAUUUUGACUCAGUUUGGUUCAUAAUUUUUUAAACCAAACUGAUUUAUUCCCACCCCCUAAUCGUGGCUCUCUAUCUUUAGUCAUUCACCCUUGAGUUUGAUGCCAAUUGUUGGGUUUCAAAUGAUUAUACACUCAAAUGGAACCCUCAUAACAAAAAACUAACAGAAACAAUAAGAACACGAUGUUAAAAUCUUAAAUCAAUCGCAAAAAAGCACCCAAAACAGAUCGAUUAGGAACAGUUAAGAACAAAAGAUUUGAUGGUUCAAAAUCAUAAUGUGACCUACGUACUUUCAUCCAAGAAUCAUACUAAUUGCUUUACUAGUUGUCAAACUCAAGAUCACAAGAUUGUUUAUCACUCUACAUAAAAAUUUUUUUUAGAAGAAAUACUCCCCAAUUUUUCUCUUAAUAGUUAUGAAUCAACACCCCUAGGAAGCCUGUUGAUUUACUUUUCCUUAUUUCCUAUGAUCGGUUGCUGCAACUUAAUCCUUGCCAAGCUCCAACAUAGUCCAAACACUUUUAACGGUACAGGCAUAGUGCACCUUCAGAAACUUUACAGCUCCUCUUAAAACCUCAGGCAUCGUAAGCACAUUAAGCAGCCGACAACACUCUUCUUCAUUUCUUCAUUGUCAAUUUCCUUCUUGGAACAUUGCUCCAUUGAGAGUCUGCUAGAAUUGCUCCAAUUAUUAUUAUUAUUUAAAAAAAAAAGAAAACCCUGCAAUAAGAGUAUAAGACUAAGCAACGGUCCUUUUUUUUUCCCCAUUCUUGAACCUAAAGUAUUUGAGUAUGCAAAUUAAUAAAUAAAUUCAUUUAUUUUUAUUAAAAUUUUGUAAAAUUAUAAUUUUUAAUAAAAAUAAUUAUUAAAAUUUUGUAAAAUCUAAAUUUAGAAAAAUUCAGUUGGGCACCUCUAUUUGAGAUUUAUUUUUUAUUAAAUUUAGGGAUAUUUUUAUAAUUAUAAUUUUUAAUUUUAAAAGUUUUUAUAAGAUAAAAUAGUCUUUUAAUUUAUUUAGGGGGUAAAAUUGGUGUUUUAUUAAAAUUAUUUAAUUGUGUUAAUGCAAAAGUGGCUAUUUGAUACAAAUGUGAAAAGAAAGGUGGUGCAAAAUAUAUGUUAAAAUUUUAUAUUGGUUGGAUGAACAUAAGCUAAAAUAAAGGUGGUGCAAUGAUAAUUUCCCUAUCCUAAAACUUAAUUGACUUAAUUCUUACGGUGCAAGGAAGAGGUUUCCAAGUUUAAAUCUAAAGGCUUGUAUUUAAUUUGGGGUUGGGAAAGCACUGAGAAAUAAAUGUAACUAAGGAAAAAAAAAAAGUCACGCAGUCCAAAUAAGUAGAUAUAUUUAAUAUGAGGUGGGGAUGGGUGAACUGUAAUUCAGAAAAAAAUAAAAUAAAAUUUUAUAUAAAGUUGAGGGUGUGUUUUAAUGGUUUCUUAUGCUGCGUUUAUUUUUUGGACUAGAGUGAGAAUUCUAAAAAGUGAGAAUCCUAUGAUUAGGUGUGUGGAGUGGGAGUGGGAGUAUGGUAUUUACUUAGACUAAAUAAAAGUAUGGAUUGUCAAUCAGAAUCUCAAUUAUUUGUUACUUUGUCUUGGAUUGAGAGUAAAUUAUUUUAAAUUACAAUUUUAUCCUUAUGUAAAGAAUUAUAAUUUGUAAUUAAAAAAUUAAUAAAAAUAUAUUGGAAAAUAAAAUAAAUAUUUUAUUAUAUUUAUAAAAUAAUAAUAAUUAAUAAAAUUCUUAAUUAUGUAAAUCAUAAUUUUUUAUUAAUUUAAAUUUAAAUUAUGUGAAUAAAAUUAUUAAUAAUAGCAACACAAAUGAAACAUUAUUAUUAAUAAUAUAGUAUAAAAUUAAUAUUUUUUUAGAAUAAAAUAUUUAUUAUUAUUAAAUAAAUAAAUAAUAUUUAUUAAAAUUAAUGUUUAAUAUUAUUAAUUUAAAUAUAAUAUUUAUUUAUUUUUAUUUUAUUUUAUUAAAUUUAAUAAAAUAAAUAUGUUAUAAUUAUUAUUUUUAAUAAAUAUGAUAUUAUUUAUUUUAUUAAAUAUUAUUUAUUUAUUUUAAUUAUGAGGGUAAAAAUGGAAGAGGGGGAGUGGAUUCCCACUCCCACCUCCCCCCAUGGGAGUGGGAAUCCCACUCUCCCCUUAAAAAUGGUAAGUAAAUAUUAGAAUGGGAAGAAUCUACACUCUACACUUUCUAGAAAAUAAACACUACCUUUAUUUAAAUCGAUUUGUUGGAUAUUUAGCUAAAAUGAGAGUAGCUCUCUAAUAAUUAUUGCAUUAUUACAAACAUAUCCAACGGUUAUAAUAGCGCGCUGAAUCAAUGCUUCAGAAGGAUGACAGUCUGAGUGAAAAGGAAAUAAACGCUUUCAAUUGAAUUACUACCACUACACUCCAAUACUCUAUUAUUGUUUGUGUGCUUGCUUGUGGACCUUUUUACUUCUUACUAUCAUUAUUGAAUUCCAUUUCCAAAUUUUCAGCAUACUUUUGCUUUCUUUCAGUAUCUUCAGUUUCUCUUUUGCUUGCUAUCAAUUCAGUUUUCUUCUUGUGAAGAUCGAACGGAACCAUGGUUGCUGUGGGAGAGAUCUUACUCAACGCCUUCUUUCAGGUGUUGUUUGACAGGUUGGCUUCCCGUGAUUUGCUCAGCUUUGUCCGUCAACUUGGAGGCGGGGACGAUUCCGAGCUCAAGAAGUGGGAAAGAAAGCUGAAGAUGAUUCAGGCGGUGCUCAACGAUGCAGAGGAGAAGCAACUGACCGACGAGGCCGUGAAGAUGUGGCUGGACGAUCUCCAAGACUUGGCUUAUGACGCUGAGGACAUUCUUGAGGAGUUUGCUACUCAAGCUUUGGAAAGCAAGUUGAUGGCGAAAAAUCAGGAUCGCAUUGGCCAGGUUCUUAGUUUCAUACCGGCUAGUUUGAAUCCGAAUGCUAUUAUGUCCAAUUAUAGCAUGGGAUCCAAGAUUAAAGAUAUUACUAGCCGGUUGGAGCAACUCUGCCAAGAUAGAAUUGAACUUGGGCUGCAACGGAUUGCUGGAGGGGCAUCAUCAACUACUUCUGCUGCACAUCAGAGGCGAGACAGUUCGAGUGUCCCAACAGAACGUGAAGUAUUUGGAAGAGAAGAAGAUAAGGCCAAAAUUCUUGAUAUGGUAUUGACCGAUACCCCAAGUGAUCGUGCCAACUUUGUUGUAAUACCCAUUGUUGGCAUGGGCGGGAUAGGAAAAACAACUCUUGCCCGGGAGGUCUACAAUGACAAGGCCGUUGAAGAUUCCAAGUUUGAUGUAAAAGCAUGGGUUUGUGUCUCUGAUGUCUUUGAUAUUUUGGGCAUCUCAAAGGCACUUCUCCAGUCAAUCACCUCCGCAGCUAGUGAUCUCAAGACUUUAAAUGAGGUGCAGGUUCAACUGAAAAAAGCAGUUGACGGAAAAAGAUUCUUGCUGGUCUUAGAUGAUGUUUGGAACGAGAACUACAACUUGUGGGAAGACUUAAAAGCUCCGUUCCUGGAUGCUGCACCAAACAGCAAGAUGAUCGUCACCACACGCAAUUCAAGUGUUGCAUCAACAAUGAGACCCAUUGAACAUUUCAAUCUCAAGAGUCUGUUGGAUGACGAUUGCUGGUCCAUUUUUAUAAAGCAUGCAGUUGAAGGUGGAGAUCUUAACGAGGAUCAAAUUUCAGAAUCAUUCCGCAAGAAAGUUGUUGGCAAGUGUGGAGGCUUGCCUCUGGCAGCAAAAACUCUCGGGGGCCUUCUGCGUACGACGAGGCAUGAUGGGUGGGAUGGUAUAUUGGAUAGCAAAAUAUGGGAAUUACAUCAACAUAGCAGCAUUCUCCCUGUGUUAAGAUUGAGUUACCAUCAUCUUCCGUCUCAUUUGAAAAGAUGUUUUGCUUUUUGUGCCAUCUUUCCAAAAGAUUAUGAAUUCACUGAGAAGGAGCUGACUUUCUUAUGGAUGGCUGGAGGUAUUAUUCGACAGUCAAGAAACAAUGAGCAGCUGGAAGAUUUGGGCAGCAAGUGCUUUGGUGAUCUAGUGUCAAGGUCAAUUUUUCAACAAACAGCAAUCUCUGAUAGUUCUAAAUUUGUAAUGCACGACCUUAUCCAUGAUCUUGCUGAAUUGGUCUCUGGAGGAACCAUAUUUAGGUCAGAGGAGGCCAAUACUCUAUCAAGAAGAUUUGAAAGGGUUCGCCAUUCUUCCUAUACCCGUGAUUGGUAUGAUGGUAAAAAUAAGUUCGAGGUUUUCAAUGAAAUUGAACAUCUACGAACAUUCUUGCCGUUAAGAGGUAACUAUUGUACUAGUUACAUAACUCGACCGAUUCUAUCUGAUAUGCUGCCAAAGUUCAAAAGGUUGAGAACGCUAUCUUUACAAGGAUACUGUAUUGGUGAGUUACCAAUUCCAUUUGAAGAUUUGAGACUUUUAAGGUUCCUCAACCUUGCUGACACUGACAUAAGAAGUUUACCUGACUCAACAUGCAAAUUGCUGAACUUGGAAAUUCUGAUAUUAAGAAAUUGUUCCCGUUUGAUAAAGCUUCCGCAGAAAAUGAGGAAUUUGAUCAAUUUAUGCCAUCUGGAUAUAAGAGGUGCGAAGUUGCUGAAGGAGAUGCCAGUCGGAAUGAAAGAGCUGAAGAAGCUUCAAACAUUGUCCAAUUUUAUUGUAGGCAAGGGUGAAUCCGCAUCUGGUUUGGAAGAUUUAAAAAGUUUAAACCUUCUUUGUGAUGAACUUUGCAUUGCUGGAUUAGAGAAUGUGAAUAAUCCACAGAAUGCAAGAGAAGCCGCAUUAUGUGAGAAGCACAAUCUUGAAGCAUUGACUCUAACAUGGUGGCCUCAAUUUGACAGUCCUCGAGGUGUAGUAGUGGAAGAGAAUGUACUUGACGUUUUGCAGCCUCAUAAAUGUAUAAAAAAGGUGGCAAUCAGGAACUAUGGUGGUGCAAGAUUUCCACCUUGGAUAGGAGAUACUUUAUUCUCCAAGAUAGAGCUCCUUGAAUUGAAGAACUGUGACAAUUGUGUGUCUUUGCCAUCGCUUGGCCUAUUGAGUUCACUUAAACACCUUGCUGUUAAAGGGCUGAAGAAACUAAAAAGCAUAGAGUCUGAGGUUUAUGGGGAGGGUUUGUCAAUGCCUUUUCCAUCGUUGGAGGUUCUAAGUUUUGAGAAUUUGCCUGAAUGGGAGUAUUGGGACACCAAUAUCAGAGGAAAUGUGCUCGUUGAAAUGUUUCCUCGUCUCCAUAAACUUUCCAUUGUGGAAUGUCCAAAACUCUCUGGGGAACUGCCUGAGCUCCUGCCCUCCUUGGAGACACUUGUUGUUAUUAAAUGUGAAAAUUUGGUAGUUCCAUUGUCUCGCUAUCCGAUGCUCUGCAGAUUAGAAGUUGAUGAGUGCAAGGAACUAGCGUGCGGGACUCCAAUUGAUUUCAAGUUGAUAAAGUCUGUGACUAUUUCAAAUAGUUCCUUAGACAUGGAUGGAUGCAAGGGGAUGCUAUACGAUGGUCCAGCUAGCUCUUCACUGCCAAAGCCCACGAUUACUACAAAUGUUUUGGAGUUUGGAAAAUUAUUGAAGCCUGGAUUUCAGAUAUUAGAAACGUUGGUAAUUGGCAAUUCUGAACAGCUCAAGUCAUGGAGGCAGCAUGGGGAUUUUCUAGAAGAAUAUAUGGUCGCUCGCCAAAGGUUUAAGAAACCAGUACAAGGGCUGAAUAUGCUCGCUUCCCCUGAAGAGGUAACAAUUGAAGAAAGUUGCGUACGUCUUGUUUUGUUUCCAGAGAUCAAUUUCUUUCCCAGAAAUCUGCGCUCUCUUCUAAUUAACAACAACACUGCUUUCAAAUCCUUACCCGAGGAAAUGAUGGAAAACAAUUCACAACUCGAAAGGUUGUAUAUCAGAGAUUGCGACUCUCUAACAUUCAUCGCAAGACGGAGGCUACCAGCAUCUCUUAAAAGGCUUGAGAUAGAAAAUUGUGAGAAAUUGCAACGUCUGUUCGAUGAUGAAGAGGAUGCUUCUUCUUCUUCUUCUCCUUCAUCCUCGUCUUCCCCAGUGAUGCUGCAACGCCUGAAUAUAAAGAACUGCCCAGAGCUCACCAGUUUAUCAUCGGGUGUCCAAUUCCUUGAGGCGCUUGAAGGCCUCGAGAUAUGGGAUUGUCCAAAGCUGGAGUCAAUACCGGAUGGCCUGCACAAUCUUAAAUGUUUACAGAGCAUUCAUAUAGAUGGAUGUCCAAGUCUUGUUUCCUUGCCCAAUGACAUGCACAAACUGAACUCUCUUCGAGAUUUAAACAUACGGGCGUGUCCAAUAUCGUUUCCAGAAGAAGGUUGUCCUACCAAUCUAACAUCACUUACACUUGGAUAUGUCGAAAUGUAUAAGACACUCGUCCAGUGGGGGUUGCACAGGCUUACCUCUCUUAGAAGCCUCGACAUUUUUGGAUGUGAUGAUGAAGCAGAGUGUUUUCCAGACGAGGAGAUAGGAAUGACGCUGCCCACCUCUCUCACUCAUCUGCACCUUUUUGAUUUCGAAAAAUUGAGAUCUCUGUCUUCGACGGGUUUUCAGAGCCUCACCUCUCUUCAAUCUUUGGAUAUCUGGUUUUGCCCAAAUCUCACAUCAUUCCCAAAGGUGGGCUUUCCAUCCUCACUUGUGGAAUUACGCAUUAGAGAUUGUCCAAAGCUUAAAAAAGCGUGCAAAAGAGAUCAAGGAAAAGAGUGGCCCAAAAUUGCUCACAUCCCUUGCGUUGAGAUAGACGAUAAAUUCAUAUACCAUCCAAAAUCAGAGGUGUAGAGUGUAUUAUUAAGGUCAGUUGAUUUAUGUUAUCCACCAUAACAAGCUCCUCCUUUUUUUUUAAAUAAUAAUUUUGCAGUCACUCGCGUGAUUCCGUUUUCACAAGUCAGAUUGUAUGUUGAGGCUAUUUGCCUUUUAAUCGCAGAUUAAAUUAUAACACUUAUCUUAAAAUUUAAUACCAUAGACAGAUAGACGAUUUUUUAAUCCAAAGUUUUUUUAUUCACUUCAGUUAGCAUUUUUUUUUUCCCCAAAUCAUGCAAGCCGAGAGUUUCAAUCAACAGAAUUUUAUUCACUCAUUGACUUUUCAACUGCUGUGGUUAUUUAUGGGUGAAAGAUAAAUUUCUUAGAUGGUAGAUAUAUCGACAUUUUAGAUUUCAGAUAUUUGUCACCAAUUUCAUUCCUUUUUUUAAAAUUUUUUUUAAGCAAGUUUGACUAAUUUUAACCAGAAUUGGAGUAUAAUAUUUUGGAGCAAGCAUACUUGAAAUUUCUGUCUUCAAUUUUUUUGAUGCUUUUUUAAUUUUGAUCUAGUAAAAAUACAUAGCCUUCACCGGCAGGAUUCUAGUCUUGGCUUUCACCUCUCUAACUCAUCUGUCCCUAUUGGGAUUCCAGAAAUUUAAAUUUCUGUCUUCAAUGGGUUUUCAAAGCCUCACCUCUCUUCGAUUUUUGUGGAUUGGGAAUUGCACAAAUCUCACAUCAUUUCCCGAGGUCGAGGAAAAGAGCGGCCCAAACUAUCAGCGGUGUUGAUUCUCUUAUUAAGGUCAGCUGAUUUCUAUUAUCCACUCUGACAAUCUCCUAUUAGUGUUUUUUUUUUAAAAAAUUUGCAGUUCUGUAUAAUUGAAAUGCCACUCACUUGUUUCCUUCUUCACAGGUCAGAUAGUAUGUUAAAGCUAUUAGUGCUGCCUCAUAGGUUGAUUACUCACAGAUGAAAUCAUAACUUUUAUCUUAAAAUUUAAUAGCAUACACAGAUAGACGAUUUUUAGUCCAAAGUUUUUUUUAUUCACUUCAAUCAAAAUUUUAGAUUGCAGAUUUUUGUCGAGUAUUUUCAUUCCAAUUUUUUCAUUUUUUAUUUUAAACCAGAAUUGGAGUAUAAAAUUUUGGAGCGCGCAUACUCUGAUGCAUGCAAUUAACUGUUUUUAAUCGUUGGAUUUUGAAAUUAAUGAUGGUAAGAUGUGUACUUAUUCUUUCUUCCAACAACCUUGCCUUCUUUCUUCGGUCGCAUAUCUAAUGAAUAUUUCUCUGUUUAGUUAAGGAUGAAUGCUUGGAGUGGGGUACUUGGUAACAUUUCUGCCUUAGAUGAAUCCUUGAAGAAAUGCCCGCAGUUCCUGAGACCAAAUACAGGUCUGAUUCAAAACAGCACCUUUCCCAGAAAAUAUGAUCCAAGGCAAAGUCAUGUUCUGAUAAUGUUUCCUUAAGUACUAAGUUGCAAGGAAACUUGAUUCAUUAACUACAGUUUUUUAUUUUUAGGACCUUGUAUCUGAAAGGUUCAGUGUUUUUUUUUUUCAAAUUUAUUGUUCAGAUCUCAGAGGAGUAUAUGGUUUAGAUUACAAAACACCCAUGAUUAAUUUCAUUUUUUUUUUAAUUUCAGGGAGAAGAAGUGGUCAGUUUCAAUCCGGAAUUGGAAUAUGGCAAUUUGGUUCAAGCAAACACACCUGGUCACUUGGUCAGUGGUCACUUGGUCAGCGAACCUGAACUUUACGCAGUUUUUUCAACUCAGUGAUUUUUGGAACGCAUAUUGGUGUAAGGAAAUCAAAAGAAAUUUAUGCAUUGUCAAAUUCUGAUAUUUGCUAUAUAUUAUACAUUCUAAAGUUUCUCCAGUUUGUUCUCAGAUUACCAUCAUUUUUUGCUUUCACCAACCAAACAAAAACAAAAUGAGUGGCUUUCCGGUGGAUAUUUAAUCGGAGGUAUGACUGGAUUUUUUUCACUUCUGUAAAUCUUGCAUUUUAAACUGGCAAAUUUAACUUUAAUUUUAAUAGGACUUUGUUGGUACCUUGUGUUCCAGAAACUAGAAAGAUGUGUAGUUUUCAGAUAAAGGGGCUUGUAAAUUCUCUAGUAAGAAUCCAAUAAUUUGCUUUUGCACGUUCAUUUUAUUUGUGGAUCCUUGCAUCUGAAUUUGAUCAAUCCAAAAGGAAUUGCUUUUAGACAGAAGAAGAAUAGCAGUACCUAGCCUAUGACAUAGUAUAUGGACCUGCAAACCUGAAACUAUUAGUUUGAGGUAAAAAAUUCAUGACCCUCACAUGUUAACUUCUUCUAGUUACUUUCAUGAAAAACACAUUUAAGAAAUUUGCAAUUUUUUGUUAGUUUCGUAUCCGAUGUUGUUUUCUGUUUUAGCAUUUGUAGAAUCUACUGUAUUAUAUUUUGGCAGUUGCAGUAUCUGAGGUAUGUUUUGCAUUUAACUUGCUUUGUUUGUUUUGCUUGUGACUUAAGAACACCAAUAUUUGCCAGAGAUUUAGAGAAGCAUAUCAAGAUGCUUGGCAAACUUGACAAACUUCAAGAUCCUCCAUUCUUCACAACGCAAAACUUGUGAGUACACCUAUGCCCGCAAUUAUUGUGAAAUGCUUGCAAUUUUGAUGCACUGAAAUGGUUUGUUGAUGCAAAGGUUUAAACUUUUAAGAUUCACCCUGCAGGGUAGUUGGAUGCUGUAUAAUCGAAAAGCGACCAACAUCAAGAAUUAUGACUCCAAGACCGGGUUUGCAUUAAUUCAAUCAGCUGAAAUCAUGAUGCAAAUGACACUAUCAGCUGGACUUAGAGACCAGUCAGAUCAAUCAUCCUUUUAUCAACAGUUAAUGUCAUGAUGGUGGCUAUCGGAGGAAACAAAGGAUGUGUCGGAAUCAAUAUGAACAGUGAGAAGAAUGAGAGGAGCUUUGAUUACAAGUAGGCUCAAUGAACUCAUGCUGGUAAGUGGUAAUUAAAGAAAUUUGUACGCUUAGUAGAGUUUCAAUAUUUUCUGUUUGGGAUAUAGUUGAUAAUUUGAUACUCUGAUUAAGAAGCCUGAUUAUAGUAGCUGACUUUUUUUUUGUGGUUUGCUGUUGUUUAUUCUUUCGAUUAAUUUCAACAUUAGGUUGAUCUGUUGAAGAACAAACUUGGGUUUGAUUAUGCUUUAACUACAAGGAAGAGCCAGGCUUGGAUGCAGGCGUUCAGCUUUUAAUGGGUAAGAACAUAUGUAUGCUUUAACCAUGUUUCUCACUUAUUACAAUGCAUGCAUUGAAGGCAUCUGAGCUGAUCCUGAAAAUGUGAUGGAAAUACUUCUCUGUUUACAUAAAACAGGACAAGAGAUCUCUGAUCAUGCCUGAGAAUUCGUUGCAUUUAAAAUUUCUACCAUUGCCAAAAAUAGAAUAAACUAGGGAUAGAUUAGCUUAAGACUCAAUUUUGAGAAGGAAGUUUGCACAUGCAGCCUAAAAAAUCAUGUCCGUGUUGUAUACUUGUAUGUUUCUUUGGGAAAUGAAAGAUUCUGUGUGUUCUUUUGUUUCAAGUUUGCUGAAAUCACAUUUGUUUUCUUAGAUGCUUUUGGGAAGGUAACAACAUCAAUUUCAUAAAUGCUGGGGUAAGAUGCAUCACGCAGUGCUACUCAACAUGAGAAUUCCCGGCCGCAUUACCUGUAUGUUGAGUGAUCGCACAGUACAACCUUUAGAAGCUUGUAAGGAGUAGACAACUAGAUGCGAAUAGUUUCAAUAUGGAUUCGCAUCAAAUGAUCUCUUGCCAGUGAUUACUAUAACCCCUAUCCCAAAAUUCUUGGCAUUGGUCAUACCAAUAAUGAAGUAUUGUGUACGUUGAAGACAUAGCUCAAGGCCUUGCGAAAGCUCCGUCAGCCUUUGUAUUGGAAAACAGUUGGUUGUAGUUGCUUCUGAGUGAUAUUAUUAAUAGAUACUGUAAAAAUGAACUGUGCCACUCAUUUUCAGAGCCCUGUUAAGAUGUGUUGGUAAUGUGUUUGAAGGUUGUUUGAUUUAUGUUGUAUUCAGCUACAAAUCAAAGAUUCAGAACAUGGUUAUGUUACUGGUUUCCAAAUCAAAAAAAUGCCUUGUGAUGUUAGUGUUCAUUUUUUUCACAGGAGAUCAGGUUCCCUGUUGAUGAAUCAAGAAGGCAAACGCAUCCAUGUCUUAAGUUCAAAUGUGUCUCUUCUAUUUUCUAUUACUGACUCCUUUAUUUUGAUUUCUUCAUUGUAAUGGAAUUGGUUUUUUAUUCCAAAUUAGUCAAAACCUCCUAGAGUCAUUAAGUUCUGUUAGCAUUUGAAGAUAGAACUAGAACUAAAUGAUUGACUGGAUUAAAUUCCGAUAAAGAAUUAAGUUAUAUAUUUAGAGAUAUUAUGUUUUUUUUUUUUUCAUUUGUUCAAUUUGGUUAGUGGUGAUUUCUUAAAGACUCAAUCCAUGUGCGUUUAUGCAUUUUUCUUUUGCCUUAAUUUCUGUUUCUUGGGGAGUUUAUACAGAUUCUUAUUUUAUGCUUCACAUGCCACAUGAAAGAUCGAAGCCUUUUGUGUGAUUAGAACUGACUUGCAUCACAGUAACUUUAAAUCACUGCGACAUUUUUAUAAUAACAGUCUGAGAUCUCCCUGCAGGAUUCAAAGCAUUUUAUUUUAUAUUAAACUCCUUUACGUGGGUUUGGACACUACCACAAGUUCUUUAAAUACUAAAACGAUUUUAAGUCUUUUGUAUCAUCUGAUUUAAAUACAUGAAAGCACUCGUGGCUGCAAAAAUACAGUUGGGGCUAUUUCUAAAGUCUUCAACAGCAUUUUCUUUUUAACCUUUAUCCUCAUGGUUGUUUUUGCAGUUGUUCUUUAAGAAAACAUUUAAAAGGUUCUCUUUAUGGAUUUUUGAAAAUAAUUUUAACAUGAGCAAUUUUCAGAAGCACUUUAGAUGUCUGGCAUUUAGGAAAUUUUAUUUCGGUGUCACAUAAAAUACUUAGGAAGUUAAAUUUAUUUAUUUAUGAGCAUGUGCCAGUGCCCAGUGGCAUCCUCUUCACUUGUGAUAGUCAAAUGUAUUAUACGAUACAAUAUUAGCUUGACUGUAGCACAGAGGAGAAUAGGGUUGGUGUUGGUCUGAACCAGCUUAUGUAACAGCUGCCAAAGGAUAAUUUAAUUGUACUUUGAGUAAAGCUUUUGCGAAUUAAACAAGUGAUAAUUUGUUUUUAUUAAGAAAAACUUAAGGAAUUAGGCUAUUUUAACUGACCAAAUUACACAUUAAAAAUUCAUUUACAAAAAUAGUUUUUAGUUAUUAAAAUAUUCCUAAAUUAAAUUAUAAUUAUGGACACUAAAAUAUUUUUUUUAUAUUUUACUCUUUGAAACUGUCUUUAUAUUCGAUAUUAUAUUUUUUUCUUAAACUCUAAAUUGAUUUUUUUUUUUGAUUAAUUUUAAAACACCUAUAAAGUGAUUCAUAUUGAUUUUAUACUAACAAACUAUUAUAGCACAUUCGAAAAAUAAUUAAAUCGUUCUUAUUUACAUAGUGAAAAUGCAAAUAGCUCGUUCAAAUGUUAAGGAAUUGGAGAGCUGCUGCUGGAGAUGAAAGAUGUGAAUUAAACAUCAGAAAAAAAAUUAUGUUUACUAUCUUGCCAGACCAAGCACCGAAAAGCAUCGUAAAGAAAAAUUAGAUAAUUUAGAAGAUAAAGCACGUGGAAUGGAGGCAGAAAGCAAGUAAUGAUAACUCUUUCGACAAACUAAUAUAUACCAAAAUGCAAUAUCAAAAAUGAAAAUAAAAAUUCAUUACGAAUACGUGUUAAAGAUAUCCCAAGUAUAGAUGUGACUGAAAUAUUUGAGAUUGAAGAAGAAUUAAGACUCAAAAUCAAUUGGGAGGAAUAAAUGAGAAACCUCAAUACCAAAAAAUACACGCGCAAAUCCUAAUACUAAUUGUAAUUGCAGAUAAAUAGCAUAAUACGAAUAAAUUCCAUGGGCAACUAUUUCAUUGAGAAAUUAAUUAAAUCGUGUAUUAAUAUUUUGUAUACAUAUAUUUUUCUAUAUAUGACUUUCGGUAAUUUAAUUUUCCACUUAUCAUUUUUACUCCAAAAAAAUAAUUGAGAAUAUUAUUUAUGUUUUGGUGCAAAAUAUUUGAACAAUAUACAAAUUUUCAGUUUAAUAAAUCUAAACAUCUAUUAAGUUAUAAAUGAAUUUAAUGGGUUUAAUUAAUAAAAUUACUAUUAUUAUAUAAAUUGGAUUUAGUAAUGGUACAUUGGGUGGGUUUGUUGAGUAAAUUUUAAAAUUUUGAAAUUUAAGGAUGGGUUUAUUUAGUAAAUGAGUUAAGGGAGUAGUUUGUUGGGAUUCACAUAACGCCACCAAAUUCAAAUGUAAAAUUUAUGGAAAAAGAAGCUAUUGAGUUAUUCUUUUUAAAAAAAGAAUUAAAAUGUCAAGAAUACCUUUAUUUAAUUUUAUAAUCUUAUUUUAUAGUCAUAUUUUAUUUCCACCUUAACAUAAUUUUAAAAAACCUUAACUAAUAAAUUCUAUAUUUUUUUUAUAAAAGUUAUCAUUAAUAUCCAAACGGCUAAAGAUUUUUUUUUUUAAAAAAAAAGAAACUAUGCUUACAAAAGUUGUAUACAUUAACAAUAAAUUUAGUCCAAAGAAUAAAGUUAUUCCAAACAAGCACUCCUAUUCAUCUUGCUAAUGAAUCAAGAUGACUGAAUCCAUUCUCUAAGCCAAAUCUAUUUUCACUUCUAGGUCAGAAAUUGUCAUUAAAAAAGUGUUUGAUAAAAUAUGCUCUGGGAACACUAAUUCGUCAGAUGGUUACUCCAAGUUUAUGAAAUCAAUGGGGUUUCAUCAUAUUCAUAACAUUCUUCUUUAAUGUCUAUUCUAACAAAGAAAUUACUAGAAAACUUUUACUAGAAAAACUAACCACAAUUCAUCAUUCAUUUAUAUCUUAAGUAAGCGUAAGAUUUUAUCAUUAAAAUCUCAUCAUGAAAAAACUCAUGGGAGAAAAACUAUAAAAAUUGAAGAAAAAAGAGUAUGGCGUGCAUGUAAAUUAUAUCGAUUUUAUCUAUAUGACAAAUAAGACUCUCUUUUACAAUGGCACGGAUGCUUCAUUGAGUAAUCAUGAUUCUUGCUGGUAGUGCUUUGUUGUAUCAAUCUGCUAGCUAUUCAGCUUUCUUUCUUUCUUUCUUCUUUUUAUUUUUUUUGUUUUCAAAUAGCUUGUGGUUGUAGAAAUAUUUCAAUUAAACUAUACUUAAGUACUUAUUUGGUAUAACUUCUUUACUAGCCAAAAGAUUUUUUUUUUGGUUUUUUAUAAUUUAAUUAUACUUUAACUAGAGUUUUUGGGAUUAAACAAGUGAUAAUUUCUCUCUGUUAAGAAAAACUCAAACGGUAGGGUUAUCUCAAUCCACCAAACUAUUUAUUAAAAAUCCACUUAUGAAAAUAAUUUUUAAUUAUUAGAAUGCCUCUAAAUUAAAUUACAAUUAUAGACACUAAAAUAUAGUAAAAAAAAUUUUUUUUUACUCUUUAAAACUGUCUUUACAUUCGAUAUCAUAUCUUUUUCUUAAAAUCUAAAUUGAUUUUUUUUUUAUUAAUCUCAGAACACAUAUGAAGUGAUUCAUAUUGGUUUUAUACUAACAAACUAUCAUAGCACAUUCGAAAAUAAUUAACUCGUUCUUAUUUGCAUAGUGAAAAGGCAAAUAGUUCAUCCAAAUGUUAAAGAAUUGGAGAGCUGCUGCUGGAGAUGAAAGAUGUGAAAAGCAUGGUAAAGAAAAAUUACAUAAUUCUCACUUAGAUGAGGAAGAAAAAAAAAAGAAUACAAUUAGAAUGAGAGGUAGCCAAUAGCCACUAGCCGCCGCCACCGCCACCAGUGAAACUAUUUCACAUAAUAGAAGAUAAAGCACGCGUAAUGGAGGCAAAAAGCAAUUAAUGAUAACUCUUUUCGACACACUAAUACAUAUCAAAAUGCAAUAUCGGUCCUAACAAAAUGAAAAUAAAAAUUCAUUACGAAUAUGCGUUAAACAUAUCCCAAGUAUUGAUGAUGUGAUUGAAAUAUUUGAGAUUGAAGUAUAAAUAAGACUCAAAAUUAAUUGAGAGGAAUAAAUGAGAAACUCUAAUACUAAUAAAAUACAUUCACAAAUCCUAAUGCUAAUUAAAAUCACGGAUUAAAAAAAAUAAUAUGAAUGAAUUACAGGCGCAACUGUUUCAUUAAGAAAUUAAUUAAAUCGUGUAUUAAUAUUUUGUACACAUACAUUUUUCCAUAUAUAACUUUUGGUAAUUUAGUUUUCCACUUAUCAUUUUACUCCAAAAAAAUAAUUGAGAAUAUUAUUUAUGUUUUGGUGCAAAAUAUUUAAACAACGUAUAAAUUUUCAGUUUAAUAAAUCUAAACAUUUCUCAAGUUGUAAAUGAAUUUAAUGGGUUUAGUUAGUAAAAAUGCUAUUAUUAUAUAAAUUGGGUUUAGUAAUGGUAUAUUGGGCAUUUAAAUGGGUUUGUUGAGUAAAUUUUAAAAUUUUAAAAUUUAAGGGUGGGUUUAUUUUAGUAAAUGGGUUAAGGCAGCAAUUUCCCAAACUAAAAUUUUUAGAAAAAGAGGCUAUUUAGUUUUUUUUUUUAAAAAGAAUUAAGAUGUUGAGAAUACCUUUAUUUACUUUUAUAAUCUUAUUUUAAAAAAUUUACCCAAUAAAUUUUAUAAUUUUUUACAAAAAUUAUCAUUAACAUCCAAACAGCUAAAGAUUAAAAAAAAAAAAAAAGAAGGGAACUGUACUAGCAAAAGUUAGAUUAACAAUAAAUUUAGUCCAAAGAAUAAAGUUAUAGCUAAAAAGUGCUCCUAUCCUAUUUUUCUCUAUUUUAACAAUAAUCUUCCAAUCCAUUUUACAAUGGACUUAACAAAUGGGCUCAAUCUCUAAACUUCAUUUUCUUUUGCUAACCCAUGGCCAUUAGCCAGAAAGCCUAAAACAAUUUUAGGAUCACAUGUGUAAAUGGAACUCCAAGAUUGAUCAAGAAUUAACAAGACAAGAUGAAGAGAUGAUCUUGUAACUAAGAAUGAAGAAAUUGAAUCAAGACAGUACUCUAGUAAAACCCAGAAAACAGAGCUUGAAGAAUCACGCACAAAGCAGUAAAUUUGUAAAACCAGAAUUGGAGCUUCACUUCUCAAGAUAGACGAAACAGGAUACAAUCUAGCUUUGGUCAACUUCGUUUGGCCACGUCAUAAAGUCUUCCCCCACAGUCUUUCCCGCCAAAACAGAAAAGCUUUAAAAGCCAUUUACCCUCCUGAGUUACUUGCUCCUAUUACAUCAAGGCCCUGUAAGUCUAUAUUUAUUAUUACAAAAGCACCCUUAAACCGAGAUUUGAGAUAUUUUUUCAAAGAUCGAAGCGCAUGAUUUCACGGCUAUGUUGCAUAGUGAAUUUUAGUGCUUUACAGUUAAGGGAUAGUUUAAAUUCAUUACAAAGCAUUCGCAAAGAAAUUGUUUUUAAAUGAAACUCCUCGUCUUGACCAGAUUAUUUAUUAUUAUUAAAAAAAAAUGUUCAAAACUUAGCCAAAGUGAUAAACUCGUAAUUAUUCUACAAAGGGAACAAUUUUGAACGGUGGGAAAUUCCAUAAUUAUGCUUUUCUGUGAAUUAUUUUAAAUAAAAUUAUAAAAAUUAAUAUAAAAUUAUAAUAAUGAUAGAGCCACAAAUUCUUGUACAAAUUUAUUUUAUACAAACUCAUGUGGCAUGAUAAGAUUGGUUGAAUUAAAUAUUACUUGGCCCACAUGAUUUGUUUUUAUUAUUUUAUAUUUUUAUUCAACCAAUAAAUUAAUACCACGUCAGUUUGUACAAAAUAAAUUUAUACAAAAAUUUGUGACUCGAUCAUCACUCAUAAAAUUAAUACCCGGUAAAGACUGUAGAGAGACAAGUGCCCCCAACAGAAUCAAGUGAAUAUGCCCCACAAAGAUCACAUGAUCAUUUCUGUUCUUUUUCUUUUUGAUAAUUUUAUCUGUGGUUUCAACUUUUAUGCUUUAUUGUCGUAUCCCGUUGAGGGCUCCGCUGCACCCAUUACAACUUACCCCUAAAUUGCCUCUUACUAACUAAACCGUUAGAUUUUAUGGAAGCACGUUCAAUGUUGAAUUUUAAUUAUGUCAUCGAAUUUCGUUUAGCUCCUUAAACUCCAUUUUAUUUGUAAUUUCUUCAUAAAAUAUUCAAAGCUUCAUCAAGCUCCUGAUGGACCAUCAUGGCUAGGGGUGCAUUAGAGCCGAACUGAAAUAUGUUAGUUCAGUUCAGUUUGGUCAGUUUAAAUCGAAUGGUUUAGAAUAUAUAAACUGAUCAAUUUUAAUUUUGAAUUGAACCGAACCGAAAAUCAAUUGGUUCACUAUUAGUAUUUUUGUAUAAACAAGAAUGAUUAGUGAUUAUAAUUAAAUUGGACUAAAAAAAAUUCAAACUAAGGUGAAAAAUAUCAAAUCUUAGACAAUAUAAAAAAAAAUAUUAAAUUUUUUUAACCGAAACGAACCGAAUUAUUUUGACUCAGUUUGGUUCAUAAUUUUUUAAACCAAACUGAUUUAUUCCCACCCCCUAAUCGUGGCUCUCUAUCUUUAGUCAUUCACCCUUGAGUUUGAUGCCAAUUGUUGGGUUUCAAAUGAUUAUACACUCAAAUGGAACCCUCAUAACAAAAAACUAACAGAAACAAUAAGAACACGAUGUUAAAAUCUUAAAUCAAUCGCAACGGUCCUUUUUUUUCCCCAUUCUUGAACCUAAAGUAUUUGAGUAUGCAAAUUAAUAAAUAAAUUCAUUUAUUUUUAUUAAAAUUUUGUAAAAUUAUAAUUUUUAAUAAAAAUAAUUAUUAAAAUUUUGUAAAAUCUAAAUUUAGAAAAAUUCAGUUGGGCACCUCUAUUUGAGAUUUAUUUUUUAUUAAAUUUAGGGAUAUUUUUAUAAUUAUAAUUUUUAAUUUUAAAAGUUUUUAUAAGAUAAAAUAGUCUUUUAAUUUAUUUAGGGGUAAAAUUGAUGUUUUAUUAAAAUUAUUUAAUUGUGUUAAUGCAAAAGUGACUAUUUGAUACAAAUGUGAAAAGAAAGGUGGUGCAAAAUAUAUGUUAAAAUUUUAUAUUGGUUGGAUGAACAUAAGCUAAAAUAAAGGUGGUGCAAUGAUAAUUUCCCUAUCCUAAAACUUAAUUGACUUAAUUCUUAUGGUGCAAGGAAGAGGUUUCCAAGUUUAAAUCUAAAGGCUUGUAUUUAAUUUGGGGUUGGGAAAGCACUGAGAAAUAAAUGUAACUAAGGAAAAAAAAAAAGUCAUGCAGUCCAAAUAAGUAGACAUAUUUAAUAUGAGGUGGGGAUGGGUGAACUGUAAUUCAGAAAAAAUAAAAUAAAAUUUCAUAUAAAGUUGAGGGUGUGUUUUAAUGGUUUCUUAUGCUGCGUUUACUUUUUGGACUAGAGUGAGAAUUCUGAGAAGUGGGAAUCCUGUGAUUAGGUGUGUGGAGUGGGAAUGAGAGUAGGGUAUUUACUUAGACUAAAUAAAAAUAUGGAUUGUCAAUCAGAAUCUCAAUUAUUUGUUACUUUGUCUUGGAUUGAGAGUAAAUUAUUUUAAAUUACAAUUUUAUCCUUAUGUAAAGAAUUAUAAUUUGUAAUUAAAAAAUUAAUAAAAAUAUAUUGGAAAAUAAAAUAAAUAUUUUAUUAUAUUUAUAAAAUAAUAAUAAUUAAUAAAAUUCUUAAUUAUGUAAAUCAUAAUUUUUUAUUAAUUUAAAUUUAAAUUAUGUGAAUAAAAAUUAUUAAUAAUAGCAACACAAAUGAAACAUUAUUAUUGAUAAUAUAGUAUAAAAUUAAUAUUUUUUUAGAAUAAAAUAUUUAUUAUUAUUAAAUAAAUAAAUAAUAUUUAUUAAAAUUAAUGUUUAAUAUUAUUAAUUUAAAUAUAAUAUUUAUUUAUUUUUAUUUUAUUUUAUUAAAUUUAAUAAAAUAAAUAUGUUAUAAUUAUUAUUUUUAAUAAAUAUGACAUUAUUUAUUUUAUUAAAUAUUAUUUAUUUAUUUUAAUUAUGAGGGUAAAAAUAAAAGAGGGGGAGUGGAUUCCCACUCCCACCUCCCCCCAUGGGAGUGGGAAUCCCACUCUCCCCUUAAAAAUGAUAAGUAAACACUAGAAUGGGAAGAAUCCACACUCUACACUUUCUAAAAAAUAAACACUACCUUAAUUUAAAUUGAUUUGUUGGAUAUUUAGCUAAAAUGAGAGUAGCUCUCUAAUAAUUAUUGCAUUAUUACAAACAUAUCCAACGGUUAUAUAUGCUUGCCUGUGGAAAUAAAAGUCCCAAGUUUCUUUGAAAGGUAAGCUAGUGUGAAUGUUUUCAUCCGUGCAACUUACUUGAUGAAUGAAGUUUUCAUCCCUGACCUUGAUGUUUCUGGUGGCUACAAUCAUUUCAGCUGAUCUAUUCCAUUUUGUUAAGGUGAGAAUUUAGAGUGGCUUUAACUGUUAGCAAAUAGCCUAAUGUAAGACUUGAUCAACUUCCUGCCCUGUUGUAUGCUUAUGAAUUUUGAUAGAGUUAUGAGUUUGCAGAAGCUACUGUAUUAUAUGUUGUUAGAGGCUGUAAAAAUGAGGCAGAUCAAACACACAUUUAAAUUUCAAUGACAAUUUACUAGAAGUAAAUUUCCUAUGACCCUCCAGGUGACUAAUCAAUGAGAACUUGACAAUAACAAAAGAAAGUGUAUGAGCUUUGCAGGCGGGCACGCCAAUCUUGACUGCAUGGCACCAUCCGCCAUUUGCAAGUGAAUAUCAUUAUUGUUUAAUCAACAUGGUGGAGUCCACUGGGACCACACCACAUGGUCAGUCUUAUCUCUAUUCCUCAAUUUUCAGUAUUCCAUACAUCAAAACAAUUUCAGUUUUGUUAUCAAUUAUAAUUUCAUUGUUGGAGACGAUUCUGAUUCCUUUCUUUCUGACAAAACGGAACCAUGGUUGCUGUGGGAGAGAUCUUACUCAACGCCUUCUUUCAGGUGUUGUUUGACAGGUUGGCUUCCCGUGAUUUGCUCAGCUUUGUCCGUCAACUUGGAGGCGGGGUCGAUUCCGAGCUCAAGAAGUGGGAAAGAAAGCUGAAGAUGAUUCAGGCGGUGCUCAACGAUGCAGAGGAGAAGCAACAGACUGACGAGGCUGUGAAGAUGUGGCUGGACGAUCUCCAAGACUUGGCUUAUGACACUGAGGACAUUCUUGAUGAGUUUGCUACUCAAGCCUUGGAAAGCAAGUUGAUGGCGCAAAAUCACGAUAGUUCUGGCCAGGUUCUCAGUUUCAUCCCGGCUGGUUUGAAUCCGAAUGCUAUUAUGUUCAAUUAUAGCAUGGGGUCCAAGAUUAAAGAUAUCACUAGCCGGCUGGAGCAACUCUGCCAAGAAAGAAUUGAACUUGGACUGCAACGGAUUACCGGAGAGGCAUCAUCAACUGCUGCUGCUGCUGCACACCAGAGGCCACCCAGUUCGAGUGUCCCAACAGAACGUGAAGUAUUUGGAAGAGAAGAAGAUAAGGCCAAAAUUCUUGAUAUGGUAUUGGCCGAUACCCCAAGUGAUCAUGCAAACUUUGUUGUAAUACCCAUUGUUGGCAUGGGCGGGAUAGGAAAAACAACUCUUGCCCGGGAAGUCUACAAUGACAAGGCCGUUGAAGAUUCCAAGUUUGAUGUAAAAGCAUGGGUUUGCGUAUCUGACGUCUUUGAUGUUUUGGGCAUCUCAAAGGCACUUCUCGAGUCAAUCACCCGCAGGCCUUGUCUUCUAAACAGUUUAAAUGACGUGCAGGUUGAGCUGAAAGCAGCUGUGGAUAAAAAAAGGUUCCUGCUGGUCUUAGAUGAUGUUUGGAACGAGGACUACAGCUUAUGGGUAGACUUAAAAGCUCCGUUACUGGUUGCUGCACCAAACAGCAAGAUGAUCGUCACCACACGCAAUUCAAGUGUUGCAUCAACAAUGAGACCCAUCGAUCGUCACCACACGCAAUUCAAGUAUUACGAUCUCAAGAGUCUGUUAGAUGAUGAUUGCUGGUCCAUUUUCAUAAACCAUGCAUUUGAAUCUACAGACCUUAGCGCACAUCGAAUUUCAGAAUCAUUCCGCGAGAAAGUUGUUGGCAAGUGUGGGGGCUUGCCUCUAGCAGCAAAAACACUCGGGGGCCUUCUUCGUACUAAAACGCAUGCUGAGUGGGACGGUAUAUUGGAUAGCAAAAUAUGGGAUUUACCUCGGCAAAGCAGCAUUCUCCCCGUGUUAAGAUUGAGUUACCAUCAUCUUCCUUCUCAUUUGAAAAGAUGUUUUGCUUUUUGUGCCAUCUUUCCAAAAGAUUAUGCAUUCACUGAGAGGGAGCUGACUUUCUUAUGGAUGGCUGGAGGUAUUAUUCGACAGUCAAGAAACAAUGAGCAGCUGGAAGAUUUGGGCAGCAAGUGCUUUGGUGAUCUAGUGUCGAGGUCAAUUUUUCAACAAACAGCAAUCUCUGAUAGUUCUAAAUUUGUAAUGCACGACCUUAUCCAUGAUCUUGCUCAAUUGGUCUCUGGAGAAACCAUAUUUAGGUUAGAGGAGGCCAAUACUCUGUCAAGAAGAUUUGAAAGGGUUCGCCAUUCCUCCUAUGCCCGUGAUUGGUGUGAUGGUAGAAAUAAGUUGGAGGUUUUCAAUGAAAUUGAACAUCUACGAACAUUCUUGCCAUUUUGCAUAAGAGGUGGCGUUACUUCUGGUUGGAUAACUAGCACGGUUCACUACGAUUUGUUGCCGAAGUUCAAAAGGUUGAGGAUGCUGUCUUUAGAAGGAUACCAUAUUGGUGAGUUACCAAUUCCAUUUGAAGAUUUGAGACUUUUAAGGUUCCUCAACCUUGCUGACACUGACAUAAGAAGUUUACCUGAGUCAACAUGCAAAUUGUUGAACUUGGAAAUUCUGAUAUUAAGAAAUUGUUCCCGUUUGACAAAGCUUCCCCAGAAAAUGAGGAAUUUGAUCAAUUUACGUCAUCUGGAUAUAAGAGGUGCAAAGCAGCUGAAGGAGAUGCCAUUUGGAAUGAAAGAGUUGAAGAAGCUUCAAACGUUGUCCAAUUUUAUUGUAGGCAAGGGUGAAUCUGCAUCUGGUUUGGAAGAUUUAAAAAGUUUAGACCUUCUAUGUGAUGAACUCUGCAUUGCUGGAUUAGAGAAUGUGAAUAGUCCACAGAAUGCAAGAGAAGCCACAUUAUGUGAGAAGCACAAUCUUGAAGCAUUGACCCUAGAAUGGGGGUCUCAAUCUGACAGUCCUCGGGAUGCAGUACUAGAAGAGAAGGUACUUGACACUCUACAGCCUCAUGAACGUAUAAAAGAGCUGGCAAUCAGGAACUAUGGUGGUGCAAGAUUUCCACCUUGGAUCAGAGAUCCUUCGUUUCCCGAGAUGAAGGUCCUUAAAUUGGAGAACUGUGACGAUUGUGAAUAUCUGCCAUCACUUGGCCUGUUGAGUUCACUUAAGCACCUUGCUGUUAAAGGGCUGAAGAAACUAAAAAGCAUAGGGUCUGAGGUUUAUGGGGAGGGUUUGUCAAUGCCUUUUCCAUCAUUGGAGGUUCUAAGUUUUGAGAAUUUGCCUGAAUGGGAGUAUUGGGACACCAAUAUCAGAGGAAAUGUGCUCGUUGAAAUGUUUCCUCGUCUCCAUAAACUUUCCAUUGUGGAAUGUCCCAAACUCUCUGGGGAACUGCCUGAGCUCCUGCCCUCCUUGGAGACACUUGUUGUUAGUAAAUGUGAAAAGUUGGUAGUUCCAUUGUCUCGCUAUCCGAUGCUCUGCAGAUUAGAAGUUGAUGAGUGCAAGGAACUAGCAUGCGGGACUCCAAUUGAUUUUAAGUUGAUAGAGUCUGUGACUAUUUCAAAUAGUUCCUUAGACAUGAAUGGAUGCAAGGGGAUGCUAUACGAUGGUCCAGCUGGCUCUUCACUGCCAAAGCCUAUGAUUACUACAAAUGUUUCGGAGUUUGGAAAAUUAUUGAAGCCUGGAUGUCAAAUAUUAGAAACUUUAGUAAUUGGCAAUUCUGGACGGCUCAAGUCAUGGAGGCAGCAUGGGGAUUUUCUAGAAGAAUAUAUGGUCGCUCACCAAAGGUUUAAGAAACCAGUACAAGGGCUAAAUAUGCUCGCUUCCCCUGAAGAGGUAACAAUUGAAGAAAGUUGUGUGAGUUUUGUUUUGUUUCCAGAGAUCAAUUUCUUUCCCAGAAAUCUGCGCUCUCUUCUAAUUUGCAACAGCACUGCUUUGAAAUCCUUACCCGAGGAAAUGAUGGAAAACAAUUCACAACUGGAAAGGUUGUAUAUCAGAGAUUGCGACUCUCUAACAUUCAUCGCAAGACAGAGGCUACCAGCAUCUGUUAAAAGGCUUGAGAUAGAAAAUUGUGAGAAAUUGCAACGUCUGUUCGAUGAUGAAGAGGAUGCUUCUUCUUCUUCUUCUUCUCCUUCAUCCUCGUCUUCCCCAGUGAUGCUGCAACACCUGAUAAUAGGGAAAUGCCCAAAGCUCACCAGUUUAUUAUCGGGUGUCCAAUUCCUUGAGGCGCUUGAAUUCCUCAAGAUAGAGCAUUGUCCAAAGCUGGAGUCAAUACCGGAUGGCCUGCCCAAUCUUAAAUGUUUACAGAGCAUUUAUUUACUCAAUUGUCCAAGUCUUGUUUCCUUCCCAGAAAGAGGGCUUCCCCACACCAUUUCAUUUGUUUGCAUUUGCGGAUGUGACAAGCUUGAAGCCCUGCCCAAUGACAUGCACAAACUCAACUCUCUUCGACAUUUAAGCAUACAGCUCUGUCCAAAUCUUGUAUCGUUUCCAGAAGAAGGUUUUCCUACCAAUCUAACAUCACUUACAAUUGGAGAUUUCAAAAUGUAUAAGAUACUCGUCCAGUGGGGGUUGCACAGGUUUACCUCUCUUAGACGCCUCUAUAUCGUUGAUUGUGAUGACGAAGCAGAGUAUUUUCCAGACGAGGAUAUAGGAAUGACGCUGCCCACCUCUCUCACUCAACUGGAACUUUCGGGAUUCAAAAAAUUGAUAUCUCUGUCUUCGACGGGUUUUCAGAGCCUCACCUCUCUUCAAAGAUUGCGGAUCUGGGAUUGCCCAAAUCUCACAUCAUUUCCAGAGGUGGGCCUUCCAUCCUCACUUUUGGAAUUACACAUUUACAAAUGUCCAAAGCUUAAAAAAGCGUGCAAAAGAGAUCAAGGAAAAGAGUGGCCCAAAAUUGCUGACAUCCCUUGCGUUGAGAUAGACAAUAAAUUCAUAUACGAUCCAGAAUAAGAGGAGUAGAUUCUACUAUUAAGGUCAGUUGAUUUGUAUUAUCCGCUAUAACAAGCUCCUCCUUUUUUUUUUUUAAAUAAUAAUUUUGCAGUCACUCACGUGAUUCCGUUUUCACAAGUCAGAUUGUAUGUUGAGGCUAUUUGCCUUUUAGUCGCAGAUUAAAUUAUAACACUUAUCUUAAAAUUUAAUACCAUAGACAGAUAGACGAUUUUUUAAUCCAAAGUUUUUUUUAUUCACUUCAGUUAGCAUUUUUUUUUUUCCCCAAAUCAUGCAAGCCGAGAGUUUCAAUCAAGAAUUGGAGCAUGGGAAUGGAAUUUUUGUGAAAACAUAAUGGAUGAACGAACAUUUCAUCUGUGAUCUCAAAGUCAACAGAAUUUUAUUCACUCAAUGACUUUUCAACUGCUGUGGUUAUUUAUGGGUGAAAGAAAGAUAAGGGCAAUUACAAAAAAUUUGCAAAAUUUGUCAAUUUCUUAGAUGGUAGAUAUAUCGACAUUUUAGAUUUCAGAUAUUUGUCACCAAUUUCAUUCCUUUUUUUUUAUUUUUUCAAGCAAGUUUGACUAAUUUUAACCAGAAUUGGAGUAUAAUAUUUUGGAGCAAGCAUACUUGAAAUUUCUGUCUUCAAUAUUUUGAUGCUUUUUUAAUUUUGGAUCUAGUAAAAAUACAUAGCCUUCACCGGCAGGAUUCUAGUCUUGGCUUUCACCUCUCUAACUCAUCCGGCCCCAUUGGGAUUCCAGAAAUUGAAAUUUCUGUCUUCAAGGGGUUUUCAAAGCCUCGCCUCCCUUCGAUUUUUGUGGAUCGGGAAUUGCACAAAUCUUACAUCAUUUCCCGAGGUCGAGGAAAAGAGCGGCCCAAACUUGCUCGCAUCCCUUGGGUUAUGAUAGAUGGAAAAUUCAUAUACGAUCCAGAGUCAGAGGUGUUGAUUCUCUUAUUAAGGUCAGCUGAUUUCUAUUAUCCACUCUGACAAUCUCCUAUUAGUGUUUUUCCCUUUUUUUUUUUCAAAAUUUUGCAGUUCCGUAUAAUUGAAAAUGCCACUCACUUGUUUCCUAUUAGUAUGUUGAGGCUAUUUGCUUUCUAUCGGUGUUUGUUAAGGUAAUUACUCACAGAUGAAAUUAUAACUUUUAUCUUAAAAUUUAUUGCCAUUGACAGAUGGACGAUUUUUAGUCCAAAGUUUUGUUAUUAACUUCAAUCAAAAUUUUAGAUUGCAGAUUUUUGUCAAUUAUUUCAUUUUUUAUUUUUAUUUUAAAGCAGAAUUGGAGUAUAACAUUUGGAGCGCGCAUACUCUGAUGCAUGCAAUUAACUGUUUUUAAUCGUUGGAUUUUGAAAUUAAUGAUGGUAAGAUGUGUACUUAUUUUUUCUUCCGGACAACCUUGCCUUCUUUCUUCGGUAGCAUAUCUAAUGAAUAUUUCUCUGUUUAGUUAAGGAUGAAUGCUUGGAGUGGUCUGAUUCACAACAACACCUCUUCCAGAAAAUAUGAUACAAGGCAAAGCCAUGUUCUGAAGCAGAAAUGAUACAGCAGUUGCGGUACCCGAGGUACCUUUUGCAUUUAACUUGCCUUUAUUUGUUUUGCUUGUGACUUAAGAACACAUCAUUUCCCAGAGAUUUGGAGAAGCAUCUCAAGAUGCUUAACAAACUUGACAAGCUUCAAGAUGCACUUGCUCCCAAGCAUUGAUUCUUCACAAUGGAAAACCUGUGAGUACACUUAUGCCCGCAAUUAUUGUUAAGUGUUUGCAAUUUUGAUGCAGCGAAAUGGUUUGUGGAUGCAAAGCUUUAAAACUGUUAAGAACUACCCUGCAGGCUUGUUGGAUGUUGUAUACUUCAAAAGCCACCAACACCAAGAACUACAACAGCAAGACUAGGUUUGCGUUGCUUCAAUCAGCUGAAAUAAUGAUGCAAAUGACACUAUCAAGCUGGACUUAGAGACUUGUCAGGUCAAUCAUCCAUUUCAUCAACAGUUAAUGUCAUGAUGGUGGCUAUCAGAGGAAACAAAAGAUCUGUUGGAAUCAAUUCAAACAGUGAGAAGCAUGAGAGGAGCAUUGAUUAUAAAUAGGCUCAAUGAGCUCAUGCUGGUAAGUGGUAAUUAAGAAAUUUGUGAGCUUAGUAUAGUUUCAAUUUUUUUCUGUUUGGGAUAUAGUUGAUAAGUUGAUACUCUGAUUAAGAAGCCUGAUUAUAGUAGCUGACUGUGCUAACUGCGUUCUUUUAUUUUUUAUUUUUUUGGUUUGCCGUCGUUUUUUCUUUUGAUUAUUUGUUCAACAUUAGAUUGAUCUGUUGAAGACUACGAGGAAGAUCCAGACUUGGAUGCAGGCGUGCAGCUCGUAAUAGGUGAGAACAAAUGAAUGCUUUAACCAUGUUUCUCACUUAUGACAAUGCACGGAUCAAAGGCAUCUGAGUUGAUCCUGAAAAUGUGAUGGAAAUAGGUCUCUGUUUUCAUAAAACAGAACAAAUAGAGAUCUCUGAUCACGCCUGAGAAUUCAUUGCAUUGAAAUUUCUACCAUUGGCAAACAUAGAAUAAACUGGGGAUACAUUAGCUUUAGACUCUAUUUUGAGGAGGAAGUUUGUACUUGCAGCCUAUAAAAUCAUAUCCCUGUUGUAUGUUUCUUUGGGAAAUGAAAGAUUCUGUGUGUUCUUUUAUUUCAAGUUUGCUGAAAUCACAUUUGUUUUCUAAGAUGCUUUACAGAAGGUACCAACAUCAUUUUCAAAAAUGCUGGGGUAAGAUACAUCGUGCAGUGCUCCUCAACAUGAGAAUUCCUGGCCGCAUUACCCAUAUGUGGAAUGAUCUGAGAGUACAACCGUGAGAAUGUUGUAAGGAGUACACAACCAGAUGUGAGUAGUUUGAAAAUGAAUUCGCAUGGAAUGAUUUCUUGCCAGUGCAGAAAUGGCUUGGUUCAAAAUAUGCUCAGCUUCAUUGACACUCUUCGGUAGGCCUCUCCGUCCUUCCAUUCUUAACUACAAUACUACUCUUGUCUGUCUAGUUAUGGAAUCUCUCUUUUAAUCCUCAAAGUUUGAAUUAUAUUAUAUUGCCUCUGUGUUACCGCAGAAACUGAGUCAGUUGGUGAUCCUUCAAAACAAGAAAAACCAAAAACAGAUACAGCGCGCGAUAAGAUAAUGAGACAGAUGGCUCCCGUUGCUGCAUGCCACUUGCUUGUGUGCGUAUUGGGACCAUCAUCAACAACAUUGACGUAAACCCAGCUCAAGGUGGGAAGCUAGUUCGAGCUGCAGGGACGUUAACCAAGAUUUUGAGAAAGAACCCACUUCAAGGUGUUGCUUAGUUAGGCUACGUUGUGGAAAUGAGAAAGUGAUUGACCCUAGAUGUCGCGCCACCAUUGGUACAGUGUCUAACCCCAGCCAUGGAGCUAAAAAGCUUAGUAAGGCAGGUCAGAGAAGUUGGUUGGGUCGAAGAGCUGUGGUUAGAGGAGUAGCCAUGAUUCCAGUUGAUCACCCUCAUGUUGAACAAAGCAAAAGUAGCGGUAACAAUGGAAGGUGUUCACUCACACCUUGGGGCAAGCCUUGUAAGUCUGGGAAUUAAACUGCAUCUCCUAAGAAGAAAGAGAAAUCAGCUGUCUGAUAAUAUUGUCCUUUUCUGCUAUUUGGUCUUUUUAACAUUGUUACACUGUUUUUACAUCUUUGAGGUUAGUUUUAGACCAAUUUUUAACUGAUCCAUAAUGAAACUGAAGUUUAAUUUUUGAUUAAACUUUCACUGGUUUUACUCUUCUGUCACUUCAAUUUAGCAUUGAUUUAAGAUACUGAAUUCUGUGCUUGGAGCUUGUAAAUUGGAAAGAGAUAUUUUGGGAUAGAAUGUAGAUUUUGUGUUUUGCUUUCUCAAGCUAGUUGUGACUUCUUAAAAGAGUCAAUCCAUGUCUUUAUAUAUUUUUCUUUUGUCUUGAUUCUGUUUCUUCAUACAGAUUCUUAUUUUAUGCUUCACAUACCACAUGAAAGAUGAAAGCCUUUUCUGUGAUUAGAAUUGACUUGCAUUAUAGUAACUUUAAACCACUUGGAUAUUUUUAUAAUAGCAGUCUGAGAUCUCCUUAAAGGAUUCAAAAGCAUCCACUGGCAUCCACUUUACUCGUAUCGGUCAAAAGUUUUGUGCAAUACAAUAUUAGCUUGACUGUAGCGCAGAGGAGAACAGGUUGGUGUUGGUCUGAAUUCUGAUAUUUGAAUAAAUAUAACAGCUCAUGUGACUCCACCACUUUUUACUUGUUCUGUAGUCUGUACCUACCUCCAUUGUCGGCACUGCCCAUACAAGGUCUUUUAGCUUUUUAAAAAGUUUCAUGAUAUUCCAUAGUUCACAUGGAUUUCUACAGUUUGUAGAAAACCUAAUUAGGGCACAUUUAAUUACUAUGCAGAAGAUUCUUUUAUCUUGCUCACCAAUAAUUCUUUGUACUUAUUUGAAAGAUGUGUUUCAAAAAAAUAAAAAAAAACUAUUUGAAAGAUGAGAAAUCCCUUAGCCGAACGACAAACUCAUCUAUCAGUCCUAUCAAAAAAAAAAAAACUCAUGUUUUAGUGGUUUUUUUUUUUCACUUGUAUUCAGUCGCACAAGUGAAGAUUGUGGGCAAUUUUUUCCUUGAGUAAAAUUGGAAUAGAUGUUUUUAUUGACACAAAUUUUUGAGCUAUGUUUGGGAAACCCUUAGACUUAAGACUUUGUUACGAUGAUAUGUAUCUAAGCUUUCAACAGACCGUUGAGGUCUUAUUAUCAAAAUACUAGAAAUUUACAAUUCAAUUUUGGUAAGGACCAAUUUAAUAAUGCUGUAAUUUUUAAAAUAAUUACCGUUAACUGUGUUGUAAAAAUAAUCAAUUAUGAAGAAAAUUAAUUAAACAUUUAGUAAACUUUAUUUUUACAAGUGCUUUGAAUUUUAAAAAUAGUCAUAUGUGUUCAGAAAAUCUCACUUCUAAAAUAGUAUAAGAAUGGAAAAAACUUAAAAAGACAAAUGUAUAAUAUUUAUUUACACAUGCAUUUAUAAAUAUGUGUAUAUAAUAACAUUUUAUGUGUACAUAUAAUAAUUGAUAACUAAAAUAAAUAUUUUUAUUUAUUAAUUAUUUUUUUGUCUCAAUGUAAUUGGUAAUACUUUUUUUUAAUCUUCUCAUCCUAAGUUUUUUUAUUGUUUUGUACAAAAUUCAAGGUUUGGACUUUUAUAAAAUGUCCACUCAAAAAUAAAUUGUUUUCUAACUAAGAUUUGUUGCUAAUGUAUAACUCAAAGUAAUACUAGCUAUUUGUAAUUUUAUUUCAAAAUUUUUAUUCAAAUGAUAUGGUAACUAAUGUACAUUAGUUGAUAGCAAUUUUUUUUUUUUUACAAUAUUCAAAUCAAUCAAUUGCAUCAUCUCAACAUUUUUAUGAUGUCGUGUUAUUUUAAACGAAUUUUUUAUUUUUAUAUAAAAUUUAUUAUGUUUAACAUCAUUUGCAUAACUUGACCUUUUUUUUUUCCUACAAAUAUUAAGUCAAAUUUACUCACCCUAUAUUUCUAUCUAAAAUCUACCUAAAACUCAUGCAUCACUGUAAAACAAAUCCAAAGAUUGCGGUACGUUUUUCUUGGUAACAAAUCAAUAAUUAGGUCAAGUACUACUACUAAGCGUGCUCAAUUAAUUCUAAAAUACUACGGUGAUCAAAAUCAUACUUGACGCAAGAGGAUAAGGGCUAAACCUCAAUUAGGCAUUAUUCAUCCAAAAUUCGUUGACCCGGCAUUCUUUGCAAGUUGUAGCACGGGACAGCUAAGAUUAGCAAAUGCUGUGGACCAUAUGCCCCCAUACAUUUGUGACAUGUGAAACUUGGCAUUAAAGGAAAGGCAACGUGUUAAAAUUUAAUAGCGCCCAAUUCUUCAUUGAAUGAUUAUCAGAUCCAAUGAGCAUCCUUUGAUUGGAUUAUUUUAAGUCAAUUAUUGGUGGAUUGGGGCCCACUUGACUCUACCAAAUCGGGCUCCACCAUAUCACCUAUUAACGACCACCUGUCCUUAUCAUAAAUAGCAAAUGUCACUUGUUUUAUUUUGUAUUUUACCAAAAGCAAAGUCACUAUGAACCCAAAUGAAAGUGACCCCAAUUUUGGGGGUCAUGAGCUUUGGAUUAUUAUGGACACAAGAGACAAGCGCAAAGUUUCUCAUUUAUCACCGGAUAAGAUUUAAGUUAUCAACCCAACAUUAAUAAAUUCUGCUUAAAGUAAAGUUUGAAGCUUCAUUUUGCGAAUAUUCAAUGGUUAACAUUUAAGUAAUUAACCUGAUAUUAAUCCAAUUAAACUUUUUAUGUAAUCCAAGUCAAAAAUAUGUUGAUAAACCUAAAUUAAUCUAAUUGGACAUAUUAUUUCAACUUGAAAAGGCGAAUCUAUCAUUUUUCAAUUAAUUUUGAAUCAAGCUAUGUAAAAUAUAAGCUUAUUAAAGACAUAUUUUUAUCAUGUUAAAAUAUCGAAAUACUUCUUACUCGUUUCGUAAUAACAUUAACAAACCUUUUGGUAAAUUUGACAGUCCAAUCAAUUCAGUUGGUUUUUUGUUAUUGAAACUCCAACAAAAUUCAUCACGAUUAUUAAAAACCCAUUAAAAAAAAAUGAAGGUAACUAUUUAAAAAAUUCUAAUUGAAUUAUUUAACAACUACAUUUCAACUAAAUUGUGUUGCUAAUUAACUUCCUCAACUUAAACUAUAUUUUUCUCAAUUAAUUCAUAACAAAUAAUGUUAGAUAUUUUAUUCGAAUAAUAACAUUCAACAUCCUUAUUCUUUAUGAUUAUUGCAUAAAAACAUAUUUUAUCCAUUUACAUCACAUAUGUUCCUAAAUUGUAUAAGAAAAUCACCAAAUUUACUCUUGUAAGUUACUAUAUCAAUGAACAUGAAAUUCACUAAUCAUUAAAGUCUCGGAAUGACAUCAUGAGAGGGAUUCAGUUACAUUUAUUGAUAGGAUUAGAUAUAUGUCUUCUCAAAUAUUAGUAGGAGCAAUUUAACAGAUGCAGCUACUAAAAAUAUAGAAUUACUUAUCUCGUCAAUAACUAACGAUAUUUUUUAUCUAUGCUCAAUAAAUUGUAAUAUUUGUAGAUUGUAACAAUUGUUAAAAAAAAAGAGCUCCCUGAGACUAAAUGACAAAAGGACUGUUUUGAAAUAGAUAGAUAAAAUAUGCCCUUAUUUGAGAAAAUGUAAAACACUAGGGAUCUAAAUGUUAUUAUAAUCCCAUGCACAAAAAUACCAAAAAUAACUAAUAACAACUAACCGAAAAUCCCAGGCGUCAUAUUCCUUUUUUCCGCGUUUUAAAAUGCCCUCUGAUUCAUUCACAGUCAGACGCUGUCGGCAUUUCUCUUCUCUCCCUCUCUCUCCACGUAUUAAAACAUGUAAAGUACGGAAAAAUUUAAAAAAAAUUUUAAAAUUACAUAAUUUAAAAGAUAUAAAAUUAUAAAUUUUUAAAAUUAUACGGUUUUAAAAUUUUUUUAAAUUUUUUCGUAUUUUAAAAUUUCAGACUAAAAAAUUAUUAUACGAAUACUUCGUAUAACCGCUUUGCGCUUAAAAUCUGUGCCUAACAAACUCACGAAAUCACUCCUCAUUUUCCUCUCUCCCUCUCCUCCUCUCAUUCCCUUUCAAAUCCUUCCACCACCUUCCCCGCCUCUCUCUCUUUCUCUCUCCCCUCACCGCCACAGCUCAACUUUUCCAUGUAAACCACCACGGGCGCCGUCGUUUCAACCUCCCACUCAUCCGACGUCGUUUUGUGUGAAUAAGAUAACGAUUUAAAUUAAAAUACGAAAAUGGAGAACUUAACGGCGCAGUUGAAGCGAGGGAUAUCGCGGCAGUUCUCGACGGGAUCGCUGCGGCGGAGCCUGACGAGGCAGAUGUCGAGGCAGUCGUCGUUCGAUCCGAGGAGGAAUAACAUGAGGUUUAGCUUCGGGAGGCAGUCGUCGUUGGAUCCGAUACGCAGGAGUCCGGUUCAGGACGAGUUGACGGUGCCGGAGAACCUUGACUCGACGAUGCAGCUGUUGUUUAUGGCAUGCAGAGGUGACGUCAAGGGAGUCGAGGAUUUGCUGAACGAAGGCAGUGAUGUCAACAGCAUUGAUCUUGACGGACGGUUUUGGCGAGAAAUCAAAGAAUUAAGAGACAAUAUUUAGUUAAGCUAAUAGUAUUUGUUCUGUUUAGUACGUCGUUUUACCAACAAGCAUCCCGGCAUUGCACGCAUUAAUAAAUUUUUUUUAUCUGUUUGGACUGAUGGUGGUAAAAAAUUCCACAUACUUUAUAUUAAAAAGGAAAAAGGACAAACACACCCCUAACGUCAACUUGGAGGGGGGUCGAUUCCGAGCUCAAGAAGUGGGAAAGAAGAAAGCUGAAGAUGAUUCAGGCGGUGCUCAAUGGUGGGUAUGACGGCAAAAAUAAGUUGGAGGUUUUCUAUGAAUUUGAACAUCUAAGAACAUUCUUCCCAUUACACAUAAGAGGUGGCUCCAAAACUGGUUACAUAACUCGUAUGGUUCUAACUGAUUUGUUGCCGAAGUUUAAAAGGUUGAGGGUGCUAUCUUUACAAGGAUACCAUAUUGGACCAAUUCCAUUUGAAGAUUUGAGACUUCAAAGUAUAAUUACCCAAAGUGUAUACAAUAAAAGCCAAAUUUAAGAAAUUCCUGAACCUUGCUGACACUGACAUAAGAAGUUUACCAGAGUCAACAUGCUCAAUGUUGAACUUGGAAAUUUUGAUAUUAAGAAAUUGUUUCCGUUUGAUGAUACUCCCACCCAAAAUGAGGAACUUGGUUAAUUUACACCCAGACUCUUUUCUUUUGACAUGGGGUUAACGAUCAAAGUUGGUUUCGUGCGGUAUAUAUUUACAAAUUGAUAGGUAUGCCUGGUGUUGAUGCAGGAUUCCGGUUCUUCUCGUUCUACGACCAGGAUCUCUGCUCGAUCAACUUCGUCACGACCAGGAGGUCUCCUCGCAAGACUUUUUCUCCAGAGAUUCCUGCGCACACAGACAAGUCAGAGUACGCCGGUUGUUUUCCCGGCGCAAACCCUCCGACGCUCAAGUCAGAUAUGAAGGUUCGGGGAACGCUUGCCACCGAUCUUAUGGCUUUUUCGUGGUUUUCUCUUCUUUUUAAUUCCUUUUCUAAUGAGAAAAAUGCCAACCCUUUUACCUCGUCGGCUACCUUUUUAUAGGCUUCCUCUGAAUCCCAGUUUUCCGCUCUUUUCGAGACGGUAUGGGACUCUGACUGCUGUGUUAUGGGCAAACGUGGGAUCUUGCGUGUUACGCCACCGUUCUGGGAAAAGCGCGGCAGUCGUGGUUCUGUGAGAUCUUGCGUGUUACGCCACGGUUCUGGGGAAAGCGUGGCUGUCGUGCUUAGGUUCUCGGGCUGGAGAGCAUGUCUCGUCAACUGCCGUCGACCGGGUCUCCUCGCCUCUCGACCUCUAGCCGGAAUGACCUUAUGCCUCUUACAGGAAAUUGGCCUCGCGGAUGACCUGCUCGUGGACGAGCAGGAUAUUUCUGCUCCUGUUCCCCCGCGUACCAGGCUUUUACGGGACACACCGGUUCGCAGAACUCUGCCAUCAGAUAUCUGCUCACCGUGCCUGGUCUCGUCGACGUAUUUCUCCCAAACACCGGUCCCCCAGUUUCUGGUGUUGGGUAAUGUAGUGGACCAGCAGUAGAAACUCGUUAGUACUCGCCCGCGUGGGAUUGGAAAAGGCUGCCAAGAGUCAUGUCGCAUUUAAUUGCGGACGAGGUGACGUGGCAGAAAUCCCCCCCUCCAUUUGAAUUUCAAACCGACGGUUAUGAGAUCCUCGGGAUUCAGCGCCGUUAAAUGCUGGCAACCCAAGAGUCCGUCCUCAUUAGGAAAACCAAAUCCUCUCGAACGGCAUAUUCGUCAUUCACUCCGUCUCCGUCUCUGUCUCCCCGGCAAAGAGGUUCCGGCAUAAAAGCCCUCCAUCUCUGAUUUUCACCGACUGAACCGUUACUUCAGGUAUUUCUUCUAUCUCCUUGGUCUCGGAUAGUUGUAGAUAAUUUCUCUUCUCUUCUGUUGGGUAGUAGUUGGUGGUGUUGUGGUUAGAGCUUAGGGAAUGUCGAAAGGCAAAGAGAAGGUCAUUGAGGUUGGUGACGACGAGUUGGACUUCCUGCCUAGUCUGCUCACCGAUCCUGCUUUUGACCCCGGGAUCCCCUUAGAGCCCAUUAGGUCUAGUGUCGGGACUAGUGCUAGGAGGAUGUCUCCCCAAACAACCUCUACGAGCGGAAGUAAUGGUGAGGAGAGAUCUUCUGGCUCCGAGGAUACUUUGAGUGAGAAUGGCGAAGGUGACUCUGGUGAGGUGUCUCCAUCUGGAACAUCACGACCAGAAGAACGGGGUAUAGUAGGAGGCAGAGCCUUGUCGCGCGAUUAUGCCAUUGAUUACAUGACGUGCACGACCUCGUUUGACGAGCUCAAUGACCUCCGGCUUAGGUAUAGCAUUCCUGGUGAGAUACCUCUCAAGGUCCCAGGAAAGAAGGAUGCUCCCAGCCGGCCUCCUAGGGGAUAUGUUACCCUGUAUCUGGACAGCUUUAAGUACGGGCUGAGGUGUCCCUUGCAACCUUACUUUGCCCGGAUACUUAACGGGCUAAAUCUAGCUCCUGGUCAGCUGAAUCCCAAUGGGUGGAGAGUGCUCUCUGGUCUGUUCAUAUUGUGGGACAGAUGUUGCCAAAGCGAGCCCACGGUUGAUGAGGUGAAGCACCUGUACCAGCUAAAGAGCAGCCCCAAAGAUGCCGUCUGGUACUACUUCCAAUCUAGCACCAAGAGCAGGAAACCUAUAACCGACCUCCCUACUGGUGGUGGUGGGAAUUGGAAGAGAAAAUUCUUUUUUGCUGGGGGUCCUUGGGGUCAGGUUGCACAAAUGGACGGGAAGGAUUAUCGGGUCCCACCCCGUUUCACGGUCCCAGGUUGCCUGCUCGCUUUAGAUGUCUUGUAUCCACAAUUGUUAUUGCUUUAUUGGCUUGUCUCUAACCAAGUGUCUGUUUGCGUUGUAGUUUCUUGGGGUGUUCACUUCCCGCUCCCACCUGACCAGCUCAAACGGGUCAAGGCUGUGCUCGCCAAUUCCUGCUCGAGUCGAGAACUGCUAACUACAUACAACUUGCUCGAAUCUCGCUUGAUACUUCCUGGCCAUAGGAUGGAGGACGCCGUGAUUGGGGCUCUGACCCGAAAACGUUCUCGACCUCCAACCACGAAGAGGGACCAGGGUAAGGAUGCCCCUGCUGCAAAGCGGGCCAGCAUCGUGCAGCAGGUCCCACCCUUGGAGAUUUUACCUCCUGCUCCUGAAAAAGUCGGGGAAGCUAGUGGAGCAGCCACAGAUCCUGCUUCCUCAUCUGUUCCUGUCGGGCCUCGAUCUCGCUUACCUGACAGCCGAGCAGAACACCUGGUCCCCUACCUCAAUGAGUUGUCUAAACUCGUGAGCAAGAAGGACCUGGAGGACUUCGACGGCUGCACCUUGGGUGAGCUGGUGGGGGCCAUGCAGCAUAGCGCUUUCCACCUCAGCUGCAUGACCACCUAUUACAAGGCUAAGGUUGGUCGAUACGAUCGGAAAAUGAAGGGGGAUAUUCAAUCGGCGACGACCAGAGCUGACAUUGCCGAGAAGAAAGCAGGGGAGCUGAACCUCGAGAAUCUGAAGCUGAUAGAGCAAGAAUCACUUGCUCAAGCAAAGACCAUUACCCUCGAGGAGGAGCUUACCAAGGUCAAGGAGGAUCUGCAAAGGCAGAAGGCUAUGUAUGAGGCCCAGCUCGAAUCUCUCCGGGACUCCAACCGAGCUCAGGUCGAGAACUUGGAGAGGGAGGCAGAGAAUCAGUACGACCAGGGACUUCGGCAUUCCUAUCGUUGCAUCAUGGCCGUCCUCGGGAAGCAACACCCUGAUCUGAAGAUGGAUGACCUUGCGGCUGGUGUUGCCCAACAUAUGGACGAGGAGGCGGCCAAGGAAGAUGCUGAAGGGGUAGAGCCGAUCGUGAUCGAGGAGGAAAGCUCUCCUCCUCGUGCAGUCCCUGCUGAUGUUGGCGAGGCGAGCACCCCUCCGGACGCAACUGGCGAUACCCCUCCCGCACCUGAGGAGGUCCAGUCAACCGAUGCUGCUCGGCUCACUGAUCUACCAUCUUUUUGAUAUAUUUCUUUUUGUAUUGUAAUAAACAACGUUUAUGAAAUUUAUCCCCUCUGUUAGCCAUUAACACAUUAAUAAAGAUGUUUUUUGAUUACUUUCUCGUCUUGUAAUCAUCACUUAUUUUCCGUUUGGGAAUCUGCUCGUCUCGUCUGGUCGAGCAGGUUCUGGUUUGGCAUAUGGUUUUGCAACAUGCCUUAGAAAAAUUUCUUUUUUUUUUUUUUUUUUUUUUUUUUUUUUUUUUUUUGCUUGGGGAUUCUGCUUGCCUUCGCGUGGUCGAGCAGGUCCUGGCAUGCUUGGCUUCAGUCUCGCCAUAAAAAGGCUUUGAGACUUGGUGAGGCCUUUGCAUGCCUUAGAAAACUUUUUCGAUGCUUGGGGAUUCUGCUCGACUUCGCUCGGUCGAGCAGACCCUAGCAUGCUUGGCUUCCGUCUCGCCAUAAAAAGGCUUUGAGACUUAGUGAGCCUUUGCAUGCCUUAGGUGGCUUCUUCAAAGCUUGGGAUUCUGCUGCCUUCUCGUGGCCGAGCAGAUCCGGGCAUGCUUGGCUUCUGUCUCGCCAUAAGACAGGCUUUGAGACUCGACGAGCCUUUGCAUGCCUUAGAUGGCUUCUUCGAAGCUUGGGAUUCUGCUGCCUUCUCGUGGCCGAGCAGAUCCGGGCAUGCUUGGCUUCUGUCUCGCCAUAAGACAGGCUUUGAGACUUGACGAGCCUUUGCAUGCCUUAGAAAUUUUCUUGGUUUCAAGCGAAAGGAAUUCCUCGACGUUCCAUUAAUGGCAGGAUUCGGCUUACAUGAACUUGUUUGGACAUAAAGCGUGAAAGAUAAACGAUAAUGAUCAUGAGCAAAAAUAGCUUUCAGAUGUGAACAAAUCUUACUGGAAGUAUUUUCGGAGGUGUGCUGCGUUCCAUGGGCGUUUCAGCUCGUGGCCGUCCGUGCGAACCAGCUUGUAAGCUCCGGGUCCCGCUAUCUGCUUGACUCUAUAUGGCCCUUCCCAAUUCGGUCCCAGCACUCCUUGAGUCGAAUCUUUGGUGCUCUGAUUCACUCUUCUCAGUACCCAGUCUCCGACCUUGAAUUGCCGUAUGUUCACCUUCUGGUUAUAAUACCGAGCAACCCUCUGUUGGUAAAGGGCUGAUCGCUCGGCUGCUUGCUCCCUCCUUUCCGUUAGCAGAUCAAGAUUCAAACAUAUCUGCUCGUCGUUCUCCUGCUCGUUGAAAUGACCUGUCCGGUGUGUGGUCGUUCCUAUCUCAGCCGGCACGACCGCUUCAUGUCCGAAAGCCAAAGCGAACGGUGUCUCCCCAGUUGCGGUUUUGUGGGUUGUUCUGUAUGCCCAUAGCACACCUGACAGCUCGUCAACCCACGCACCCUUUUUUGCUCCAAGCCUGGUUUUCAAAAGCCUCUUGAUGGUCUUGUUGGCUGCUUCUACUUGUCCAUUCGAUUGAGGGUGAGCAGGCGAGCAAUACUUCAGCUCUAUCCCGAGGUUCUGGCAGAAAUCCCUGAAGCUGUGAUUAUCGAACUGCCUGCCAUUAUCCGUUACCAAGGCAUAAGGGAUCCCGUAUCGACAGACCAGGUUUCUCCACACGAAGUCUGUUGUUUUCUUCUUUGUGAUCCUGCUAAGGGCUUCUACCUCUAUCCACUUCGUGAAGUAAUCUAUAGCAACUAUUGCAUGUGUUGCUGCUCCUUGUGCCUUUGGCAAUGGGCCGAUCAGAUCAAUUCCCCAUUGAGCAAAUGGCCAAGGGGAGGCCAUGGAGGUGAGCUUCUCUGGGGGUUGGUUAGAGAAAUUUGCAAAACUCUGGCAGCUUACACAACUCCUGGUCUUCUCUUGCGCAUCCUGGUGCAUUGUCGGCCAGAAAUAUCCCUGCCUAAGAACCUUGUGGGCCAGGGACCUCCCGCCAGAAUGAUUUCCGCAAAUUCCUUCAUGUACUUCUCUCAGUACGUAAUCCGCGUCGUCCUCAUCCAAACACCGAAGGAACGGUAGUGUAUAUCCUCGCCGAUACAGCGCCCCAUCAAUCAUCGUGUAUCUCGAGGCCUGGGCUCUAAUCUUGCGAGCUCGCAGCUUAUCUGGUGGUAAUACUCCGUCUCUAAGGUAUGAAACUAUCGGGUCCCUCCACGAGCAUUUUUGUUCUAUCCGCAACACCCCCGAAUUCUGAUCGAUACUUGGGCUGGACUUCACCUCCAGAGGGACCGACUUUGGCAUUUUUGGGUCGGCUACUGCUGCCAUCCUCGCCAAAAUGUCUGCUCGACUAUUCUGCUCCCUGGGGAUCUGUACCACCUCCACUGCUUCGAACUUCCCCAUCAUCUGCCUGACUAUCUUCAGGUACUGCUCCAUCUUCUCCUCUCUUGGUUGGAAUCUUUCACUGACGUGAUUCGCAACCAGCUGGGAAUCAGUUCUGAUCUUAACUCUGUCUUCUUUCACGGCCUUAGCCAAUUCCAGACCUGCUAUCAAGGCUUCAUACUCUGCCUGGUUAUUUGUGGCUGCAAAUUCCAACUUUACAGCAUAAGAGAUCUCCUCCCCCUCAAGGCCUUCCAGGACAAUCCCUGCUCCUGAACCCCGCUCCCCUGAUGACCCGUCCACAGACAUCUGCCAUACUUGAUUUUCGUCAUUGCCUAUAACUGCAUCCUGUUGAUCUGAGCAUACUUCGGGCUCUGUGAAUUCAGCUACGAAAUCGGCCAUUGCCUGGGCUUUUAUCGCUGCGCGGGGUUUAUAGUCUAUGUCGAACUCGCUCAGCUCUACAGCCCACUUGACGAGCCGACCAGAGGCAUCUGGCUUGUGCAGAGUUUGACGCAAUGGCUGGUUUGUUAUUACCGAGACCGGGAAUGCUUGAAAAUAUGGCCUCAACUUCCGAGCAGCAACCACAAGGGCAAGUGCCCAUUUCUCCAACAGUGGGUAUCUAGUCUCAGCGUCGAGUAGGGCCUUGCUGGUGUAGUAUAUCGGAUACUGAACUCCUUCUUCCUCUCUCACCAGAACAGAACUGGCGGCCCGAUCCGACACCGCCAAAUACAGAUACAACUUGUCCCCAUCCCUUGGUGUGGACAGCAGCGGAGCUUGCUGCAAGUAUUGCUUCAAGUUCUGGAAGGCUUCCUCGCACUCUGGGGUCCAUUCUGUUUUCUUUCCCCUCCUUAUCACUUGAAAGAAUGGCUGACACUUAUCUGUAGCCUUGGAGAUGAAUCUGCUCAACGCCGCCAACCUCCCUGUGAGGCUCUGCAUCUCCUUCAGGUUACGAGGAGACGUCAUUUGCACAAUCGCCUGGAUUUUCUCGGGAUUUGCUUCAAUCCCCCUAUGGCUCACCAUGAAUCCAAGGAAUUUCCCUGACUCGACCCCAAAAGCACACUUUUCCGGGUUGAGCUUCAUCUUAUACUUCCUCAAAAGCUCGAAUGUCUCCUCGAGGUGUCUGACAUGUUCCUUCGGGAUUUUGGACUUGGUGAUCAUGUCAUCCACGUACACCUCCAUGGUUUUCCCAAUCAACGGCUUAAAGACUUUGUUCACCAGCCUUUGAUAGGUGGCCCCAGCAUUUUUGAGACCGAACGGCAUUACCCUGUAACAGAACAAACCUUGGUUAGUGACGAAAGCCGUGCUCUCCUCAUCCUGCUCGUACAUGGGGAUCUGGUUGUAUCCCGAGAACGCGUCCAUGAAGCUGAGCAGACCAUGUCCAGCCGUUGAAUCUACUAGCUGAUCGAUCUUUGGUAGAGGGAAGCUGUCUUUUGGGCACGCCUUAUUGAGGUCUGUGAAAUCCACACACAUCCUCCACUUGCCGUUUGCCUUCUUUACCAACACCACAUUCGAUAUCCACUCAGGGUAACUGACUUCCCGAAUGAACCCUGCUCUCAAGAACUUCUCCACCUCGCUAUUUAUUGCCUCAUACAUCUCCUGGUUGAAGCACCUCCUCUUCUGCCUUACUGCCCGAGCACCUUUCUUUAUUGCCAGCUUAUGACAUGCUACCUCAGGGUCAAUCCCUGGCAUGUCUUCAUGUGUCCAAGCAAACACAUCAGAAUGAGCCUGUAAGCAUUUCACCAACUCCUGCUUUUGCUCUCCCUCAAGCCUCGACCCGAUUCUGAUCAUCUUUCCCGGAUUCUCUGGUCCCAGGCUUACUGUUUCCAGAUCUUCUACAGGUUCUUGUCUGCCCUUCUUGUUUUCCACUCGGGUAUCGAGGGAUGUUAUCUGCAUUGCUUCCCUUGCUGCCGAGGAGUAGCAGCUUCUUGCGAUCCUCUGGUCUCCUCGUACCACUCCUACUACCCCAUUCACCCGGUACUUCAGAGCGAGAUAGUGGUUGGACAACACCGCUUUGCUCAUCCUUAAAAAUGGCCGACCUAGGAUCAUCUGGUAAGGACCUUCCUCGUCCACUACGACAAAGUCCAGUAUCAUUGUUCUUUCUGUCAGGGAGCUCCCAAUUGUGAUAGGCAGCUCGACCACGCCCAGAGGGACCAGCUUCCCUCCUCCGAACCCCUUCAAGGAGGUAUUGGUGUAUUCCAACUUUCGGUCGGCUAUUCCCAUCUCUUCCAGGGUUGACUUAAAUAACACAUCAACUGAGCUCCCUGUAUCAAUCAGUAUCCGGUCAAACUUCUUGCUAGCGACAGUAGCCUUGAUGACUAAAGCAUCAUCGUGGGGGUAUAGAAUCCCUUCCUCAUCCUCAUCCGUCCACAUGAUUGGCACUUGCCUGACCCUUGCUCGUUUGGCUGCUGGGGUGUUGAAGAGUACCUCUUUACUGGUCAUGGCGUACCUAGCAUAAUUUUUUCUCGAUCUGUUGGAAUCUCCGGCCAAUGUUGGGCCCCCAGCUAUCACCCUUACUGCGGGCUGCUCGCGCCUCAAGUUUCUACCACUCUGCUCCCCUUCACCUGUUGUGGCCACCAUCGGGAAAGUCCCAUCCAUAAACUCGUCCAGGUACCGAUUUCUCACCAAAUCUUCGACCUGGAUCUUGAGAUCUCUACACUCUGCCGUGGUAUGGCCAUGGGUGCCAUGGAACUUACAAUAACGUCUUCUAUCCCUCCUGUUGGGUAGCUUUGUUAUUGGUGUAGGGAGGUGCAGCAGACCUCGAUCCUUUAUGGCCUCGUACACCUCAUCCAGGGACAUCUUCAAGGAAGUGUACCGCCCAUAGUCCGGGUCCUGGUCGAUCAGGUGCACUGCUCUUUCUCUGUUUGCCCCGCUUUGAGUUGGGGGCGGUGGAAGUAAUUCUGGUCUGCUCGCUCUGCUACCAUGUUGGUGAAGACCACCAGAUGCCGACUCAUGCCUUCUCCAAGGCUCCCUAGCUGGGGAACGAGGAGGUUGCGCCCCGCUGCGCUGAUACUGUGGUGGCCUCUGAUGAGGCUGGUAAGCAGUUACCCGACCUCCUGCUCUACUACCGGAGGCCUGGUGGUCUCUCCUCCUGAUCGGCCCAUUCCCCGGUAAUGCUUUCUUCUCUUUCCUCCCCAACCCUUCCAACUGGUCUGUCUUAAUCCGUGCAGCCUUCUCCUCUUCAAUCUCGAUGUCUCUCUUAGCCUGUUCGUAUGCGGCUGCAUACGUUUGAAUAGCUGGGCUUCUCAAAUUGUACCACAACCUUCCUAUCUUCACCCCUUCUUUCAAUCCCCUUAACGCCUGAGGGUGGUUGAAGGCUCCCAAGUCGAGGACAGCCCGAUGAAACCUCUUGAUGAAUUCCCGAAGGGUUUCUUGCUCCCCCUGUUUCAUGCUUUUCAGCUCCAUCAUGUCGUCUUCCGGUGCCAUUGCCCCACUAAACUGCUCCGCGAAUUCCUGGCACAUCUGCUCGAAGGUUUUAAUGCUGCCCCGAGGAAGUUUCCUGUACCAUUCUCGUGCACGUCCCUCAAGGGAUAGUGGGAACACCCUGCACCUUUGGGAUUGAGAUAAUCCUUGUACCCCAGUUAUGUCGUUGAAGCGCUCUAUAUGCACCAGCGGAUCAGUUCUUCCCGAGUAUCUGAGGUCUGGGAGGCGGAAAUCUCUCGGAAUAACUGCCCUCAUGAUUUCUGUUGCGAGCGGCGAUUCUCCGUCCAGCAUUAUCCUCCAACCAGGGGCUCUGUUCCUUCCUUGCAUGUCGUCAAUUAUCUGCGCUAGUCUGCGCACUUCCCCCUCCAGCUGCAACGCACGACCAGGGUCACGUGCUGCAACUUGAUCCCACUCUUGCUCUACAUCAUGCAAGUGUUGCCUCAACUCUGUUUCCUCUGCAUUCACCACCCCGUCGCCCUCGUCACCAGUCUGUCUUGCUGGGGACUGCUCUCUUUCUCUAUGAAAUUCUCCCUGCAGAGGUACGUUACCUCUCUCACCACCAAAUCUCCCGGGGGUUUGACUUCUCCCCGCACUAUCGGGACCUGGUGCCACUCCACCGCCUCUCACCCUUCCCUCUUGGGUUACCCUUCGCUCGCUCCGCAGCUCAUGCAGGAUGGUUGUCAAGGUCUCCAUCUGCUUUUCCAUCCGUUCCAUCUGGUCGAACAUGACUUUUUCCCGUGCUUCGCUGACUAUCUCCCUCAGCGUCACGGAAUCGUUAAGCCUCCUAUCACCCCCUUGUGCACUACUUCUUCCUGUCUCCAUUGCUUUUCACUUGCUUCACCCCUCUUCUUGCUAUCAACAGAAGCUUUUUGCUCUGGUCCCCACAGACGGCGCCAAAAUGUUGAUGCAGGAUUCCGGUUCUUCUCGUUCUACGACCAGGAUCUCUGCUCGAUCAACUUCGUCACGACCAGGAGGUCUCCUCGCAAGACUUUUUCUCUAGAGAUUCCUGCGCACACAGACAAGUCAGAGUACGCCGGUUGUUUUCCCGGCGCAAACCCUCCGACGCUCAAGUCAGAUAUGAAGGUUCGGGGAACGCUUGCCACCGAUCUUAUGGCUUUUUCGUGGUUUUCUCUUCUUUUUAAUUCCUUUUCUAAUGAGAAAAAUGCCAACCCUUUUACCUCGUCGGCUACCUUUUUAUAGGCUUCCUCUGAAUCCCAGUUUUCCGCUCUUUUCGAGACGGUAUGGGACUCUGACUGCUGCGUUAUGGGCAAACGUGGGAUCUUGCGUGUUACGCCACCGUUCUGGGAAAAGCGCGGCAGUCGUGGUUCUGUGAGAUCUUGCGUGUUACGCCACGGUUCUGGGGAAAGCGUGGCUGUCGUGCCUAGGUUCUCGGGCUGGAGAGCAUGUCUCGUCAACUGCCGUCGACCGGGUCUCCUCGCCUCUCGACCUCUAGCCGGAAUGACCUUAUGCCUCUUACAGGAAAUUGGCCUCGCGGAUGACCUGCUCGUGGACGAGCAGGAUAUUUCUGCUCCUGUUCCCCCGCGUACCAGGCUUUUACGGGACACACCGGUUCGCAGAACUCUGCCAUCAGAUAUCUGCUCACCGUGCCUGGUCUCGUCGACGUAUUUCUCCCAAACACCUGGUAUGACUGCUUAUGCUGGAUUUUAUGAGGUGUGCUCUCCUAAGCAAGGAGAGUGGGUCUUAAUAUGGGCAAGGGUGCAGUUGGUCAGCUUAUGGGGCAGUUUGCAAAGUUACUGGGCUGCUAUGUUGUCGGAAGUGCUGGAAGCAAAGACCAGGUAUACAAACAAACAAUCCGUAUCAGUUGCUUGAUUGUUCCCAUUUUGCUUUCAAAAUAUCUAACUUACAUAAGGAAAAUUUUCACCAUCUCGUCUUUUCUUUGAUUUUGAACGCUAAGAUUGAUCUACUGAAGAAUAGGUUUGGGUUCGAUGAGGCGUUCAACUAUAAAGAAGAUCCUGAUUUGAAUGCAGCCUUGAUAAGGUUAGUAUAUCAGCAAACUACAAAUUAGAAGACAUUUUUUCCUGAAAAUCAAAUAAUGUUUCUAAUUUGACAGGUGGUUUCCUGAAGGCAUUGACAUAUACUUUGAAAACGUUGGUGGGAAAAUGCUCGAUGCGGUGCUGAUCAACAUGAAAAUCGGUGGUCGAAUUGCUGUGUGUGGGAUGAUCUCGCAGUACAACCUUGACGAACCCAAAGGCGUACACAACUUGACGCGUCUUAUUUCGAAACGGGUUCGGAUGGAAGGAUUCCUCGUAUCGGAUUACAAUAAACUCUAUCCGAAAUUUCUGGAAAUGAUCAUUCCUCACAUCAAGGGGGGAAAGAUUGUAUACAUUGAAGACACGGCUGAAGGUCUUGAGAGUGCUCGGGCAGCUCUCGUCGGUCUGUUCUCUGGCCGGAAUCUCGGGAAACAGGUGGUUGCAGUUGCUUCUGAAUGAAUGAAGGAUUUGGUUGUUUACAUCAUGCUUCUACUCGUCCAUUUAUUUAAUAAAAUGGUUACGCUCAAUGAGUGUAAUUUUUAUGAUGCUAAAUUAAAUGUGGAAUGUGGCUGCUGGUUUGAUAAUGUUAAAAGUGCUAAAAAAUUUCAUGUUAGGCGCGGUGUGCGUCUGUAUAUCAUUUUUAGGUACGGGCAUUCUAUCUUUUUUUUUUAAUUAAUACAGACACAUUCUUAAACUGUAUGGUUUAAGAGAGAGUUAAAAAAAACUUUUACCACAUGGUUUAAAAGCGUAUCCGUAUGGAAAAAAAAUGAAAGUCCAUUGGAGAAGAAUUUUAUAUAUAGUCCAGGAUAUUAAAGUGCGGGAAAACUAUAGAGUUUUAAAAACUUAAAAUUUAAAACGUUUAAACUGCACGAUUUAUGUGUUUUUCGAUGUGAUCCCACAUUUUAAAAUUGUGGAUUGGAACAUUUGUCUUUGAGGGAAAAAAAACAAUAACAACAACUUCUUUUGGAGACCGUGGGGCUCAUAUGCAGAUUCAACCCCGAGCUAUACACUGGAUCUGGUGGGCUAGGUUUGAACCCAAAACAAGCUCUAUUCAUUACACGGUUCAGCGGGUUGGUCCAUUUGACGCUUCUAACUUAACAAUUUAAUCAUAAUAAAUUGAAAAAAUAAAAUAAAACCCACGUAUCUAAAUUAUUGUAUUGAGCUAUUGGUGCAGAGAAUAAGUAUAUAUGAGAACAAAAACAACACGAUGUAGUCGCUCGUUUUGUCACUUCUAAAAUCAGGAUUUAGAGCAUCACCAAAAGGCUCUUCAAAUAAGAUUUUAUUACUCAUUUGAAGAGCCACAUCAAUAUUUAAAGCUCCAAAAGACACUCUAAUUAAGAUUCUUCAAAUAAGAAUUGAUUCUCUCUCUUCAAAUUUGGAGAGUUAAUUUCUCCCUCUUCAAUUUAUAUUUUAUUACUUUUCAUUAAAAAAAGAGAGAGAAGUGCUUUAAUUGCUAUUGACUUUUCCUUUUAAAAACUAAUUAUAUGAUUAAAAUAAUAUUAACUUAUUUCUAUUUGAAGAGUCUUUUGGAAAAUAUCAUAUUUUUUCACCCUUCUAUUUGCCACAUAGGUAAGCAAAUAGAUAUUUGAAGAGUAAAAUUUAUAGAGGCUUUUGGAGAUGCUCUUAUGAUAGAGUCAUAGUGUUAACAGUACAUCGGUGUAUAAUUAUUUGUAAUGAAAUUAAUUAAUAUGGGUUUUAUGUUGUCUUUGUCAAUAAUCAAUUAAAUUUUUCGUUUUCAUUUAAAUGUUACUGAUCGAUGAAACAUUUGACUGCGUUCAAGUUAUCUUUUAAUUUUGUGAGAUCCACAUUGUUUUUAUUUCAAAAACAUAAUUUUUCAUAUUAUUAAAAAGCUGUUGCUUGGGCCUAGAGAAAUUGGAUUAAUGAAAUACCUUAAGGGUGUGUUUGACACAUUAUAUUGUAUUAUGUUGCAUUGCAUUAUUUUAUUUGGUGUUGCACUAUACUUUACUAAUUUUUUUGCAAUUAAUUUAAAUUACAUAGUUAGCAAAUAAUAUUUAUUAGUGCUUAGAAAAAUACUAAAUAUAGAAGUCUUAAAUUUUAGAAAUUUAACAAUUUUUUUACUAUAAAUGUUAAAAAAUAUAAUAAUUCUUCAUAAAGAUGGAAGCUUACAGCCUUAAGUUUUUGGAAGCAGAGCAUUUAUUUUUUAGUAUCUUCUAAAUAUAUAAUUUUUGAAAUAAAGAUAUAAGCACAUAAUUUAAUCACAUAGUCUUUAAAUAAUAUAACAACAUAAAUAAAUAGUUAAAAUGUGCAAGAUUAGUUCAAAACUCAUCUUAGGAUGAUAUAAUAAAAGUUUAUACACACCACAAGAUAAUCACAAAAUAAUAAAGUGAUAAAAUUAUUAUAACAUAUUCACUACCAAAAUAAAUUAUAUUAAAUAAUCCAAGUGAGAGUUCUGUAGUUUAUAUAAUAAUAUUAUUUAUGUUAUUAUUAUUAAUUUUAAAUUAAUAUUAUCCAAAUUUAUUCAUACUUAAAUAUGUAUUAUUAGUUAUAUUACAUUAUUUUUACAUAUUAAUUAUUGUAAUAUAAUUAAAUAAUGUAAAAUUAUAUUAUAUUUUUAUAUACUAUUUAAGUAUUUAUUAUUAAUUAUAUUCAAUUAUAAAUUUAUUAAUAAAUUAUAGUGCAAAAAAAAAUAGAAAUAAAAAUUAAUAUUGUAUAAUAAAUAACAUUCUGCUCCCAAUUUCUGGAUUUUAAAUUCCAAAAAUAGUAUUCACGUUCGCCACAUUCAAAAAUCCAACCUGGGCUUGGAGAUUCGAUUCAUCUCAUAGAUUAAUUUUAUAAACUAAUGUUUAGUGAAAAAUUAACCUUAAUGGGUCCUCCUCUCCAGGCCUAAUUCUUAAUUUUUUUUUUAAUUUGGUCCUACUUAAGUGGCUUCUAACGUUACCGUGUCUUUAUUUUGUGUACAGUUGUUUUACUAAUUUGUCAUUUAGUGCAAAUAACAGCACUCAACUUGUAAUAUCCAGUAUCCACAAAUCAGCCACUUCGGCCAAGGCCGAAGUGGUGGGCUGCUGCCCUCACAAUGCUUGUGAGGGCAGCGGUUCUAGCCCCCACAAAAGCAUUGUGGGGGUUAAAUGUUCUUUAUAUUUCCAAAAAAAUCCUUCUCUCUUGCAAAAUGUAAGUGGAGUAUGGACAUCCCUCUCCUGUGAGGGGUUAUUUGUCUGGGCAUGUACUUCAUAGAAUUCAUUGUAAUAAUGUAAGUCCCAAUCAUGUAUAUCUGAUUGUAAAUAUCAGUGUAAUAUCUCUGCUACAAUAAGCAGUUGUUGUAAAUAUCUGUCUGAUGAUUAAUCAGUAUUCAAAAAAAAAAAAGUAUCCACAAAUCAUGAACUCAUUUUUUAGUUCUUUCAUGUGUACUAACAUUCGUACAAAUAUACAAUAAGUUCAUAAUUUAGUCCAAGUUGACGAGAAAUUCUUGACCCACCCCUAAAUAUCUGUCCGCCAAUAGCGUGAAGUGGCCGGCAUAAAUUUAAAGCAGCUGGGACAUUGUAACUCAUCCAAAGAUUGUAUAACAUCUCUUUUUUGCUUUAUCGUUUUUCUCCAGUUGCAUAGUUUCUUAUCCUACCGCUUUAAAAACAAUUAUUCCUAGAAAUUUUCAUUUAUCUAAUGAAUUUUAAGAAUUUUUUCAGCAAACAAUUUUUACUUUUUUUUUUUUUUAUCAUUGAUGGGUAAAGAAAAUAUUAAUGAAAAAUGAGGAGUUAUUGGCUGGUUCAACGGAUUAAUUGCAAUGAUAAAUACAGGGAGGAUUGGAUUAUAUGGCAAAUUUUUAUAGUAAAUGUAAUAUAUAUGCUAACACUUUUUAUUUAUGGCAAAAUAUCUUCCUCUUUUGAGACUUUUCCCUCUAAGAAAAUUGGAGGAUACGACAAUAUAUAUAUAUAUAUAUAUACUAAUAUUUAUCAUUUAUAGAAAAGUAUCUAUCCCACUUAAGAUUUGCCCCACUAGAAAAGGAAAAAAAAAUCCCUCAAAAUAAAAGAGCGAAAUGGAAACAGAACAAAAUUUGAUUUUGUGGAUCUUGUAUUGUGUGAUAAGUCCGGCAUGCAAUUUUGGGCCAGCUUACCGUGCGCAUGGGAGCAUUCACAAAGUAUCUCUCGUCACUAUCGAAAACUUUUAACAGUCAAUACAAAUGCUUCCGUUUCAUCCCAUAAACAAAUAAAAUUCACAUCUGUACACAUCUACUUUGCUUUGCUAGAUAGAGUUCCUCUGCAUUUCCCAAUUGCCUAAAGAGAAGGGGAAAAGAAAAAGAGGGCCAAAAAAUGCCUGAAAUGGUAAGGAACAAGCAAGUGAUAUUGAAGGACUAUGUGUCUGGUUUCCCAAAAGAAACAGACAUGUACAUGACCGAAAGUUCCAUAGAAUUGAAGGUGCCAAAAGGUUCAAAUGGGGUUCUUUUAAAGAACUUGUACUUGUCCUGUGAUCCGUACAUGCGACCAAGAAUGACCUACAUCGAAGGAUCUUAUGUUGAAUCCUUUAAACCUGGCUUGGUUAGUGCACUCGCUCAUGGCCACGCUUUUCAUUUCCAUGGCUUCUUGCUCUUUUGUUAUAGAAAAUUUAUUUUUGGUUGCAGUUUGGUUCGACUGCUAAAAUCUCGUGCGAUAAUUGUAUAAGAUAUCUAGAGUUUGAACUUCUUUCACAUUAGGGUUCAAGGAAGUUAACUUAAAUGAUUUUCAAAAUUUUAAAUGUGUACCAAUGAAUUUAAUUUCAUAGCUUAAACUUAUUGUUUGAUCAUACUCUAACUUUGGACAGGAAAAUUAUAUUUUUCCUUUUGUUCUUUGACUUCGUGUAUGUUGUGUGAAGUACUUGUGCUUGAAAAUGAAUUGCUGACACAGAAAUUUCUAUGAAUGCAUGCAGCCCAUAAGUGGAUAUGGGGUGGCUAAAGUUUUGGAUUCAGAGAAUCCAGAGUUCAACAAAGGUGACUUGGUUUGGGGAAUGACUGGAUGGGAAGAGUAUAGUCUCAUUACGGCUCCACACUUGUUUAAAAUUCAGCACACAGAUGUGCCUCUUUCUUACUAUACUGGAAUCCUCGGUAAACUUUUUGUUUGCGCAAUUUAUGUGAGCAAAUUGUGUCUUCUUUUUCAUAUGUAAAUGUUUUUGAUAUCUUGAUGUGAAGGUAGAAAAUUGCAUGUUUUGAGUUUUUGCAUAUUUGAUGGAAACACAGAACCGUACCUGAAUAUUUCAGAACCCCCUUUUCUUUGAAGUUUGAACACUUUUCUUGAAUGUAUCAACUUUAUUUAUGGGAUAUGUUGCCAAAUUGGCAAAUCUAUUCGUUAUAAAACUUUCCUUUGACAGUUUAAUCUAAGCAGAUGUUAAUUCUGCAAAUAGAGUGUGCCUUAGUUUAGAUUGAUAGAUUUGUCUCCUUCUGUACAGUAAAAACUUUGAGCAUUUUCGCCAUAUUCUGAUCAAUACACUCCAACUAGUUAGUUCUUGAGGCGUUUCCUGGUUUCGUGGAGUGAGCCAAGAUGUAUACGUUUGCAAAUUGGCAAUGUCUUUUGCUUGAUGUGUUGUGAGUUGUGAGUGUCAAUAGGAAAGUUUCAAAGUGCGCAGUGCUCACUUGAGCACCCAUAUUACUUGGUGACCUGUUGCCUCAGCAAACAAGACCUCUGUUUUAUGAACUCCAAAAAGUUAUUCUGUUAAAAAGAUCGAGACAGAGGCCAUACUAUAUUUAUUAUUGCUAUAAAAGUGUCAAACAAUAUUCUUUAUUUAAUAUUCUAAACGAUUGAGCCAUUUAGUUAUGAUACUCUGCUGUACUGGGGCUAAUAAUCUAAGUCGGUUCAAAGUGGUAAAUUUAUAAAUUGAUAGGUAUGCCUGGUAUGACCGCUUACGUUGGAUUUUAUGAGGUCUGCUCUCCUAAGCAUGGAGAGUGCGUCUUCAUAUCAGCAGCAUCUGGUGCAGUUGGUCAGCUUGUGGGGCAGUUUGCAAAGUUAUUGGGUUGCUAUGUCGUCGGAAGUGCUGGAAGCAAAGACAAGGUAUGUAAUCUGUGUGAACUACUUGAUUGUUUCCAUGUUACUUUCAAACAUUUAAAUUAAAAAGGAAAUUUUCAUAAUCUUGCCUUUUCUAUGAUUUUCAACACCAAGGUUGAUCUACUGAAGAACAAGUUUGGGUUCGACGAGGCAUUUAACUAUAAAGAAGAAGCUGAUUUGAAUGCAGCAUUGAAAAGGUUAGCAUCAAUAAAUGCCUUAGCUUGAUGCAGCUUGAUGAAGUAUGAUACACAUUUCUGACCAAUAUACUGCGUUCCCUGAUCUCUUACUUGAAAUAUCUUGGUUUGAGAAUCUCAUGCCAAUGCCUUUAACAUUUUGGCAGGUACUUUCCUGAAGGAAUUGAUAUAUAUUUUGAAAACGUUGGUGGAAAAUUGCUUGACGCAGUGCUACCCAACAUGAAAAUCCGUGGUCGAAUUGCUGCAUGCGGUAUGAUCUCACAGUACAAUCUUGACAAGCCUGAAGGUGUGCACAACUUGAUGUAUCUUGUUUCGAAACGGCUUCGAAUGGAAGGAUUCAUUGUUCUGGAUCACUAUCACCUCUAUCCAAAGUUUCUGGAAAUGAUCAUUCCUCACAUCAAAGAAGGGAAGCUUGUAUACGUCGAAGACAUGGCUGAAGGUCUGGAGAGUGCUCCGGCAGCUCUCAUCGGUCUAUUCUCUGGCCAGAAUGUUGGGAAACAGGUGGUUGCUGUUGCUCCUGAAUGAAGAACAAGUUAGUGUUGUGUGUUCUUUUACCCUUUGACACAAAACUUCAAUGUUAAAGAGAGAAUGCUGCUCAUACUGCUUUAUAAAAUAAUCAAAUGAGUGCAAGUUUCAUGAUAUGUGCUGAAUAAAAAUAUUGGAAAUUAAGCAGCUAGCCUAGCUCCUUCUUGUAGUUGCAGUUUGAAUGAUGCUGCUGCACAACUGCUGCCGAAAAAAUCCUUAAUAGAUGAUUAGCAAGGUUUCAAAAAUAAAAAUAAAUGUUUGUGCAAUGUGCCGAAUAUGACAGCCACAAAGAAAGAGCAUACAAAUUGACUGGUUUUAUGUCUUCUCUAGGAGAAAGCUACAAUACAAGAAAUUGUAUUGAUGCCAUGGACCAAAUUUCUUAUUUAAACUUUUAAUUUUUUUUUAUUAAAAUUACUUAUGUUAUUAUGGUUUAUAUUUUUAGAAAUUCUUUAGAAAUUAAUACAGAACUAGUAGCAAGUUGAGAAAUCUAAUGAAUGGUCGAGAUAUGAUCAUGUUUAUUGAAUUAAAUUGACAAUCAUCAUUUUGAUAAAUUAUUGUUAGGAUAUUUGAUUCAUCACAGGUGUAAGUAACUAAAUGUGCUAAAAAAAAAGUUAAUGAGUUGUGAGUGUUUGAUAUUCGUUUGUUGUAAUUCUUUUAAUAAUUGUUGUGGGAAAAAAAUUAUGGUAAAAAAAUUAUAAUUAUAAAAUAAAAAUUAAUAAUAUAUUAUAAAUAAAAUUUUUAAAUAAUAAUUUUAAUAAAAUAAUAAAUAUAUUAUGAAUUUUUCAUUAUAAAUUUUUAAGUUAAAAUAAUAAAUAUUUAUUAAAUAUUUUAAUAGCACAACUUUUAAAUUAUAACAGUACAAUGUAAAUACCAGAGGUCUUAAAAAAUAAAAUUACAGUCAAGUUUUAAAACUGUUAAUAAUGCUAUUCAUAAAGGCGCUCGUCGUGUAAACAACACAUGGGACCCAACCAAUAAAUGUUUAUGAUCCUCAACUUUCCUCCUCACCGUCCCUGCAAACAAUUCUGAUUUUCUUGUCUGAGAAAAAAACUGAGAAACAAUGGCGGCCGAACAAGAAGCUGUGAGCAAUAAGCGGGUGAUUCUAAGCAACUAUGUGACAGGUUUUCCAAAAGAAUCGGACAUGAAGAUAACAUGUGGAUCAAUAAAACUGGAGGUAGCAGACGGUUUAAAAGACACGGUGCUUUUGAAGAAUCUUUAUAUUUCUUGUGAUCCUUACAUGCGAGAGCGUAUGAGCAAGCUUGAUAGACCUUCUUUUGUUGAUUCAUUCCAUCCUGGUGAGGUUAGUUCAUCACGACCCAUCUCUUGAUUUUUUUUUUUUUUCAUUUGCUUCAAGUUUUGAUGAGUUUCUGAGGUCAUUUGUACGGUUUUGGAAUGUGAACACUAUUAGUGAUUUUGGGGCUGUAACUGUCAUUAAUGAUAUGUAGUAAUUCAAUCAGAAUUUGGAUUUAGUGCUGAUAUGAUCUCUGCUCAUUUUUUAAAAUCUUGUGUCCAGAUGCAUUUUUAUAAUCUUGUACGGUUGAGAUUGUAAGUAGAUUAAUCUACGUGCAGUAUUCUUGUCUAAUGACUACUAACCACAACCUUAUGAGACGAUCGAAACCAAGCUCAGAUCAAUAAUCCAAUUGAGAGAGGGUCCUAACUCAAGCUUAUCGUGUGUAGGAAUAUUUCGGUUAAAUUGUAAUUCUUUUAAUAAUUGUUGUGAAAAAAAAAAAGUUAUGAUAAAAAAAUUAAUAAUUAUAAAAUAAAAAUUAAUAAUAUAUAAUAAAUAAGAUUUUUAAAUAAUAAUUUUAAUAAAAAAUAAUAAAUACAUUAUCAGUUUUUCAUCGUUAAUUUUUAAGUCACAACCACAAAUAUUUACUAAACACUUUAACACCAUAAUUAACACCACAACUAUUGAAUUAUAACUGUACAAUCUAGACGCCAAGAGGCCUUAGUAUGAAAAAAAAAAAUUACAGUUAAGUUAAAAUUCAUCAUACAGAUGUGCCACUUUCAUACUAUACCGGGAUCCUCGGUAAUGAUUUUUGUUACACAAUAAGAUUUGCUUAUAGUAAUAUCAAUACAUAUGCUGCUUAAAUGCUUUCUGAUUUUUUGCCGGCCAUUGUCCAUUUUGCCAGGGAGUCUAUAAUUGAAGGAAUUUACUGAAGGAAUGCUGAUUGUUGGGAAUUUGAUUAUUCUAGGUAUGCCUGGUGUAACUGCAUACGCUGGUUUAUACGAAGUUUGCUUUCCGAAGAAAGGAGAGUAUGUCUAUGUAUCUGCAGCAUCUGGAGCUGUUGGUCAGCUUGUUGGACAGUUUGCAAAAUUAGCUCGUUGCUAUGUUGUUGGAAGUGCAGGAAGCAAAGAAAAUAUAGCACCGUGCCUUCUAGCAGAAUUUUACUUGCUUUAUGUUCCAACUAAGCAUCCAUAUUUGAUCAUGAUAAUUAGCAAGGUCAAUAAUUUUUUUUUGACUAUUUUUUCAACGUAAGGUCGAUUUGUUGAAGAACAAGUUUGAACGAUGCUUUUAACUACAAGGAAGAGCCUGAUUUGGAUGCAGCACUCAAAAGGUCAGCUGCAACAAACGUUUCAACUCUAAUAUUUCAUUUUAAUAUUACAGAGCUUUGGUUGAAGUGUGUGAGUUGAUCCCAGAAACGUAACUUCAUCAGUGUCUCUGUUUUCAAAAAACAGGACAAAUAGAAAUCUGAUUUUGCUUUAAAAUUUCCCAGAUGCUUCCCUCAAGGAAUCGACAUAUAUUUCGAAAAUGUUGGGGGAAAGAUGCUGGACGCAGUGCUACUCAACAUGAGGCUCCGGGCCGCAUUGCAGUAAGCAGUAUGAUCUCACAGUAUAACCUGGAAAAACCCGAAGGCGUUCACAACUUAGAGCAACUGAUCGGGAAACGGAUUCGCCUGGAAGGAUUUCUAGCUGGUGAUUACUAUCACCUCUAUCUGAAAUUCUUGGAACUGGUCAUUCCUCCAAUCAGAGAAGGAAAGAUGCUGUAUGUGGAAGACAUGGCCGAAGGACUCGAGAAAAUUUCUCGUAACUGCUACACAUUAAACGCGUUUCACAUUUCCACUCUCUUUCUAUAAAUAAAUACGCACAUAAAAUUUCUCACCAUCCAAAAACAAAAUCUACAUAAAAAAUGGCGGGUGAAGAAGCAGUGAGCAACAAGCAGGUGAUUCUGAGCAACUACGUGACAGGGUUUCCCAAGGAAUCAGACAUGAAGAUAAUAACAGGCUCAAUAAACCUUAAGGUGCCAGAGGGUUCAAAAGACACAAUGCUUUUGAAGAAUCUUUAUCUUUCUUGUGAUCCUUACAUGAGAGGACGUAUGAGCGAGCUUGAUAAGCCUUCGUUUGUUGCCUCAUUCGAGUCUGGCGAGGUCAGUUACUUCAAUUCCCAUCUCUUGGUUUCAUAAUCUUUUAUGGUUUUAGAAGGUGUUUUAGGGAAACAUUGUGGUUUUGGUUAGUGGGCAUGAGUCUUUGAAGAGAUUAUAAUGUGUAGGACUAUGCAUGCAAUAAUAAGCAUAGGGGAUCUUGUUAGGAGAAGAUUCUCUUAGCAAAAUAAAAACUUUUAUCUUAUCAAAACAUAUGCAGGGAACUUAGUUAUGAUGUCAUGUUAGCAUUAUCUCUGAGGAUUUGAUUUCUUGAUGGGGAAAGGGGAAUUUAAGGUUACAUUAUUCAGCAAUGUUUUUUUUUUAAAAAAUUAUGUUCAAAUUAUGCAGCCUUUAAGCGGAUAUGGAGUGUCCAAAGUGUUGGAUUCCACGCCUCCAAAUUAUAAGAAAGAUGACUUGGGUGGCGUUUGUUUUUUAACUUAAUGACUUAAAGUGACUUAACUUAAUUAAUUAAGUUAAUUAGAGAUGUUUGUUUUUAUAACUUAAUGUGACUUUUUAAAUAAUUUUGACUUAAUAAAAUAAGCCAAUUUUAUUUACUUUUUACUUAAUAGAGACAUCUGAAUUAAGUCAAGUACUUUCUAAUGUCAAAAAUAUACAUGCUUUAUAAUUUAUUUUUCAUGUCUAUCCCAAAACUCACCCAUAGACAUUUACCCCACAUAAUAAUCUCAUCAUUAUUUUUUUAGCCGUCAUGAAAUCCCUCCUCACUUUGGUAUCAACUCCUCAACUAUUGAAGAUCAAAAUUACAUGCGACAACUUCGAGAUGAAUGGCAAAUCAACUGUUUCAAGCAUCUUAUUCGUUUUUUUUCUUUUUUAUAUUAUAUACGAUAAAAUUUGAAAUUUAUGGUAUUUUAUAUAUUAAAAUUCCAAAAUCAUUAUAUAUUCACUUGAAUAUAGUUUUACUUAUAAAUGUUAAAAUAUUGUGAUAUUUAAUAUAUUAUUUAUUUGACAUUCAAAUUUAAUAAGGAUACAAAUGUAAAAGUACAUAUUUUUCAGUUUUUUAAGUUGAAAAAAGCAAACAACUUAAUAAUUAUUUUUCGAGAUUCAGACGAAAAAACAAACAUAUUAUUCAGAUUCAGACAUUCAGAUCUAUUCAGAAUUUAGACUAAUUCAGGUCUAUUCAGAUUUCAGAUAAAAAAACAAACGCCACCUUGGUCCGGGGCUUAACCAGUUGGGAGGAGUUCAGUCUCAUCCAAUCACCACAACUUCUGAUUAAAAUUCUGGAUACAAGUGUGCCUCUGCCAUAAUUAAUUGACAGGUUGCUAUGUUGUUGGAAGUGCCGGAAGCAAAGAAAAGGUGAGUUUGCACCCUUAACCCUUACGCUCUAAAUAAAAACAUAACACCUUCUGAAAGAAUUGUGCAUAGAGAAUUUUGCAUGUCACAUUAUUUGUGUUCUAACUAAUCAUGGAUAUUUGAUCAUUAGUCUAACUAAAACUGACAUAUUACCACCUAGUUGACUGGUCUUUGAGAAAUGUUAGUUGAUAUAUGCUUGAAAUCAUACUUGUUUUAUUAGAUGAUUAUAUUAACCUGCUUCUUUUUCUUUGUGCUGUUUCUCGUUUGAUUACAUUUUCAACAUUAGGUCGAUCUAUUGAAGCACAAGUUUGGGUUUGAUGAUGCCUUUAACUAUAAGGAAGAGCCUGACUUGGAUGCAGCUCUUAAUAGGUUAGCACGAAUGAAUGCUUUAACCAUUUUUCUCACUUCAUUAUUACAAUGCGCUGAUUGAAGUAAUCAGUGUUGGCUCUGAAAAUGUAACGUAUACUUCUCUGUUUUCAUAAAACAGGACAAACAGUGAUCAGUGAUCUCAUUCGUUACAUUGAUAUUUUCUACCAUUGCCAUACAUAGUAUAAACUAGGAAUUCAGUUGCUUAAUAGAUAUUCAUUUCAGAGGGAAAUUUUCACUUGCAGCUAACAGAAUCAUGUUUGUGAUGUAUGUUUAUUUGGGAAAUGAAAGGAUUUGUUGCAUUAUUUUAUUCCAAGUUUGCUGAAAUCAUAUUUGUUUUCCCAGGUGCUUUCCUGAAGUUAUCGACAUCUAUUUCGAAAAUUUUGGAGGUAAGAUGCUUGAUGCAGUGCUACUCAACAUGAGAAUUUGUGGCCGCAUCGCUGUAUGCGGAAUGAUCUCACAGUACAACUUUGAGAAGCCUGAAGGUGUACACAACUUGAUGCAAGUAGUUGGAAAACGAAUUCGCAUGGAAGGAUUUCUUGCCAGUGAUUUCUACCACCAAUAUCCAAAAUUCUUGGAACUGGUUAUGCCGGCAAUCAAAGAAGGAAAGUUAGUAUAUGUCGAGGACAUAGCUGAAGGCCUCGAGAAAGCUCCAUCAGCCCUAGUUGGGAUAUUCACAGGUCAAAAUGUUAAAAAACAACUGGUUGUAGUUGCUCGGGAAUGAUAUGAUUACUAUAUGCUUUAAAAAGUGGACUUUGCCAUGCACUUUAAAAGCUUAGUGAAGAUGCCUUUGUCUUAUUUUUGAUACAUGUUAUGUUUGUUUGAUCAAGUUGUACUCAGCUAUAAAUCAAAGAUUCAGAACAUGUGUAUGAUACUGGUUUCUAAAUCAAUGAACGCGUUGAAAUGUUAGUGUUUUCACAGGAGAAUGCAAUUUAAUUCAUCAACAAUGUCCCAACAAGACCCUCAGAGCUGUAGCUUGUAAAGUUAAUUACGAUAUUUUUUUGUAAAGUAAAUUACCAU